rnacentral:lncRNA from 1 species
CAUCCGACAAGAGGCCAAGGUUUUGGGCCAGGAGGUAGCGGGAGUUGCUUGGCGUUUUGGCUUUUUAGCUUCUGGGAUUUUGUCAAGUAAAUUAAAGCCACAGCUAAGAGAAGAAUUAGGUAUGGGAAGCUCAAUGAAGUUUUGAGAAAGCCAAUGACAAUGCUUGCAAAACAUAGUGUUGCUUGAAAAGGAGCUAGGAUUCUGCAAGAAAUUGCAGAGGUAUAUUCUCCAUGAUCACAAAACUCUUUACUGAGACUGACAUGUUUAUAAUUUACUGAAAAUGGGAAGAAACUUUCGAACUCUGAAGGAUGUGCACACAUUCCCUCUAACUUUGUCUCCUAUUUAUAGAGCUUGGAGGACUGCUUUUACCUAGUUUUCUAGAAAGUUUUUUUAACGCAUUGAUUAUUAAUUUUUACGGUUUUUUCUUGAUUAUUUUUAACAUUAAUAAUCUUUUUACUUUUCUAUUCUCUUUUAUAUAACAAAACAAAUGAAAGGUUAAAAUAUUUUAAUAUUUGGUUUGAAUUUGACUCAAAUUUGGCCGCUUUUUUAAUUUAUUUAAAUUCGUCCAAAAUAUCUAAAAAUCGAAUUAAUUUCAAUCAUCAAUAAAAUUUCAUUGAGCCGAACUUAAAUAAUAAUAUAUUCGGAUGGGUUUUUGUAAUUUCUACUCAAUAUACCAUGUUAGGAAAUCUCCUAAUAUGGAAGGUGAUACUCGCAUAAACCUACAAGUAAAUCUGAAUGAGUACUCCCCAUUUAACAACUUUAAUUAUUCAAAUCAUUUUUAAGCAAUUCAUAUGGUUUUUUUUUUUAAAGUAGUUUAAAUAAAUACAACUAGUCAUAUUUAGAGAUUUUCAUUUUUCAAAUAUCAUAUAUUUUAGAUACUACAGUAUUACUUUUUUCAUGAUCCUCCCAAACCUAGUCAAAAUGGCAGAUAUUCUUACUUUUAUAAGAAGUAGUUUUGUAACUGUUAAAAGAACAUAUAACAUAGCUAUCUCUCCAUUCAAUAUAGGAAACAAAUAAAUAAAUUUAACUUUGGUAUUGUCUGCAUUGGGUCGAGGGGUAAAAUCAACUAAGACCUUUUAUUACCUUCUUCUUUUCUCUAUUCUUUCCUUUAGUGUUUAGUCUUUCAACAAUGGAGGUCUACUUAAAUUACGUUAAUUUGACUAAAUAUCAUAUACAUUCCUACAAUUUAUGAGUUGUAUUUCAAUUUUGAAUUAAGGUUAAGAUAAUCGGCUGUGAACUAUAAACGUGUUUUCCUAUCUAUUAAAAGAUGUAAGCAAACUAAUUCUAAUUUUAGAAAAUUAUAAUAUUUUAUACCAGCAAAGUGCUAAAAAUCUUAAAUUUAAUUAUUAUUAUUUUAUUAUGUGAAUAAUAACGAGAUCAAAUAUUGAAAUUCACGUAUAUUAAUUAUUAAAAUUCCCUGAGGAACAUAAAUCUUGCGACUGCUAUCUCAGAAUCGCCACCGCGAUAUGCCUAAUUUGAAUUCCAACUGGCAUGACCACAAUAUUGGGAGCAACAAAGUCUCUAUUAUAUUGGUGAAAUCGCGUCUGCAAUACGAGUUUUGUUAUUGCGGCAUUCUUAACUGUUUGGAAGCCUAAAACAACCAUAUCCAUAAAGUCCAAUGAAGAAGCGCCACAAGAAAAAGAGCCAUUGUAACUUUAAGAAUUGCAACCGCAAUUCAGCAAGUGCGUUCGAUAUUGAGCAAGCACAACCACUAUUCUUUAGUUGUGACCGCAACAGUUCUGACAAUACAUUUCUGCACUAGCUUGAGCUAAGAAAAAAGAUGAUCGGUAAGAGUUAUGUGAGUAAUGCUUCUUUGGUAGUUUGGAACUAUAAAUACUCCCUAGACUAUUUAUAAAUGAUGAACAACCUAAUAUAACACAUUUUAUUGAUCCUUUAAUUCUCACAUUUGUGUAUCAAUUUUAUCUUUAUAAAAAGUUGUUGUAAAAGUUUAAGUGUUAGCCUUAAGCACUUAGAUGGGUCUAAGAGUUAGCCUAGUGAUAAAGACUCUUGUAAGGGUUUGAGUGUGAGCUACAAACACUUAAAAAGAAAAGUUUAAGAAUUAGCCUAGGUAAAAAAACUUUUAUGAAGUUUGAUAUGAAUCUAAAUACUAAGUUUGAGAGUGACCUUGGAAAAUAUUCUAGUGUAUAGGUUUGAGAGUGAGCUUGUAAAAUACUUGAGUUCAAUCUUUCACCCGCAAAAGGAUCAACAAUAGUAAAAUACUAAUUGAAAAUUGAGGAAUGUAUGUAGGGUUAGUUAAUACCCAAACUACUAUAACUUUUUGUGUUGAUUUUUCUUCCCUCUUUAUCUAAUCCUCUGAGCAAAUUUUAAUUACCCAUCAAUUUUUUAACACUAAUUCAACCCUCUUUCUUAGUGCAUCUAGGUCAAAUAUGAAAUAAGGACACUAAAGUUACUUGCUUUAAAAUAAAAGGACACUAAAGAUACUACUAAUAAUAAAAAUUUGAUUAUGAUAUCAAAAACAAGCUUAAUAGUAAUGUAUUUUACGUAUUAUUUUUAUUUUUUAUUUAUAUUUCAUACUAAUAAUUAAAAACUAAAUUUCAAGCUAAUUUCAGUCACUAAUAAAUUUUUUAUUAAGCCGAACUUAAACAGUAACAUAUUCGAAUUGGCUUGUGUAAUUUUCACUCAAAAUGCAAUGUUAGGAAAUAUCCUAAUAUCAAUAAAAAAAAUAUUUAACAUAUAUAGUCUACUAUCUAUUUAGUUUAUAUUAGAAAUUAUAAUAAUUUAGAUAAAAAUUACUAAAAUAAUUAUUAUAUAAAAUAUAAUAAGUUUAGCUAUAAGAUAUGAAUAUAAAAUUAAUCUAUAAAUAUAACAUAUAAUUUAUUAAUAGAAUAUGUAAUUAAAUUCUGUAUAAAGUACGAUUAUUAAACUAAUUCUGUUAAUAGUUUCAAGUCCUUAAUUUAUAAAAGGUACAAACUAACUUCUUAUGCAGGUAAUAACUUCUGCCACUUUGACUAGGUUUGGAAGGAUCAUAUAAUAGUAUUACUAUAGUCAUCUAGAAUAUAUGAUAUUUGAAGAACGAAAAUCUAUAAAAUAGGACUAGUUCUAUAUAUUUUUAAAUUAUUUAAAAAAACAUAUUAAUUGCUUAAAAGUAAUUUGAAUAAUUAAAGUACUCGUUAAAUAGGGAGUCCUCAUUUAGAUUUACUUGUAGGUUUAUGCUCUAGCAAUGAAGCCGGACGGUUCCGGUUCAUAGUUCUGAUUCUGGCUAGUUCUAACCAAUUUUUAGAAAAUAAAAAAUUAAUUAAAAUAAAUUAUUUUUUAUGAAUUAGAGUUAUAUUUGAUAGUNNNNNNNNNNNNNNNNNNNNNNNNNNNNNNNNNNNNNNNNNUAAAAAUAAAUAAAUAAAAUUAUCCUUAAAUUCUCUCCGUUCAAUUUAGGAAAGAAAUAAAUAAAUUUACCUUUGGUAUUUUUUGCAUUGGGUCAACCAACUAAGAAUUCUUUUUACAUUCUUUUCUCUAUUCUUUCUUUUAGUGUUUAGUGUUGCAACCUUUUUUUGUUUCCAAUUUAAGGUUCUUGAUUAGAUAUAUAUUUAUACAUCGGUACAUUAGCAUAUUAAUAGCUUUUCAAUCAAUAGAUAAAAGAAGUUUUAUAUUUCUACAGUUUAAUUAAUAUUUAUAAAAAAAAUUAUUUUUUAUUUUUAUGUGUUUGAAGAAAAUGAAAAAAUAAAAUUAGUAUGAUAAAAUAUAAUUUAUUUAUUUAUAUUAUAAAUAACUAAGAAGUAUACGGAUGAUUAUUCCUUAAUCAUUAUUUUACUAUUAGAUUAUAUUAUUUUAAUAUUUAAAAUAAUUUUUACAGAUAAUAUUAUAGUAUUCAUAGCCAUAGCAGUUAGUUAGCUUUUCUCGAUUUGGUGACCACAGAAAGAAAUGUCAUCUAUCAAUAUUUCAAAUUUCAUGUGAAUUUCCAACUGUUCUAAUGGACCACUGUACAAAUUCGAAAUUCUUAAAUAUGCAAAACGUUUGAAUUGAUAUUAAGUGAAAGUUAAAAAUAAAGGUCGAUAAAUUGAUAAUAAAAAUAUUAAAUAAUAAUACUAACUUAGAAUUAUAAUUGAAUGUAGCUUAUUUCUAAAUAUAAAAAAUAAUAAUAUAAAUAAUUAUUAAAUUUUAUAUUUAAUCUCAUUUUAAUAAUAAAUUUUUUAUGUUAUUAGAAUCAUUCAAUUUUAAUUUAGUUACUAAUACAACAUAUCAAUUUUUAUUUGUAAAAAUAACUAAAUUAAAAUAUAAUCCAAAUAAACUAAAAUUUCAUUAUUAAAUAAAUAAAUAAAAAUAUUAUAUUAUUUUUAUGACUAUGUUUAUAUAAUAUUAAAAUUAUAUUUUAUAUAUCAAAAUUAUAUGGUGCAUUAAUGUCUUCAUGGCUCGUGGUCCAACUCCCGGCUAAUGUAUGUGAUUUUUAAGUGGGUAUUUUUCCCCACUACUAGCGGUUCACACCGGCUCACCGUCAGGACAUGUUUACUGUAAGCAUGUUUAUAUUAGCAUCAAAGUUUGUCAGAACAUGUUUACCAUAAGCAUGUUUAUAUUAGCAUCAAAGUUUGAAAGGGACGUUUUUUCAUAAAAUUUCAGGUUGAAAUAAUUGUUCAGCAAAAGAUUGCCAACCCUACCAUGAAAAAGCUGAUGAUGGAGCUUUUUCUAACUCAUGCAUUUUGCUCUAUCUGUUUUAUAGAAAAUAUAUUCUAUAAAAGUACUGUCACGAUCUGAUUUGUGGGUUCCGUGACCGGCAUUAGAAAAUGAGUAGGCGUAAGGCUAUCGAAUUCUGUAGUAAGCAUGACCAUUUACUAACUUAAUUAAAUCUCAAUCCAAUAGCACUCAUCCACAAUUAACCUUAACUAUUAGGUUCUAUAUAUUUAGAAUAUGGACUGCCAGCAUUAAUAGGAAAGAUCAGAAUUUAUACGAAAUUACAAAAUGAUAAAUUUAAAAUUUUUAUUGUGGAGAUUUUAGAAAUUUAAAAGUCAAUAUACCAAUAAAAUUAGUUACAUUAAACUCGAAGAUGAAGGAAUCGGGCUGCUGGAUGAAAAGAACUACGGAAAAACUAGCCACAUCUGAAAAACAGUUAAAUUGAGACUGUCAGUCUCGGGAGUGAGUUAAAAUUAUAUAUCCAAAAACAAUUACAAACACUUCAAUAACACAUUUAUUUAAUUUAACAUAAAAUAUCAAGUCAUGCAAAAAUAUACGUGUCAUGCCAUGCUUCUAUAAAAUAAAUUUCACAUACUACGGGACGGAGAACUUCAGUAGAACCCUAAUCCCCAUUACUAAACAGUCUUAGCCCUUCGGCUCUCUCGUUCCAACAGAACUGGCGCCCAAAGAGCAAAGCUCGACCAUGGUCCUUAAAUCUAGUCUGGUCACUUAUAUUUCCAAUAAAGUCGGCGCCCAGAGAGCAAUGCUCGACCAGGGAUCUUUACUCCCGCAAACUCAUUCCACUCAGCCCAGAGAGUUAAAUUCGACCAGGGCAAGUCCUAAACCAUUCUUCUAUUACCUUGCUCAAAUUCAAACCGGUGCACACGCAGUCUUGAUGCAACCAUCAGGUGGCAUGUUCUACCUGUCGUCCCGUCCCGAGUCAACAUACACUCACAAUAGCAUUAUGUAGAAAAUGAUACAUAUAUGAAUAGUAACUAAAUGAAUAAUUUAAGUCUAUAAUUAAUUAAUCACAAUUGCUAUUUAAAAUCUGUAUAUGACACAUGUAAACAGAUAUAUGAUUUUAACUCACAAUUCUGACGACCUCCUAGCUCUGCUCCGAUGCCUUAGGUGGAGCGAGCCGAACUGACGGAUUUAUCUAAUCAUGAAAAUAUUUAAAUCAGUAAAUAUAAGACCUUUGGCAAUUAACCCUAGGCCUAGACUCCUAGAAUUAUUGUCUAAAAAUCUCAACUCAGAAGAAUUCUAUAGAAAAUUCGGCAGAACCUCCUCUAAAUUACAGACUUUUAUCCCCCGUAUAACAGGUCCAGGACCUACCAGAAAACACUUCAAUUAUACAGUGAUUAAUUAUUAGGAGUCGGGCCACCAAAACUGCAUUAAUUUUUUCGACUCCGUAACACAACAUAAAACACGAUUAUUAGCAGACGAUCCGACAAUUAAAUAUUUUAACUAACAAUCCUCACAAUAAUUUUUUAAUGCUCAACACAAUUAAAUAAACACAUAAUUUCAUCAACAACCUCUAAAAUCUACAGUUUGAGAAAUUACCGAGACGCUUGAUCACUCGGUCGACUCGUCUCCAGCCACCGGAGUCUGAUUGAUGAUUCGAGCACGCCUACGGACUCGAGACAACGAACUGACGAUGAUUCCAACUUUCGAUCUUCCGAUCCGACCCCCGAUCAUACAGAGACAUUUACGGACAAUCUCGACCGUCGAUUUUCAAACAGAGUCCGAUCGCCACGAAACCAGUGCUAUUGGAAAGCUUGAGAUAAGGAGAGUCCGGAUAUGCCUUCUGAUCAUCCAUCCCCCGCUGGAAUUCGUCGGAAAAGCCCAAAAUUCUGGCUGCCCCUAAUCUUUUCACCUCUCCAGAUCUUGCAAUUCCGAGAGCCUGAAGGGGUGGCGAUGGUCGGAAAAGGAAGCCUAGAAGUUGCUGAUCAUUUUGAGCUUAAGAAUGUCGCAAAUGGUUGCCGGAAACUCCAUAAUCAGCAGCAAGAAAAAAAUCUGUCGUUUCUAGCCAUUUUCGCCGCCUGCCAAUGCUUCCAGCUGCAGCCACUAGUGCCAUCGAGCUCGCCGACGACAGCAGCAUCCUUAGCCAUCGCCGCUGCACCACGGACGAGCCUCCUACACUGCCGCCGCCGAUGGUCGACGCCCUCUUCUUCUUCUUCUCUUUCUUUUCUUUCUUUUCUUUUCUUUCCUUCUUUAUCGACACUUUGGUCCCUGAACUUUUCUUCUUUACCAUUUAGUCCCUCAACUUUUUAAUUACUAACAAUUUCGCACUGCAAAAUUUUCAAUUAACCCUUUAACUUUUCUUUAGUUUUUCAAUUAAGCCCCUAACUAUUUAAUUUGGGCCAAAUUAAAAUCAAUAAAAAUAUAGAACUACUUAUUUACCCUUGCUUUUAAAUUUAAAAUUACCAAAAUGUCCUUACCUACACAUUUAAUUAUAAAAAUACCAACCAUACAGAUUUUCAUUUAAAACUCCAAAUUAAAACAAUUAUAUUUUCAAUCCUUAUUCCAAAAUUAAUUGUCAAUUUAAUCCUAACACUUAGUUAACUUAAUUAAUCAAUUUACUAACUAUUUUUCAAUUAAAAUCAACACCAUUAGCUAAUUAAAAUUUACUAUUUUUUAAUAAAUUCUUUUUAUAAAAAUAUUAUUUACCAACUCUUUCAUAACUUUUAAAUAUAGAAAUUAAUUCAUAUACUCAUAUAGGGAGAAAAUUAAAUGACCAAAAACAUAAUUUAUUGCUCAAGGAAUUUACUUAAUUAAUUUCUUGAAAUCAAACUAAUUUGAUAUAGAAAAAUAACUCUCUUAUUUUUAUCUACAAUUGAAAUUCUAUUUUAAAUCAUCUCAAUUAAAUUAAUUAAAAAUAAAGUAAUAUAAAUUUAAAUAAAAACUCAUUAUUAAUUAUUAUUAAUAUUAUUAUUAUUAUUAAAAGAAAAAUUUCAAGAUAUUACAAGCAUUUUCAAUUUUUUUUUGUUUUUAGUACAUUUUAAAAAGUUUAUGAACGAAAUUUGGGGUCAAAACAAUUCAGCCAUUUUCUAAAAAUAAUGAUAUUUUACGUUUAAAAAUAGAAAACAACCAUUUUCUAUAUUUUACAAAAAACUAAUUAUAUAUAUACACAUAUAUAACCUUUCAUAUAUUUUAUUUUGUUAUAUAUAUAUAUAUAUAUAUAUAUAUAUAUAUAUAUAUAUUUAUAUUUAUAUAACCUUCCAUAUAUUUUAUUUUUUUGAAAAAACAAAGAAAAUAUUUUGUCCUUAAGAUCAAGUUGUUGCGAGUAAUAAUGGAAGCUGAGAUACUCAAAGUUGAAUGGGCAAGAGGCCUGUCACGACCCCAUCCAUGGACCCGUGACCAGCACUAGGGAAUGGGUAGGCGUAAGGCCACCGAAUUCCCUAGUAAACCUGAUAUUUUUCUGAUGCCACAAUUAUCUUAACAUUCAAAUUUUACAUAAUUAAUUCGAUCUGCCAAAAAAAUUAGGCGAGACCCGAAACUACAGAAAAUUACAUCUGAUACAUCUACUAUUACUACUGUGGAGAAUCUAAGAUUUUACAAAUUAACAUACCAAAUCAAAUACACCACCUGAUGAUGAAGGAGUCGGGUUACUCAUUAAGAGUCAAGGAAAAACUAUCAGUCCCGAAUCUGAAAGAAAAAAAAAGUAAAUUGAGACUGUCAGUCUUAAGAGUGAGUUAAAAUCAAAUAAUCAAUAGACUAUUGCAGUCUUCACAAAAAAUAUUAAUUAUUCGAAUCAGUAUAUCAAACCCUGAACAUAAAUACAAAUCAUAAUAUAAUCAUACCAUAAUAAAAAUAAUGAAAAAUAAAUAAAUCAAAACAUAUUUUUACUUUUACGGGACGAGUGGCUCAGUAGAAUCCUAACCCCAAAUUCUACUAGCUUUCUCCCGCAUUAGAGGGGAAAAUUAGCAAAGCGAGAAAAGACAGAAGGAGAGAGAGCAGCAUCUUAUUCUUUUUGCGAGAACUUCCAGAUCAAAAAAGCAUUCGGAACUGGCGAGUGCGCUAGUUGGUCUUACAGACUGACGCCCAGAGAGCAAUGCUCGACUAAGGACCUUACCUCCAGUUUGGUCAUUUAAGUAUCCAAAUAAGCCGGCGCCCAGAGAGCAAUGCUCGACCAGGGACCUUACCUCCGACAAUUUACUCAAAUCAGCCUAGAGAGCCAUGCUCGACUAGGGAAAAACUCAUAAUAAUCUUAUUACCUGUCCAUGAUCAUUACCGGUGCGCACGCGGUCCUGAUGUAGCCCAUCAAGUGGCAUUGUUCUAUGAAAGCCACAUUUCCCAAAUCACAAUCAUCACAUUUAAUAAAUAUCAUUGUCUAAUGAAUUCAUUCAACACAUAUCGAAAUAAAGAUUAAAUAUUUAGGGUAAAGCAACAUGCAAUUUGUGUGGAAAAAAAUAAUAAUAUUCGUAUUAUUAUAACAUUACUAAUAAUAAUAUUUAUAUUAUUUUCAAUAAUUAAUAAUCAAGUGAAAUUAUUUAUAUUGCAAUACUAAUAAUCAUAUUAAGCAUAAAUUUCUAAAAUAGCAUAUUAAAUUCAGACUUAGCAAUAGUGCAAUGAUUAAGUGACUUUAACUCACGAUUUGGCGACCUCCUAGCUCUGCUCCGAUGCCUCAGUUGGAGCGAGCCGAACAGACAGUUCAUCUAAUCACGGAAAACUAAUUUAUCAAUUACGCUGAACAAUUGACAAUUAACCCUAGGUCUAGAUUCCUAAGACUGACUGUCUAAGAAUCUCGACUCGGGAGAAUUCUACCGAAAAUCCGGCAGAACCUCCCCUACAACACGGACAUUUACCCCUCGUAAAACGGCUCUAGGACCUGCCAGAAAAAUACUAGAAAUAUCCAACAAUUUAACACAACGGGAGUCGGGUCCUAAAAACUUCACUAAUUUUCCGACUCCGCCACUGAGCACAAAAAUCACAACUACGACAGGUAGUCCGACAAACUAUUAUUUUUGACUCACAAAUAUCAUCUAAUACUCAACACAAAUCAAUAAGCAUAAAUUAAAUCAAAGAAUUCCAAAUCAACGGGUCAGAGAAUUACCGAGAUGCUUAAUCGCUCGGUUAGACGAUCCGAACAUACCAUCGGACUCGAAACGACACGCUGAUGAUGAUCCCCGCUUCCGAUUUUCUGAUCCGACCCCCGAUCACCCGGAGAGAUUUGCGGAUGAUCUCGGUCGUAAAUUCGUAAACGAAGCCCGAUCGCCACGAAUCUAGUGCCAUUGCGAAGCUUGAGCUGAGGAGAGUUGGGAUACGUCUUCCGAUCAUCCAUAGCUCACCGGAGCUCGCCGAAAAAUCUGAAAAACCCCGGCUGCCCCCUACUUUCUCUCUCCACCGGUUCUUCCAUCUCCGGCCACCACAUGCGUCGCUGCUGCUGCCAAAAAGAAGCUCUCUUCGAGGAAGCCGAUCACCACCGAGAUCGGCCGACAAGGCCGCUGGAAACGGCCGGAAAAUCACCUAGAAGUCGCUGCCUCCUUGCACGCUUCCGCUGCCUGCCGAUGCCACUAGAGCCGCUGCCGCCGCUGCCACUGCGCUCGCCAGCGCACGCCGCUCCGUAGGCCAGUGCUCCACACCCGCGGCAGUCGCCACCCACGCCCGCAGCGCUUAACUCUUCUUCUUCCUCUUCCUCGCUUCUUCUUUCUCUCUCCCUGAUCUUCUCUCUUCCUUUUCUUCUUUCUUAUUAGGCCCUCAGACUUUCCUUCCUUACAAUUUGGUCCCUCAACUUUAUUAAUUACUUACUAUUUCAUCCUGCAGAAUUUCCAAUUAACCCUUAAACUUUCCUUUAGCCUUUCAAUUAAGCCCCUAACUAAUUAAUUUGGGCCAAAUUAGAAUUAUUGAAAAUAUAUAAUUACAUAUAUACCCCUGACCGAUAUAUUUAUUUACAAAAAUACUAAACUUACAAAUUUCCAUUAAAAUCCCAUAAUAAUAAAAUUAUACUUUUAAUCCUUAUAUCAAAAUAAAUUUCCAAUUUAGUCCUAAAAUACAAUUAAAUUAAAUAGCCAAUUUGCUAAAUAUUUUUCAACUAAAAAUUAAAUACCACUAGCUAAUUUAAAUACCAAUUUUUCCAAAAUUCUUUUAUAAAAACACCCUUUAUAAAUUCUUUCAUAAUUCUCUAAUAUAUAAUUUUAUUUAUAUAUAUAUACAUUUGGGAAAAAUUUGAAUAACCAAAAAUAUAAUUUAUUCCUCAAAUAAUUUACAUAAUUAGUUUCUUAAAGAUCCAACUAAUUGAGUAUAGAAAAAUAACUCAUUUAAUUGUCUAAUAUUAAAAUUUCUAUUAAAUCAUUUCAAAUUAAACCAAAUAAAAAUAAAAUAAAACUAAUUUAAAUAAAAAUUUAUUUAUUAAUUAUUAUUAAUAUAAUCAUUAUUAAGGAAAAAAUUUCGGGUAUUACAAGGCCGAUACGAUCAACUCAACUUGAUCGAUGAAACCAGAAUGAAGGCCAUGUAUCACACACAUAAUACCAGUAAAGGACUGCUCGAGCUUUUGACAAGCAUGUCAAGCCUCGACCUUUAAAGGUGGGUGAUUUGAUCCUUAAAGAGGGAAAACCGGUAGUUCUGAACCGUUUAGAUAAAUUUUGACCUAACUGGAAAGGCUGGUAUCUUGUUAAGAAGAUCUUCUCUAAAGGAGCAACAAUAUUAUUAGACUUCGAGGGCAAUGAGUUUAGUCAACCAAUCAACAUAGACAUGUUCAAGCAAUAUUACAUAUAAUAAAAGAAUAAUAAAAGAAUAAAAAAAUUUAAUGAAAUAAUAAGCUUGUUGGAUUGAAAAUGUGUAAAAAGUGGUCCAAGCAAAAAUUAGAGCGGCUCGAUCAGGUGAAAACCAAGAGGCACCUUAGGAAAAAAUAAGAACUAAAUAAAAGAAGAAAGAGUGCUUGGUUGGUUAGAAAACCUAAAAGGGCUAACCGAUUGCAAGAGUCGGACUGUUUUCGAUAUGUUUUAAGAUGUACUUCGGUUAAACUAAUUAAUGGUAUGACUCCUAAUUAUGAGAACAUGGUUUUUUUUUGGGAUUUUACAUGUUUUGCAAUUCUGAAACAACAUCUAACAAAUAAAUCAAUUUUCUUUUUUCUUUUUUCGCUAUUCUAAUCCUUAGUCAUUAACUAAUACAGGAACAAUACAACAUCAACUCUAAACGUCAGUGUGCCUGAGCGGCUGCCCAAGCUCUGGAAGUGUCAUCCACGGCAGAAUCACUCAGCUCCUGUAAGUUUGAAAGGAUGGUCUGGUAGCUCUAAGUGUUGCGGACGUGGUAUAAGAACCAAGCAAAGACAGGUCCUGGCUCGAAUUCUAGCAUGAUAGGAGGAAUCCUCUGCAGCCCUCAUACUGAUGGACAAGUAUGGAUAGGUUAUAAAAAGAACUGAAAUCAAGCUUUAAAAGCACCAAACAGGAGGUAUAGAUCUCCCUGACGAUCUUGGCAGCAAUGGAGCAAAAAUGUCUUACCUAGCAGCUCAAUGUGCAAAUCUGAAUCAUACAUGCAUAGACAUGCCCCUAAAAAGGCAACCACCUAGUAUAUACUCCAAAAGCAAUAUGUAUACUGAAUAUAUUAUAUAUUUAUGAUACUGGUACAUGCUAUACAAAUGAGUGUAUACUGCUCAUCCAACUAUAUAAAAUCAAAUUUAUAAAUAUCACAAAAAAUCCAAACUACCAUUAUCUAUUCUCGAGUUUCUAUAAAAAAAUAUUUUAAUUGUUAUAAAUCAAUUUUGCUAAAAACAAAAAUUUUCUCGUAAAAGCAUUUAAAUAAAAUAUACAAAUAUAAUACAAUUGAAAACAACACUGUUAUAAGCUUAUCCAUUCAUCUUGUAUACAGGACUCGAAUUUACUAUACGGAACUCAAGUCGCUAACUUUUUCUCAAACUAAUAUUCAUAUACUUAAUCCUAUAAGUUAUAUAGAAAUGAAAUUAGAAAUAAAUUUAAAAUUCUCUUUUCUAAUAAUUCUUACCUAAUAUCUAGCGUCAAACCCGAUUUAUAACAAUUCUAUUAAUUCUCUAAUUAUUUAAACUAAUUAAGGCUACUGAAAUUUUAACAGCAUCUCCUAUGUAAAUCGGAUUAAUUUUCACCGUAAAAUGGAUCCAAAACCUCCAAGCAAUCACAACUCACAAAAUACUCGUCCAGAGCCACAAAUUAUUCAUUUGAAAAGUCCAAUUAAACGUCCGUUUAAACUCCAGCAAAAAUAAUUACUUAUUUUUUUAUUAAUUACCUCGAGAUGAUUUAAUAACUAAUGCUAAUAAUAAGUACUCUUACUAAUUCAUUUAUCCUUUACAACAAUUGUUCAUAAUUCUGACUAUUAUAACUACCUCUAAUUUUAAAAUCCAAUUCAAUUCACCAUAUCUAUCAUAGGAAUAAUAUCAAUAUAAUUCUCCUUAUUUCCCUUUACAUUAACAAAUCUUUAAUUUAUUUAUAAAAAUAAUUAAUUUUUCACAUUAUCAAAAAUAAUCUAUAUAUUAUCAAAAUUUCUAUUUACUAAUAAUAUAUUUAAUCUACUAAGUUAAUUAAUAACCUAAAAUUAGACAAGCAAAAGAAAUUUAUCUCCACACACGUAACGCCUAUCGACUCAUUACCGGUCGUUGAUGUCUGUUCGAAGAUCCGAAGACACCAUCAAACUCGUCUCAAUGUAUAAAUCAUGGAUUAACUAUUAUUUUUUCCUAAAGAAUCGAUAAUUGACCAAAAAAAUAAAAAAUGCUCUUGACCAUCUGAUCAUAAACAGUGUCUGAUCGAGGUGAAACCAAUGACAUCUGAAAGGUCGUUUUCUAAGGAGUUCAUUUGUGUAUUUUAAUUUCUUAAUAAUCUAAACACUCUCCACAUCACAUGAUGAUGAACCUGAAAAUGGGAUUUGCAAAGGUCUAAUUCACUCUUCCACUGCUGUAAACGGAGCCAAAACAACAAGCAUAAAAACAAUAAUUAAGAAAUCGAGCCAUGAAAAAGAUUCAAGAAGAGUUUAUUUUAGCCAUCUAAAUAAUGUUUUAAGAUAAAUAUUGAAUUUUAAUGGAGAUUUUUAUUUUUCAGGCCAUAAAUUAUGUCUUAAAGAAAAUAAAUAAAUAAGAUAAAAAGCAAUUUUGUAAUUUCACAGAAAACUAAUGGUAAUAUAACUAAAAAUUAGACGAGAACAGCUUCUAGCAUAAUAUGAAAAAAGAGAGAUUUUAAAAAUUGAGGUCUUGAUUAAUGUAAUAUUGUAAAUCUCAAAACAGAAAUAGUAUUAGGGAUAAAUUAAAUUGGAGUACCAAAUUCUUCCUUUUAUACUAAAAAUAUAUUAAAUUUAUGAUAUAACUAAAUCAUCACUGAAAUUUAUACUUUGUAAAAAAAAAAAAUCAAAAUUUUGAUCUUAAAAGAUAUAUGACCUGUGCUUUUCUUGUAACAAAUCAAAGGUUUAAUAUAUUUUUGUUGCAAAAUGCAAAAUUUAACGACUAUCUAUAUGAAUUUACUAUCUAAGUGUGACAAAAAAUUCCAUUAAUGUUACUAAAGUUAAAGUUUAGCAAUUAUUGAAUUAUAAAUAAAAUAUUUUUUACUUUUUUAUUAUAAAGUGUAAAGUAUAAUAACCGCCAAUAUAAUUUAUUGAUAAUAUUACCUUAGAAUUUAUUUAUAUACCAAGUGAAAGAAACUGGAACUUAAAAUCGAUAAUAUUGCUUAGUUUUGCCUUUCUUUUUUUUCUUUUUUUUUAUCAGUUAUGGUGAAAACAUCACAUUUAACUUCAUCCCUUUGCAAGGUUGGUUUCAGUAGAUUUCUUAAUUAAUCACAAUUUCUUCACAAACCAAGACUUUAUUAAAGCAGAAUUUGGGUAAGGUACCCAGUACAAAAACUGACCAACUAUAUCAACAAAAAAUGGAAAAUGAAACGGUACAAGAACAAAAAUAAUAUAAAACAUAUAACGCACGCGAUAAAGUCACUCUCUUGUAACAGUUGCCUUUGCCAAGUUGUCUGCAUAUUUUCAACACUUAUAAAUUAGUCUAACAUGUUUAAUUUGGAAGCAUGCAUGUGAUUAUGCCGGGUACAAAUUUGCAGGCAAACGUGGCUUUGCGAGUGCAACUAAUGGUUUGGCAAGUGCCAAACUAUUCUUAGACUCUGAAAGAUCAAUGCUUGUCUCAUUAGGGGGCACGCUCCAGCUAAACCCUUGAAGAAGCCUAGCAAAUAACAUAACAGUCACUGCAGUUCCCAAUAUGAUGCCUGGACAACCUCUUCGUCCUGUACUAAAUGAAAGCAAGUUCAAAUCAGGCUCCGUCAGCAUCACUUGACAUCCAUUUCUCUUGAAAUGACGCUCUGGUUUGAACAUGUGUGGUUCAUCCCAAAUCCGGGGAUUCCGGCCGAGGCCGACUCGGCUAAGCAAGACAUGGCUACCUUUCGGAAUAAAAUAGUUAGCAACAGUUGUAUCUGCUAUGGAGACAUGAGGAAGAUUGAAGAAGACAAUAGGGUGGAGGCGAAACGCUUCUUUAGCACAUGCUUUUAUGUAAUUGAGCUGUGGAAAAUCUGACUCUUGGACUAGUCUCUCCCUUCCAACAACUCUAUCCAAUUCUUCUACUGCUUUCUCAAGAAGUUUCGGUUUGUUUAUCAUCUCUGCAAGUGCCCAUUCUAUAGCAUUUGAUGGAUUAUCUACUACUGCCAUCAUUAUUUCCUGCAAAAAUUGAUAGUUGAUAUUUAAUUAUUGAAAUUAGCUGGUGGGAAAUAUAGUAAUUAAAAUGAAAAACACAGUGAAAAUAUGCAUACAACUGGUAAUUUUCCUUAUAUCCAUACCAGGGAUAUAUUCAAAAAUAAAUUCUUUGUGAAGACAAUAGAGCGUGCAUGCACGCUUAAUUUGAUAUAUUCAUUUAACAAAAUCACCAGUUGAUAUUUAGCUUUGUUGAAAUCAGUUGGUAGGAACUAUUGUUAUUAAAAUGGAAGAUGCAAUAAAUUUGAAUCUUAACCAACAUAUUUAAUGUUUGCCGAACUCAAAAUGACGAACUGAACUUCUUGCAAGAAAGGACAUGCAAAUGGAAUUUUCCUUAAAUCCAUUUCUUAAAUCAGGUGCAAAAACAUUAUAUUUCGAAUGUGUUGUGAGAGGGAGUGAGAGAGAGACGGAAUUUACAGUAAUUUGAGCUUUAAUCUCUUCUGUUGACAGCAAAGAGUUGCCACUGGCAUCUUCUAGAUUUAUGAAAACGUCAAGCAAGUCAUCCACUUCCUUUUUGGUGCCAUCCUUCCAUUGUUGGACCCUCUCUUCAAUUAUGGGAUCUUGAUAUUUAUUUAUGGUCCCAAGAGCAUCCUUCAUGACCUUCCCAUGGCCAUCCAAGUCAAGCCCUGUCAAGCAUGGCAUGUAAUCAGAAACACAAAACGCAUAGCUAUGAGCAAGGACUGUGAAAAUCGCAUCAACAUGCUCUUUUUCCUCGAUACCAGGUCCUCCGUCCUUCAUUCCCUCCCCGAAGAACCUUUUGUUAAACACCAUUUUCCUUGUUACAUUUCCACAAUAGUGCCGUCCAGUGACUCUCACGUUAACUGAUCCACCUUCCUCAACAGUCUUGCAUUGGUUAUAUACAUAACGUACAAGGUGAUCAGCUGCUUCAAGUCUUUUUCCGUAAAACCACUUGCAUUUUUCCACAGAAAGAAAUUGCGUUACCAGCACUCUCCUCAUUUUCUUCCAUUGUUCUCCCAAGGGCACAGCACCUGUUGCCAAAUAACCUCUUGUAGUGAGAUCGGUGGACAUGGUUAACGGUCUGCUUGCAAAAAGAGCAUCCUGUACUUCCAAGAAUUCGCGGCUAAUCUCAGGAGAAGUGACAGGAAUCACAUGAACGUUUCCAAGACGGAUACAAGCAAUUUCAGUGUUCAUUUCUUUCAUGAGCUUGUGUAUCCAUCGAAAGGUCGGCUUAUUUGCUAGCAUCGUUGGCAGGCAUCCGACAAGAGGCCAAGGUUUUGGGCCAGGAGGUAGUGGGAGUUGCUUGGCGUUUUGGCUUUCUAGCUUUUGGAAUUUCGUCAAGUAAAUUAAGGCCAACGCCAAGAGAAGAACUAGGGAACAGGAGCUCAACAAUGUUCUGAGAAAGCCAAUGCCAAUUCCUGCCAAAUCUGGAGUGCCAUGAAGAGAAGCUAGCCUAGUGCAAGAUAUUANNNCUUGCAUGCUUUGCAGGAUGCUGUUUCGAACAAACUCUCACCUCUUUUAUCUCAUUUGCUUUUUUCUUUUCCUUCUUUUUUUGUUUACACAAUGCAAUAAUUAACUCUAUAAUCUCUCCCAUUUAUAGGGCUGAAUCCAAAAUCUACGAUGUAAUUCAAUAUAGCAAUGCAAUAGAACGAUUUGUUAAAUCUGAAUAAUACAGGACGCGUGAUCCGUAUUUAUACUUGUAUCUUAAUAACUCUACUGUAUAUACCAUAUAUUUGAGCUUUUAUUUAUACAUUUAUCCAAAUCAUAAAUUAACUAUAUAUUAAAUCUUCUUCUAUUCAUUUAUACAAACCAUUUACACAUUAUGGAAUUCAAGUUUAGUUUGGCCACACAACAUAUAUUAUUAUUAUUUAAGGUAUCAUUUUUAUUUCCUUUUGAUUUCAUAACUAACCUCAUUUAUGCAUUCAUGUAUAUACAUGUCUGAAAGAAUAUUUCAUAACUAUUCUUUUAAUAUCAUCGCGUUUGACAAGCGAUUAGAAAACAAUCAAAAUUAAGUUAAAACGAUAUGGGAAAAUAACGGAUGAGAUGGGAUACAAGGGCUGUGGAGUAGCAACUUUAAAUCUCAAAAUUUUUUACCUAAAUUUGGUGUAUGUCCUCGCCUAUAUACUAAACCGAUAAAUGAUAUUUAUUAAUUUUAAAUAAUUAAAUAUAUAUCAAUUAUCCAAUAUAAAAGUGUAAAAUACUCAUAUAUAGUCACUCUCCUAUUAGAUAUGGUGUAUACAUCAACGCUAGAUAAUAAUUUUUUCUCUAAGAAAUCACCAUUGUACUAGUCCUUUCAUAUUAUUCUUGUAACAGUUUAUGGCCGAUAGAAUUUGGUGUUGUUAUACUAUAUAGUCCCAUAAAAAAAAUGAAAAAUUAAAUAGUUGGACGCUGAAUAGAGCCGUUACACGCUGAUAUCACCGAACUAUCUAAUUUGGCUCCUCCGUCCACUACCCACAACCACUGUCCACCUUCAUUAGUGCUAGGGCUAAGUUUGCCAGCAACUCUUCUACUCCCGACUAGUGUCCUGGCCUCUCUCUCUCUCUCUCUCUCUCUCUCUCUCUCUCUCUCUCUCUCUCCUAACCUUCCUUCCUCCCCCUACCCGUUUCCUUUUUAUUCUUCUCCCUUUUCGUUCUUUACUUACCCCUAGUUAUUUACUCUUAAACCCCUAACUUGUAUUUAUCCUUUCAAUUAAGCCACUAAUUUGUUAUAUUUGGCCUAAAUUAGUUACAAUUAUUAAAAUAUAAAAAAUAUUUUGAUCCUGCGUGACACUUUUAUAUCUAAAUCCCAUAUUUAAAUCAAACUUUUAUUUUAACCCCAUUUUAUAUAAACAAAUAUUAGUUUAAUCCUUAGUUAAUUUACUCGAUCAAAUUCAUUAAAAUCUAAAUACUCAAAUAAUUAUUAUUGUUAUAGCACUGUAAAUAAUAAAUUAAAUCCUUUAUUAAGUCCCAUAGUCUUAUAUUAUUUAUUUAAAUAAUACACCUUACCUAAAUCAAAUAAAUAAGUUCCAUAAAUAUCUCAUUAUUAUUAAUACUAAAGAUAAAUCCUUAAAUAACACUUUAAUUUUAGGUCACUGAUAGGUUGAUAUUAUGUAUAUAUAAUUAAAGUAUUUUAGUAAUUUAUUGGUAUAUUUUAUAUACAUAAUAUGUAAAAAUAUAUGUUUAUUACCUCAUUUUAUAUUUAUUGUCUAAUUUCAGGUGACAAUAGCCAAAAAGAUAGAAUAUGAGCCAAAAAUGCAUAAAUGGACUUUAAUUAGACUGCAGCUGUAAAAGGCUCGGAAUAAAGACACGUGGACAACCAAAAUUGCAGGCCUAGUCGAGUUUAUCAAUAUCCAUGAAAGAAAAAUUAAUUAUGAUGUAAUUAAGAUAAAUUAUUUUUUUUAAGUUGUUUAUUUUGUUUAGGAUAGUUAACAGAUAACUAUAGCAGUGUUAUGCUUAGAGAAGGACUCUGAAAAAAGAAUCUUUACAAGAAGUAGAGCAGUUAAACAAGGAGAGCAUCGUUCUAUUAUUCUUCUCUCUGCAAAUUCCCUAUAGUUCGUCUUCUACAACAUUUAAUUAGUUUUGCAUUAUUCUUUCAAAGAUUAGAGAAGCUUUUCAGGACGUGGAGAAUAAGGAUCAAUCUUCUUCAUCCCUUGAAGAACUUCUGGAUUUUAAGAGAGUUUUAAUUCUCUGUUUUAUAUUUCUUAUGUCUUUCUAUUUAAUUAUAAAGACUGUUGAAUUAAAUAUAUCAGGCUAAGUUCCAUAAGUGUUUUUAGUUUGGCUUUUUACUUAUAUAUGAACUUUAUAUAUUAUGAGUUUAAUAAAUAAUUUCUUUAUCUUCAUACAUGUAUUAGUUUCAUCUAUUAUUGUUGAUUGACCAUUAUAUCAAUUUUAAUAGUAAUAUGUGUUUUGAAAAUCUUUAGGUUAAAAGUAUUAGAAACAUCAUCUUUACUUUAAUCCAUAUUGGUAUAAGAAACCUAGGUUGCAUCAUUAGCUUGAGUGACUUAGGGAAAAGGUACAUCACCAUCUCAUUCAUGAGAUUUAGAUUUAAAGGGAAAUAAGGAGAUUACUAAGUAUAAACUAGACUAAAUGCUAAUUUAUCAUACAGUUUACAUUAAAUAUUUUAUUUGCAUAUUAUUUUCUAUUUUAUUUAAUUUCUUUCGUAAACCUUCAAAACUAUUCUCGAAGCAUUGACUUAGAGUGUUUAGAUUUAUUUUUAGAUAUUUUUGUAUGAUAGUUGGUCUUUAUAAUAUAAGCUCUAAAUGUAAUUCAUCAACGCAAGAUUCCUACAACUUGAGAUCAGCUAUUAAAAAGGGAGAAGGAGACUAAGAAGUAGAUAGUGAGUUUGUACCUCCAGGAGAAAAAUAAUUUGAAGAAAAGCUAGAACAAGAAUUUGAAGAGGAGGUUGAAAUGGCUAUGAAAGAUUAUGCUCGUCCCAUAAUUGGUAACACUACUUCAUGCAUAAUUCUAGGUGAUGCAUCUAGGAAUUAUAAACUUAAGAACAUUCAUUUUAAUAUGAUUCCUUCAUUCUAUGGUAUGCCUAGUAAAAAUAAAUUACAUUUAUUUAGAAAUUUUAUGUUACAGUUUAUAUAUUCCCAUUAUCUAGACUAAAUAAAUACCAACUAAGCAUGAGAUGUUUUCCUUACUCAUUAAAAGAGAAAGCAAAUGUUUGGUUAAUGACCAUGCCUCCUAAUUCUUUGAGAACUUGAGAUGAAAUUUAUCAAAAAUUUAUGAGUAAAUUUUACUCAUAUUAAAAGACCAAAUAAUUAAAGGCUAAAAUUUUCAACUUUUAUCAAAAUGAUACUAAAUCUUUUCAUAAAGCAUGAGAUCGCUUCAAAUCACUUUUAUUGCAAUGCCCACACCAUGGAUAACCCACUUCCUGUGACCAACCAAUCAUUCUAUGAUGGUUUAACAUAAUAAUAUCAAUAUAUGGUUUAUAAUAUAGCUGGGGGUGCUAUGUUAGAAAAAACUGUUGAUGAGGUUUGUGAUAUCUUUGAGAUGUUAGAAGCCAAUUCACAAUAAAAGAGUAUGAGAACAAAAGGAGUAGGAGUAAAUGAAGUUGUGUCUAAUAAUGAGAUGGCUAUGCAGGAAUAUACCAAGCAAUAAGGUAUGUGGUAUAUGUGGUGUUUAUGGUCAUGGUGCUAAUGUUUGCUCAUCUUAUGAGAUUUAUGCAUGAAAUAAUUAUGAACAAGUUAAUUUGAUAGAAUCUUAUCAGCCUAGGCAACCUAGGAAUAAUCCAUAUUCCAACACUUACAAUCCAGAAUGGAGGAACCAUCCAAAUUUUUUCCUGGAGAAAUAAUGAUCAAAACCCACCAUAAAUAACCUAGGUUACAUUAUUAGCUUGAGUAACUUAGGAAAAAGGCACAUCGCUAUCUCAUUCAUUAGAUUUGGACUUAAAGGAAAAUAAGGAAUUACUAAAUAUAAGAUAGACUAAAUACUAACUUAUUAUAUAGUUUACAUUAGACAUUUCAUUUGCAUAUUUAUUUAUUUAUUUAUAUAAUUUAUUUUAUAAACUCUCAAAACACUGGCUUAGGGUGUUCAGUUUUAAUUUUAGGUGCUUUGUGUGAUAAUUAAUUUUUAUAAUAUAUGAUUUACAGUUAUUUUGUGAGAUCGAUUUCGUGAUAAAUUUACUCAUAUUAUCAUUCGAUUCGUACACUUACGAAUAUUAUAUUUGAGACAUCAAUCACAUUAUUCAAAAUAAUAAAUCAUAUGCCCAUUACUUGAAUAUAUCAAAUGUUUAUUACUUGAUUAAUAUGAGAUUAUUAUUAUUAUUAUUCCUGUAAUUUAUAUGUACUAAUUUAUUAUUUAUUUUUAGUGUUAAAUUGUACAAAAUAUCUAUAUAUUAAGUUGUAGAAAACUCGAGAUGUCAAAUACCAUAUGAGUUGCAUUUAUAAAUUUAAUAUGAUGAUAUAUAUGUUUCAAUAUAAAUAACUAUUAAGUUUGAGUUUUCCUUCCUGUUUGUCAUGAAAAACUGUCCACUUGCAAUGGCAAAAAUAAUAUUAUGUGAUUCUUAAGGAUUCAACGCCCAGUUAUCAAGAAUCGAGAGAGAGCCAUGACACAUCUUGUCCUCUACUGAUCAAUCAUUCACCCCAACUUAAAGCACUAGGCACGAGCCAUGAGACAUAGGCCUUGAUAGUGGUCCUGUCCUCUAUUUAUCAAUCAUAUCCCUCAAUUGAAGCACGUUGUUAUUUCGAAGAAAGAAAAAAUGUACGAUUUUGUGCAAGAAUUUACAACCAAGUAUUUAAGGGUGGCCUGAUCCAUUUAGAUAACAGUCUGCCCCACCGAGCAGUACUAUCACCAAAAAGUGUGAUUCUAGUCAUUUAUAUACAGAUAAAUGCCUCAAAAGGCAACCACUUAAUGUAUACACUGAGCUAUAUGCAUUUUCAUAAAAAAUAAUAUAUUUUAUUUGACAUCUCAUAUUUAAAAUGUGAUAUUUUAGAUCAUAUAAAUAAAUAUAUGUAUAUUUAUCCAGCUAAAGAAAAUUAUAUUUAUAUAUAAAAUAUUAAAAAUAUUAUUCUUCAUUUUCAGUUUUUACAAAGAAUAAUUAAAUUAAAAUCACCUUUAAAUAAAUAUUUUUUAUGAGAAACAAUUUAAAAGAUCAUAAUUAUAUAAAUAAUAAAGUAAAAAAAAUACAAUGUUAUAAUUUUAUCCACUCUCCCAGCAUGCAAGACUUUUAACCAAAUCCUUAACCGAACUAUAACUUUACACAACCUGCUAACUUUAAAGAGUUAUUUAAACAUUUAACUCUAUUUUUAAUAAUAAUUUUAAUGUUUUUUUUGCUAACAAUCCUUAUCCAACUUCUAAUAUCUAUAUAGUAUCUCGUUCUUGACAAUCAUUAACUUUUAUAAUUAACAUAAUCAAUCAUCUUAAUAACUAAUCCACCUUAUCCACUAAUUACACUUCAACUCAUUUAAUUAAUAGGAGUAUUAAAAAUAUUAAUUAUAAUAUCACAUUAACAUAUCAUUAAUUAUCAACCAAUAAUUAUAUAUAAUUAAAUACCUCAGUUACUUACUAUAAGUUUUAUAAUUCAUAUACCACCUUCUAAACUAAUUAUCAUAAUUUAAUAAUAAAAUUCAUAAUGUAGUUAAUAUUUAUUUUUCUUAUGUUCUCCAUCUUCCCAAUAAUAGAUUUUCGUCCAUUUAAUCUAUAAAAAUAAUAAAUUAAUUAAUUCCUUAAUAUAGGUACUAACUAAUAUAUCUUCAAAAAUGUUAUAAUCUUUAAUUAAUAAUUAUGUAAUACCCGAAAUUUUUAUAUAUUUAAUAAUGAGUUUUUAUUUAAGUUAAUUUUAGCUUUAUUUUUAUUCGGUUUAAUUGGAAUGAUUUAAAUACAAAUUUUGAAUUUUAAUGUUAGACAAAUAAAUGAAUUAUUUUUCUAUACCCAAUUAGUUGAAAUUUUAAGAAUUAAUUAAGUAAAUUAUUUGAAGAGUAGAAUAUAUUUUUGGUUAUUCAAAUUUUUCCCAAAUGCAUAUUUAUAUAAGUAAAAUUAUAUAUUGGAAAAUUAUGGUAGAAAUUGUAAAGGAUGUUAUAAAAGAAUUUUGAGAAAAUUGGUAUUAUAAUUGAUUAGUAGUAUUAAAUUUUAAGUUGGAAAUUGAUUAUUUAAUUUAAUUGUGUGUAGGAUUUAAUUGGAGGAUUAUUUUGGAAUAAGGAUUAAAAGUAUAAUUUUAUUAUUAUGAGGGUUUAAUGGAAAUUUGUGAGUUUGGUAUUUUCGUAAAUAAAUAUGUCGGUCAUGUGUAUUUUUGUAAUUUUAUAUUUUCAAUAAUUCUAAUUUGGCCCAAAUUAAAUAGUUAAGGGCUUAAUUGAAAGGAUAAAAGAAAGUUUAGGGGUUAAAUUGAAAUUCUGCAGGAUGAGAUUGUAAGUAAGGAAGUUGAGGGACCAAAUUGUGAUAAGGAAAAGUUUGGGGGCUUAAUGUCGAUAUUGAAAGAAAGAAAAAAGGAAUGGAAUCGGGGAAGAAGAAGAAAAAGAGAGAGAGAUGUCGGGGGAGAGAGAGGAGCGCGCGGAGGAAGGAGCUGCGGCGUCGAGGCCGUCCGUCCGGGGUGCGGGGCUGGCCGGCGAUGCUACGGGAGUCAGCGGCGGCGGCAGCAGCGGCAGCGGCAGUGGCACCAGCGGGCGACUGCAGCAGCUCGCGCGAGGAGGAAGUUGGCCGAAGCUUCCUUGCCGCCGUGCGGGCGCUUCCGGCGUCGGUGGUCGCUGAUCUUGGUGCCGAUCGACUCCUCUCGGCCUUAGCUUUGUUUUGGUGGCGGCGAUGUCGACAAUGGUGGCCGGAAACGGAGGUUCACGGUGGAGAGAGAAAAUGGAGGCAGCCAAGCUUUUUGGGCAUUUCCGGUGAGCUCCAGCGAGCUAUGGAAGAUCAGAGGACAUAUCCCGACUCUCCUCAGCUCAUGCUUCGAAAUGGCACCGGUUUCGUGGCGAUCGGGCUCCGUUUGCGAAUCGACGGCCGAGAUCCUCCGAAAAUCUCUCCAGAUGAUCGGGUGUCAGAUCGGAAAAUUAAAAGCGGGGAUCGUCAUCAGCGCAUCCUUGUGAGUCCGAUGAUGUGUUCGGAUCGUCGAUCGGACUCCGGCGGCUGAAGGCGAGUCGACCGAGCGAUCGAGCAUCUCAGUAAUUUUCUCUGGCCGUUGAUCUUGGAAAUCCUUUGAUUUUAAAUUUAUGCUUAUUGUUUUAUGUUGAGUAUUUAAUAUUUGUGAGUCAAAAAUAAUUGUCUGUCAGUUUGCCUGCCUCGUGUUUUAUAUUGUGUGGCGGAGUCGGGAAAAUAGUGAAGUUUGGAGACCCGACUCCCGUUGUUUGAAUUGUUGAAUAUUUGAAGUGUUUUUCUGGCAGGUCCUAGACCCGUUUUUACGAGGGGUAAUGUCCGUAUUGUAGGGGAUGUUCCGCCGAAUUUUCGGUAGAAUUCUCCCGAGUCGAGAUUUUUAGACAGUCAGUCCUAGGAGUCUAGACCUAGGAUUAAUGAUCGAUUGUUUCAGCGUUUUGAUAAUUGUUUUCCGUGACUAGAUUGUCCGUUUUUUCCGCUCGCUCCAACCGAGGCACCAGAGCAGAGCUAGGAGGUCGCUCAAUUUUGUGAGUUAAAGUCAUUUAAUCAUUGCACUAUUGCUAAGUCUGAUUUUAAUAUGCUAUUUUAGAAUUUGUGCUUAAUAUGAUUAUUAGUAUCGCAAAAUAAAUAAUUUCACUUGAUUAUUAAUUAUUGAAAAUAAUAUAAAUAUUAUUAUUAGUAACGUUAUAAUAAUACAGAUAUUAUUAUUUUUUUCGACACGAAUUGCACAUUGCCUUAUCCUAAAUUUUUAAUCUUUNNNNNNNNNNNNNNNNNNNNNNNNNNNNNNNNNNNNNNNNNNNNNNNNNNNNNNNNNNNNNNNNNNNNNNNNNNNNNNNNNNNNNNNNNNNNNNNNNNNNNNNNNNNNNNNNNNNNNNNNNNNNNNNNNNNNNNNNNNNNNNNNNNNNNNNNNNNNNNNNNNNNNNNNNNNNNNNNNNNNNNNNNNNNNNNUGGGAAAUGUGGCUUUAGUAGACAUGCCACUGUGGGUGCAUCAGACGCGUGCGCAACGGUAUGAUCAAAGUAAGGUAAUAAGGUUAUUAUGGAUUUGUUUGCCUGAUCGAGCAUUGCUCUCUGGGCUGAGUUCAGUUGAUUGCCGGGAAUUAAGGUCCCUGAUCAAGCAACGCUCUCUGGGCACCGGCUUAUUUGGAAUUCAAGUGUUCAGGCUAGAGGUAAGGACCCUGAUCGAGCUUGCUCUCUAGGCGCCAGACCUGUUGGAUUAAGAGAGCCGAAAGGCUACUAGAAUUUGGGGUUAGGGUUCUACUGAGCCACUCGUCCCGUAAAAGUAAAAAUAUAUUUUUAUUUAUUAUGGUAUGAUUAUAGUAUGAUUGGUAUUUAUGUGCAUGGUUUGAUAUACUGAUUUGAAUAAUUAAUAUUUUCUGUGAAGACUGUAAUAGUCUCUAGAUUAUUUGAUUUUAACUCACUCUCGAGACUGACAGUCUCCAUUUAUUUUUUUUCAGAUUCGUGACUGUUAGUCUUCCCGCGACUCUUACUCAGUAACUCGAUUCUUUCAUCAUCGGGUGGUGUUUGAUUUGGUAUGUCAAAUUGUAAAAAUCUUAGAUUCUCCGUAGUUGCAAUAGUAGAGGUAUCAGUUGUAAAUUUUAUGAGUUUCGGGUCUCGCCUAAUUUUUCUGGCAGACCGAAGUAAUUAUGUAAAAUGUAACUAUUAAGAUAAUUUAUGGCUUUAAUAAUAUUAAUUUGAGAUGAGAUUUGUUUGAGUUGUGAGUUUCAGGCUUACUACGGGAUUCGGUGGCUUUACGCCUACCCAUUCCCUAGUGCCGGUCACGGGCUCACAGCUGGGGUGGUGACAAAUUAUCUAUUUAUUCUACUGAAAUUUAUAUUAACUAUGUAAAAAUUAAACAAUAUGCAUAUAUGUUAGCGGACUCGGCAUUGGUCGUUGGAGUCUGAUCGAUUAUCCAAUGAAUCUAAUAGACUCGUAAUGAUACAUAGAUCAUGAAUCCAAUGUGAUCCUUCAUUCAAGUUACCGAUCAACUCUGAAAUAGUCAAACAGUUUUGGCUAUCAAUUUUUCAAGAGAGUCAUAUCACUAUAAAACUGGUGUAGAUAGAAAAUUUAUAAGGAGAAUUUAUUAUUCUCUAAUUACUUAGAACACGUCACAAUUAGAUGAAAUCCGUUACAAAUCAAACUAGCUUUGUUUUCUCUCUCUACUGCGUCUCAUCAUCCCCAGUCAAAGUAGAGGCCGCCAUGGUCAUCACUUGAAAGCUCAUUAUAAGAUGAGUCCAAUGCCACUAGUUCUAAUAACCGGCCUACUAAAGGAAGGAGAUCCGCUAGUUGGAAUUUUUAAUCUUCUAAACUUACUCCUCCAUACGUUGCCCACAAUCGCCAAGUGGUAACAGCAAGGUCACUUAGUGACUGUGGGCAGCGUAUGGAGGGGUAAGUUUAGGACACUAAAACUUCCAAUUGGUAGAUCUCUCUCCUUUAGUAGGGCCAAUGACUGGAACUAGUGGCAUUGAACUCAUCUUGUCAUGAGCUUUCAAGUGAUGAUCCUGGUAGCCUUUACAUUGAUCAGAGAUGACGAGACACAGUGGAGAAAGAAAACGAAGCUAGUUUGAUUUUAACGGAUUUCAUCCAAUUCUAAUGAUGCAACCAAGGAUGCAUCUAAGUCAACUAGCAUGGAUCCACUAGCCUAUGGAGGACCAAUGACACGAGCAAGGAGUAAGAAGUUCAAGCAAGCCUUAAAUUCUUACUUGGAGCAUGUUUUGAAGAUGGCUAAUGAUGGUGCUUUUGAUGAUGAUGCCUUGAAGAUAGUGACAUUAAUUGCUAUUAAUGAAAGAGCAAAAAUUUAGGCAGAAGAUCAUUUUCAGUAAAGCCUGACCACGCCUUACAAUCCAUGAGCUGCUGGAACCUCAAAAAAAGUGUUGAAUUUUUCAAGAUAAAUUCGUGGUGGACCGAUUUUUAGUUAAUUUCCUCUAUUUUUGGAAGUACUGGAUAAAGAGAACUUUCUCCCAUGAAUUUAGAAUUUUAAUUUUUUUAGAUUACUCUUUAUCUUAUCCUUCCUUAUAGGGAUAAGAUCAGCCGCAUAUUAGGAGUCUUUUAUGGUUUGAUUUUUAUUCCUUAUUUCUUAGUUCUUUUUAGGGUUAGAAUCAUUUCAAAGACUCUAUGAAUAGAGCUAUGUAUUUCGGCCAAAGGCAUUAUAUUUUAUAAGAUCAAUAUAUCAUUUUGAAUGAAGUUUAUUUUCCUUGAGUUGUUAACUCUUGAAUUUCUUGAGAUUAAAUUAACUUGUUUAGUUUAAUUUCACAUCUACAUGUUUGAUCAAUCAAUUAAAUUUUUAUUAGUUUCUUGAGUUGUUUGAACAUUCUUCAUCUAUUUAUAACUAAAAGGGCUUAGUAGUUCUAUUGCUAAGUUUGUUAAUUCCAUAAUCAAUUACAAACUUUCAAGUUAGAUUUUGGAGCGAUAAUUCAAACUUAUUGGUAAUGGUACUUCCUCUUAAAUGGAGAGAGCGUUUAUUAGUUGAUUAUCUCACCAUUGCUUAUCUUGGUGUUUGAACGUAUCCAGUUCGAGUUCGUAUCAGACGUGCUUUGGGUAAUCAAAGAACAAUAAAAUCUCCUCCUCAUAAACUUUCUAUCUACACCAGUUUUAUAGUAGUCGGACUCCUUUAAUAAAUUGAUGUCCAAAAUUGUUUGACUAUUUCAGAGUGAUCGGUAACUUGAAUGAAGGAUCAUACAUUUGAUUUGUGAUCUAUGUAUCAUUACAAGUCUAUUAGUAUCAUCGAAUAAUCAAUCGGACUCACUCUGAAGACUAGCACCAUAUCCAUUAACAUAUGGUAUAUGAAUUAUAAAACUUAUAACAAGGAAUUAGAGUAUUUAAUUAUAUAUAAUUAUUGGUUGAUAAUUAAUUAUAUUAUUAAUAUUGUUAAACUCCUAUUAAUUAAAUGAGUUGAAGACUAAUCAGUGGAUAAGGUGGUACACCGGGUAGCUGACAAGACUCUAAGACUAUCAUGAUUGAAGAAAGUGUAGUGGACUCGGCUCUAGACUACCUUGCUGAAUUUAUGUGAUUCUUAAGGAUUUAAGCUAGUUAUCAAGACUCAAGAGGGAGCCAUGUAACAAUGAGUCUUGGUCUUGUCCACUAUUUAUCAAUCAUCCAUCUUCGAUCACCCUAUAUGCAGAAAUUACAUAAUUAAAUUUAUAAUUUCAUCUAUUUUGACAAUUUUAUUUUGAUUAAAGUUUUUUAGUUAAAUAUCUUAAAUCUAAUUUUUUUUACAUUUAAAAUAGUUGUUUGAGAGUUCAGUUUAAACAUAAGAAUUGAUUGGGAAAUUACUAAAAAAAUAAAUUUUGUGUAACAUUUAUAUAAAUAUAUAAAUGGUUUUAAUUAUAAGACAGCUACUAAAUGGAAUUGCAGAACGUUUUUACACUAUUUUUCUAAUUAAAAACAGAAAUUUUAAUAUGCCAAUAAAAAAAUUAUAUUAAUUAUGUAAAAUUAAUUAAGUAUUUAAAUUUAUAUUGAAAUAAUUAAGAUUACUUAUUGUAGUGAAAUAAUCUAAUGAAACAUAUAUUUUGGCUUUCUUGAUUUUCUAGUUCUCCAACUAUAGAGCUUCUAGUCCGUCCAUAUAAAGAAAUAGAAGCAACAUUGUAGAGAUUUGAUUUUCUCCUUUAUCAAACCCUUUUACCAAAACCAAUUUUUAGAUUUAUUUUUUCUUAUAACCAUCAAAAUCUCAAGAGUGUUUUUUUUAAAGACUACAUUGUAUUAUCCGCAUAAACGAUAACUAAUAUAUAUAUAUAUAAAUAAAUUAAAACUUCUUUUUAACUUUUACUUUUUGCCUCUUUUUAAUUUAUUUAUAUAUAUAUAAAAAUAAAUUAAAACUUCUUUUAACUUUUACAUUAAUAUAUUUAUAUAUAUUAAUGUAAAUUAAUUAUUUCAUUUAACCAUUUAACUAAAAUAUAAUUAAUUCUGGCAUAAAUUACUAACACCAUCAAGAGAAGCUAGCAUAGUGCAAGAGAUUACAGAGGUAAGGUAGUAUUCUGCAUGGCCACAAAACUGUCCCUUCGAUAUGGUGCUUAUAAUUGACUAGAACUGGAAAGCUUGCACACUUUGCAGGAUGCAGUUUUUGGCAAACUCUCAGCUCUUUUUAUCUCAUUUGCUAUUUUCUCCUUUUUUUUUUUUGGUCACACGAUGUAAUAAUCUUCACUAUAACCUCUCUCCCAUUUACAAGGCAAAGCAUAUGGUUGCUCGGCUGGUUAAAUGCUAUUAAUAAAAAUAGUAAUUCAUUAUUUUUAACAAUAAGGCACAAAGAUUUCUUGAUUUAUCAUGCUAUUGCUUUAGGAUUAUAUACAACCACAUUGAAAUAAAAAAAAAAAUCGCUACUUUAAACCGUAAAUACUAAAUCGCUACUAUGGAUUGUCGUUAAUUAUUAAAAUUCAUUGAGGAACAUGAAUUUUGCGACUGCUAUCUCAGAAUCGCUGCAUGGAAAAGAGCCAUUGUAACUUUAAAAAUUGCGGCCGCAAUUUAGCAAGCGCGUUCAAUAUUGAGCAAGCGCAACCACUAUUCUUCAGUUGUGACUGCAACAGCUCUGACAAUGCGUUUUUGCACUAGCUUGAGCUAAAAAAAAGAAGAUUGGUAAGAGUUAUGUGAGUAAUGGUUCAUUGGUAGUUUGGAACUAUAAAUACUCCCUAGAAUAUUUAUGAAUGAUGAAAAACCUCACAUUACACAAUUUAUUGAUCCUUUAAUUCUCACAUUUGUAUAUCAUUUUUAUCUUUAUAAAAGGUUGUUGUAAAGGUUUAAGUGUUAGCCUUAAACAUUUAGAUGGGUUUGAUAGUUAGCUUAGUAAUAAAAACUCUUGUAAGGAUUUGAGUGUGACCUACAAAUACUUAAAAAAAAGUUUGAGAGUUAGCAUGGAUAAAAUAACUUUUGUGAAGUUUGUUGUGAGCCUAGACACUAAGUUUGAGAGUGAGCUUGGAAAAAAUUCUCAGAUAUAGGUUUGAUGUGAGCUUGUAAAAUACUUGAGUUCGAUCUUUCACCCGCAAAAAGAAUCAGCAAUAAUAAAAUACCAAUUGAAAAUUGAGGAGUAUAUGUAGGGUUAGUUAAUAUCCAAACUAUUAUAACUCUUUGGUGUUGAUUUUUCUUCCAUCUUUAUCUAAUCUCUUGAGCAAAUUUUAAUUACCUAUCAAUCUUUUAAACACCAAUUCAACCCUUCUUCUUGGUGCAUCUAGGUCAAACAUGAAAUAAGGAUACUAAAGUUAUUUGCUUUAAAAUAAAAGGACACUAAAGAUACUACUAAUAAUAAGAAUUUAAUUAUAAUAUCCAAAAUAAGCUUAAUAGUAAUCUAUUUUACAUAUUAUUUUUAUUCUUUAUUUGUAUUUCAUACUAAUAAUUAAAAACUAAAAUUCGACCUAAUUUCAGUCACUAAUAAAUUUUUAUUGAGUCAAACGUAAACAGUAACAUGUUCGAAUCGGCUUUUGUAAUUUUCACUCAAAAUACAUUGUUAGGAAAUAUCCUAAUAUAGAAGGUGAUACUCAUGUAUGCUUUUAUAGAUGCUAGGAUAGUUAUUAUAUUUAUUUUUAAUAUAUAAAUUAAUAUUAAUAGAAGAUAUUUAACAUAUAUAUCGUUUGAAAUUAUAAUAAUUUAGAUAAAAAUAGAUAAGAUAAUUAUUAUAUAAGAUAAAAUAAGUUUAGUUAUAAAAUAUGAAUAUAAAAUUAAUUUAUAAAUACAAUAUAUAAUUUAUUAAUAGAAUAUGUAAUUAAAUGCUGUAUAAAGUACGAGUAUUAAAUUAAUUUUGUUAAUAGUUUCAAGUCCUUAAUUUAUAAAAGGUACAAAAUAACUUCUUAUGCAGGUAAUAAUAUCUGCCACUUUCACUGGGUUUGGAAGGAUCAUAAAAUAGUAUUACUAUAGUCAUCUAGAAUAUAUAAUAUUUGAAGAAUGAAAAACUAUAAAUUAUAAAAUUAUUUGAAGAAUGAAAAUCUAUAAAAUUAUUUAAAAAAAUAUUAAUUAACUUAAAAGUAAUUUAAAUAAUUAAAAUACUUGUUAAAUAGGGAGUCCUCAAUUAAAUGUACUUGUAGGUUUAUGCUCUAGCAAUGGAGCCGGACGGUUCCGCUUCAUACUUUUGAUUCUAGCUAGUUCUAACUAAUUUUUUUUUAAAAAGAAAUUAAUUAAUUAAUUUUUUUUUUUUUUUAUGAAUUGGAGUUAUAUUUGAUAUUUCUGGUUCCAGCUCAGGAGAAACUAAUCUUAAAUUAAUUUUCUGAUUCUAAGCCGAUUUCAAUUUUCUUUUAACUAAUUUAAUUUAAUUUAUUUAAUUUAUAUUUUUUAUCUAAAUAUUAAAAAUUAAUAUCAAUAAUAUUAAAAUUUAUAAAAUAGAAAAAUAAAUAAAUAAAAUUAUCCUUAAAUUCUCUCAUUCAAUUUAGGAAAGAAAGAAAUAAAUUUACCUUAUUUUUUGCAUUGGGCCAACCAACUAAGAAUUCUUUUUACAUUCUUUUCUCUAUUCUUUCUUUUAGUGUUUAGUGUUUCAACGUUUCGAAUUUAAGGUUCUUGAUUAGAUAUAUAUUUAUACAUCGGUACAUUAGCAUAUUAAUAGCUCUUCAAUCAAUAGAUAAAAGAUAUUUCUACAACUUAGUUAAUAUAUAUUUUGUUUUAUGUGAAAAGUUAUUUUUUUUAAUUUUCCGUCUGAAAAAAAUGAAAAAAUAAAAUUUGUAUGAUAAACUAUGAUUAGUUUAUUUAUAUUAUAAAUAACUAAUAAUAUUAGCAUCUUUAUAUUAGCAUCAAAGUUUGAAAGAGACGUUUUUUCGUUGGAAGUUUAAAACAUUGCCAACCCUACCAUGAAAAAGCUGAUGAUAGAGCUUUUUCUAACUCGUGCAUUUUGCUCCGUCUGUUUCAUAGAAAAUAUAUUCUAGAAAAGCAUUUACAAUUUCUUUUUUGUUUAUGAAAAGAAAUUUGGGGUCAAAACAAUUCAGCCAUUUUCUAAAAACAACGAUAUUUUACGUUAAAAAAUAGAAAACAGCCAUUUUCUAUUCAUUGGUGAUAUUUAAAAUAUUUUUCAAAAAACUAAUAUAUAUAUAUAUCCUUUCACAUAUUAAUUAUCCUAAAUCACUUCCGAUGAUCUUUAACGACCUCUAAUAAUACGUAUCUCAUGUUGGUCCUGAGACAAUCAUUAAAAAUAUACUUAAUAAUACAGUAAAAUCUUUUUAUAUUCAUGCACUUGAAAUUAAAUAAAAUUUAUCAUUAUGAGGAUAUUAUAAUUUAAUGGAGGUUUGAAUACUAAUCUUUUUUUACUUUAAUACUUAUUUUUUUGGUGAAAUAAUAGCAACUAGAAAUAAAGCACGCUAAUAUCUUGUCAUAUUAUACAAAUAUGAUUAAUGAGACAAAAAAUAAUACAGUAAGAUAAAAAAUAGCAUAUAUUUUUAAAAUAUAUAUAUACAAAUAUUAUUAUAUAAAGAAAGAUUUUUUAAGAUGAGAUUUAAAAAUUUAUAACUUAUUACGAUAUAAAAUUUAUUUUUCUUUAUAACUGGUUCAAAUUAAGAUAGAUUUUUUUUUAAUAAAUUCUCAUCUUAAAAAAUAUCUAUACGGUACUUUUUAUAAUGAAUCAAAAGUUUAAUACAUUUUUGUUAUAAAGUGUAAAACUUAUUGAUUAUAUAUGUAAUUUACUCUCUAGAUGUGCCGGAUCAGUAUUAUUAAAAUUAAAAUGUAGUAACUAUUUAAUUAUAAAUAAAAAAUUUGAUAUCCUUUUAUCAUAAAGUAUAAAAUUUAGAGACCACCAAUAUAAUUUAUUUGAUCAACGCGAGCCUGUGUCUUUCUUAAAGAUGAUUGGUUUGAGCUAUACGAUGUAGAAUAGAAAUGUGAGCUUGAAGACAUCCUCUACGUUUUGAAAUAGUACGAGAGCUUUAGGCUCGAGAUGGAUCUAGGAAUUUAUUUUCUGUUUAAAAAGCUCAAAUGUAUUGAGAAAAAAUAGAUAAAACGACAUCUUAUAUUUCUAAAGAAACUGGGUUGGAAUUGGGUUAGGCUAGGUUUUAGGAUAGAGAUUUGGUUUAAAUGGUUUUAUGAUUAGGAAAAAAUUUGUCAAUUUUUCAAAAUAUGUAUCAAUCUAAUAUUAGGUGUUGAUUGGUCCAAAUUGUAUAUAGAUAUUUAAAGGUAUUUUAGAGAUUUAACGGUAUAUUUCUAUAUAUAAUAUGAUGUAAAUAUGUGUUCUUACCACACUUUAGUUUUCUUAUUUAAUUUUAGAAAAUAAUCGUCAAAGAUGAGAAUUUGAGCUAAAAACGCACUAAUGGGCUUUAAUUGAACUUCAGCUGUAAAAGGCUCGGAAAUCAGACAUAUGGGCUAUCAAUAGGUUGGGUUUAGCUGAAUUCAUUAAGGCCCAAGAAGGAGGAUUUAAGUAAUUAUGAUGUAAUUAGUGGAUAAUUAUCUUUUAAGUUGUUUACUUUGUUUAGGACAGUAAGAAAUAAUUAUAGUAGUUAUAUAUUGAGAAUAGAACUCUAACAAUAGGAUCUCUAUAAGAAAUAGAGAUUAAUUAAAAUGGGAGAGUUUAGCUAAUACUAUUCUCCCUGAAGAAAGGAUUCUACUAGUCUCUGCAGAAAUUUCUAUAGUUCAUCAUUUUCUACAUCUAACUAGUUUUGUUGCAUCAUUCUUUCAAAAAUCAAAGAAGCUUUUUAAAGAUGUGGAGAGAGAGGAUCAAUCUUCUGCAUUUCUUGAAGGGACUUUGAACUUUGAGGGAGUUUUAAUUUUAUGUUUUAUGUAUCUUAUGUCUUUCUAUUUAAUUACAAUGAUCAUCGAAUUAAGUAUAAUAGGUUAAGUUCUAUAAGUGUUUGAUUUGGCUUUUUACUUAUGUAUGAACCUUAUAUAUUAUGAGUUUAAUGAAUAAUUUAUUUCCUUUCAUAUAUGCAUUAGUUUCAUCUACUAUUAUUGGUUGACCACCAUAUCAAUUUAGUAGUAAUAUUUGUUAUGAAAAUCUUUAGGUUAAAUGUAUUAGAAACAUCAUCUUUAUUUUAAUUUAUAUUGGUAUAAGAAACCUAAGUUGCAUCAUUAGCUUGAGUGACUUAGAGAAAAAUGUAUAUUGCCAUUUCAUUUGUUAGAUUUGGACUUAAGGGAAAUAAGGGGAUUAUUAAAUAUAAACUAGACUAAAUGCUAUUUUAUCAUAUAGUUAUUAUUAAUCAUUCUAGUUGCAUAUUUAUUUUCUGGUUAUUUAAUUUCUUUUAUAAAUUUUAAUAUCAUUCUCAGAACAUUAACUUAGAGUGUUUAUAUUUAUUUUUAGUAUUUUGUGUGAUAGUUGAUCUUUAUAAUAUAUGUUCUACAAUUGUGAGAUCGACCUCGUAGUGAGCUUGCCCAAACUAUCAUUCAGCUCAUAUAUUUGCGAGUACUAAUUUAGACACAUCAAGUUUUCGGUGUCGUUGCAGGGGAAUUAUGUCAAUAUUAUAUUCAUUAAUUGUCGGGUAGUGUUUCUUGUGUUUUUGUAUGUUGCAUGUUAUUUAUCUCUGUUUUAUUUUUAAAUUCCGUUCUUAAGUUUUUAAAUUUGAAAUUUUUUCUUUGAUUUUGUAUACCUAGCAGGAAAACGAGAUCAGGUGAUUCAUAAACUCAAAAUUCCUACAAUUUGAUAUCAACUGUUAAAAAGGAAAAAGGAGACCAAUAGGUAGAGAGUGAGUUUGUACCUCCAAGAGAAGAAGAAUUUAAAGAAAAGCUAGAACAAGGGUUCGAAGGAGAAGUUGAGAUAAUGACUAAUGACCAAAGAGAAGUUGCAGCUCAAAGGCAAAUGGCUAUGAAGGACUAGGCUUGUCCUAUAAUUGGGUAACACUACUUCAUGCAUAAUUUUAGGUGAUGCAUCUAGGAAUUAUAAACUAAAGAAUAUCCAUUUUAAUAUGCUUUCGUCAUUUUAUGGUAUUGCCUAGUGAGGAUGCAUUGACAUUCAUUAUAGAGUUUUAUGCUAUAGUUCAUACAUUCCCAUUACCUCGACUCAAUGAGGACCAAUUAAAGAUGAGAUGUUUUCCUUACUCAUUAAAAGACAAAGCAAAGGCUAGGUUAAUGACUUUACCUCCUAAUUUUUUAAGAACUUGGAAUAAAGUUUAUAAAAAAUUUAUGAGUAAAUUUUACUCAUGUCAAAAGACUAGAAAAUUAAGGGCUGAAAUUUUUAACUUUUAUCAAAAGGAUAUUGAAUCCUUUCAUGAAGCAUGAGAUCGAUUCAAAUCACUUUUACAACAAUGUCCACACCAUGGAUACCCACUUUCUAUGACCAACCAAUCGCUCUAUGGUAGUCUAACACAAUAAUAUUAAUGUAUGGUUGAUAAUUCAGCUGGGGGUGCUAUGGUAGAAAGAACUGUUGAUUAGAUUUAUGACAUCUUUGAGGUGUUAUGAGCCAAUUGACAAUAAAAGAGUCUAAGAACAAAAAGAGUAGGAGUGAAUGAAGUUGUGUCUAAUAAUGGGAUGGCUAUGCAAAUAGCUGAAUUAACUAAACAAGUUAGGAUUCUUGCUUCAACUGAGAAUGUACAAAGCAAUAAGGUAUAUGGUAUAUGUGGUGUUUAUGGUCACGUUGCUAACGUUUGUUCGUCUUAUGAGACUUGUGCAGGAGAUGAUUAUGUACAUGUUAAUUUCAUAGAAUUUUAUCAUCCUAGGCAACCUAGAAAUAACCCAUACUCCAAAACUUAUAAUCCAGGAUGGAUGAAUUAUCCAAAUUUCUCCUAGAGAAAUAACGAUCAUAAUCAACCACAAAUACUGAGAAAUCAAAACCAGUCCCAGUAUCAGAAUCAAGAGCCUCAAUACCCAAGGAAUCAAAACCCUCAAUUCCCCAUCAAGGACAAGCCCUUCAAAGAAAACCAAGUUUGGAAGAAAACUCGAAUCUUGUAUGACAGCUACCCAUGAUAGAAUGGAAAGGAAUGGGAAGAAAACUAAUUCCAUAAAAGCUUCAAUGAAGUGAUUAAAAAUUCAAGUUAGGUAAAUUGAUGAAGCCGUAUGAGAAAAUAAGAAAGAGAAAUUGCCAAGUCAACUUGAGCAAGCUAAAAAGCAAUCGCUGUUCUUAAUGAUGGUGAGUUAUUUGAUAAUGUUGAAAAUUAAUUGAGAAAAAUAUUCUUACUCAGGUACAUCAAAAGAAGAUAGACUAGUUAAUGUAGAAAUAAUUGAAGGAGGCUUAUAAAAAGAAGAAAGAGUAUAGCCAAAUCUUAGGUAAAAAGAGAAAGACAAUAAGACUUUUUAGGACCUAAGUUUCAUAAAGCAGCUGAACCUUAUAAACCUCCUAUUCCGUUUCCAAACAGAUUGAAAGAAAGAAAACAGGAUAAACAAUUUUCUGAGAUUUUUGAUAUGUUUUCUAAGGUUAACAUUAAUUUACCCUUGUUGGAUGUGAUUAGGAAUAUUGCUAGCUUAAGCAAAAAAUUUUUAAGGAACUUAAUUCCAACAAGAGGAGAUAUGGGAACAAUGAAAAAAGUUAUGGCAUCUAAAAUAGCAAGUGUAAUUCUCCAACAAUAAUUACCUCCUAAGAUGAAAGACUUUGUGAGCUUUACUACUGAUAUUACAAUGGGAGAUAAAAAAGUUGCUAAAGCCAUGUUGGAUUUGGGAGCAAGCAUCAAUUUGAUGCCAUAUUCAAUAUGUGCACAACUUAGUUUAGGAGAAUUGAAGCCAACUACUAUGUCUCUGUAACUGGCUGAUAGGUCAAUUAAGUAUCCAAGAGGCAUAGUGGAAGAUUUGCUGAUUCAGGUAGGAAAACCGAUAAUCCCUACUGACUUUGUGGUUCUUGACAUGGAAGGUACAUCGGCAAGGGAUAAGGAGCAAACAAUACUCCUUGGUAGACCUUUCAUGGCAACUACUAAGACAGUUAUUAACGUGCACAAUAGGAAGCUGACUAUGACAGUUUUGGUAGAGAUUGUAGAAUUUAAAGUGUUUAAUUCUUUAACUAUAUCUCCUAACACUUCAAUUGAUGAGUUCAUAUGUUGAUUGUAUAGAUUAUUUUAUUUAUAAAACAUAUUUACAGGAUAAGAAUGAUAAGUUAGAAGUCGUAUUAACAUUAGAAAAGCAUGAAGAAAAUUUAAAUAAAGAAGUCUUAGACUUACAUGAUAGUUAGAUGAAGCUAUUCUAUUGUUACCUGAUGAAAAUACUAUCGAACCUUUAGAUUCACCCAUUGGAAUCAAAUCAGAAACUACUAAUAGACCACCUAAAGUUGAGCUUAAGGAGUUGCCUAACAUACUCAAAUAUGUCUUCUUAGGAGAAAGGAGUAUGUAACCAGUGAUCAUAGCCUCUGAUCUUUCUCCUUCAGAGGAAGAGGCAACUAUUAGAGAAUUGAAAAGACCUAAAAAAAACUAUUGGGUGAGAAAUUUCUGAUAUUAAGGGGAUUAGUCCAACAAUGUGUAUGCAUAAAAUUAUUUUAGCAAACAAUUCUAAAGCUGUUAGAGAUACACAACGAUGACUUAAUCAUAACAUGAAAGAAGUUAUAAGAAAAAAAAAAUCAGAAGUUAUUGGAUGAGGGUAUUAUAUACCCUAUAGCUGAUAGUAAUUGGGUAAGCCAUGUUCAUGUAGUGCCUAAAAAGUCAGACACAACAGCUGUUAAAAAUGAAAAGGAGGAAUUAGUCCCCACAAGAAUGACAACAGGAUGGAGAAUGUGUAUUGAUUAUAGAAAUUUAAAUGUUGCAACAAAGAAUGAUCAUUUUCCUCUUCCUUUUAUUGAUCAAAUAUUAGAGCGUUUAGCAAGAUAUGAAUUUUAUUGUUUUCUUGAUGGACUUUCAAGAUAUUAUUAGGUACGCAUUGCAUCUGAAGAUAAAAAAAAAAAAAAAAGACAACUUUCACAUGUCCCUUUGGAACUUUUGCAUUUAGGAGGAUGCAUUUUGGGCUUUGCAAAGCUCCAGCAACAUUCCAAAGAUGUAUGCUUUCUAUUUUCUCUGACAUGUUGAAGAUAAUAUCGAGGUAUUUAUGGAUGAUUUUUCAGUUUUUGAUUCCUCAUUUGAUGCAUGUCUAAGCAAUCUGAUUCGUAUUCUCGAGGUCUAAUUCACUCUUCCACUGCUGUAAACGAGUCAAAACAACAAGCAUAGAAACAAUAAUUAAGAAAUCGAGCCAUGAAAAAGAUUCAACAAAAAUUUAUUUUAGCCAUCUAACUAAUGAUUUAAGAUAAAUAUUAAAUUUUAAUAGAGCUCUUUUACUUUUCAGACCAUAAAUUAUAUAUUAAAGAAAAUAAAUAAAUAAGAUAAAAAGUAAUUUUGUAAUUUUAGUAAAAACUGAUGGCAAUAUAACUAAAAAUUAGACGAAAAUACCUUCUAGCAUAAUAUGAAAAAAGAGAGAUUUUAAAAAUUGAGGUCUUGAUUAACGUAAUAUUAUAAACCCCAAGAAAAAAUUAGUAUUAGAGAUAAAUUAGAUUGGAGGUACUAAAUUAUGCAUUUUGUAACAAAAAUUUAUUAAAUUUUUAAUAUAACUAGAUGGUCACUAAACUUUAAUUUUAAUAACAUUGAUAAUUUUUUCAAAAAGUGUGAGGAUUACAUUAGCAGUUACCAAACUUUACACUUUCUAACAAAAAAAUAUUAAAAUUUUAAUUUUAAAAGAUACAUGACCGGUGCUUUUCUUGUAACAAAUUAAAGGUUUAAUAUAUUUUUGUUACAAAAUGCAAAAUUUAGUGACUGUCCAUAUAAAUUUACUAUCUAAUUGCGACGAAGAAUUCUACUAGUGUUACUAAAAUUAAAAUUUAGCAACUAUUUAAUUAUAAAUCAAAUAUUCACUAUAUUUUUAAUACAAAAUGUAAAGUGUAAUAAUCGCCAAUGUAAUUUACUGAUAACAUUACCCAAAAUAUUUAUUUGUAUACCAAAUGAAAGAAACUGCAACUUAAAAUCGAUAAUAUUUCUUAUACAUCAGUUAUGGUAAAAACAUCGCAUUUAACAUCAUCCCUUUGCAAGGUUGGUUUCAGUAGAUUUCUUAAUUAAUCACAAUUUUUUCACAAACCAAGACUUUAUUAAAGCAGAAUUUGGGUAAGGUACCCAGUAGAAAAACUGACCAACCAUAUCAACAAAAAAUGGAAAAUGAAUCGCUACAAGAACAAAAAUAAUAUAAAACAUAAAACGCACGCGAUAAAGUCACUCUCUUGUAACAGUUGCCUUUGCCGAGUUGUCUGCAUAUUUUCAAUACUUAUAAAUUAGUCUAAUAUGUUUAAUUUGGAAGCAUGCAUGUGAUUAUGCCGGGUACAAAUUUGCAGGCAAACGUGGCUUUGCGAGUGCAACUAAUGGUUUGGCAAGUUCCAAACUAUUCUUAGACUCUGAAAGAUCAAUGCUUGUCUCAUUAGGGGGCACGCUCCAGCUAAACCCUUGAAGAAGCCUAGCAAAUAACAUAACAGUCAUUGCAGUUCCCAACAUGAUGCCUGGACAACCUCUUCGUCCUGUACUAAAUGAAAGCAAGUUCAAAUCAGGCUGCGUCAGCAUCACUUGACAUCCACUUUUCUUGAAAUGACGCUCUGGUUUGAACAUGUGUGGUUCAUCCCAAAUCCGGGGAUUCCGGCCGAGGCCGACUCGGCUAAGCAAGACAUGGCUACCUUUCGGAAUAAAAUAGUUAGCAACAGUUGUAUCUGCUAUGGAGACAUGAGGAAGAUUGAAGAAGACAAUAGGGUGGAGGCGAAACGCUUCUUUAGCACAUGCUUUUAUGUAAUUGAGCUGUGGAAAAUCUGCCUCUUGGACUAGUCUCUCCCUUCCAACAACUCUAUCCAAUUCUUCUACUGCGUUCUCAAGAAGUUUCGGUUUGUUUAUCAUCUCUGCAAGUGCCCAUUCUAUAGCAUUUGAUGGAUUAUCCACUGCUGCCAGCAUUAUUUCCUGCAAAAAUUGAUAGGUGAUAUUUAGCUUUGUUGAAAUCAGUUGGUGGGAACUAUAGUAAUUAAAAUGGAAGAUGCAAUAAAUUUGAAUCUUAACCAACAUAUUGCCGAACUGAAAAUGAUGAACUGAGCUUCUUGCAAGAAAAGAACAUGCAAAUGGAAUUUUCCUUAAUUCCAUUUCAACAAUCAGGCAGAAAAAAUGUUAUAUUUGAGAUAUGUUGUAUAUGUUGGACAACUUUUAUGGGGGAGAAGAAGUAGAUAAACAUAAUAAACUAUUUCUAUAAUUAAAGUACACAAGACACUUUAUCUCUUAACAAGAGAUAGCUUUCCACCCCUAUCUCUUAACAAGAGAUAACUAUUUCUAUUGUAAGUUAUUUAUAAUAGCACUUGUAUAAUUUUUCACUUACAAAUUUAACUAGUGAUAUUCAUAGCACUUAAUAAUCUAACCUUUCAUAUACUUAGAGCUUUAGCAUAACUAUAGACUCUCUUUAACAACUAAUCACUCUUAAAACAAUAGUAGCAAAUAUUGAAGUUUACAUUCAAUAGUAUGCAUCUGAGAUAGAGUGAGAGAGACAGAGCUUACAGUAAUCUGAGCUUUAAUCUCUUCCAUUGACAGCAACGAGUUGCCAUUGGCAUCUUCUAAAUGUAUGAAAACGUCAAGCAAGUCAUCCACUUCCUUCUUAGUGCCAUCCCUCCAUUGUUCGAUCCUCGCUUCAAUUAUGGGAUCUUGAUAUUUUUUUAUGAUCCCAAUAGCAUCCUUCAUGAUCUUCUCAUGACCAUCCAAGUCAAGCCCUAUCAAGCAUGGCAUAUAAUCAGACACACUAAAUGCAUAGGUAUGAGCAAGGGCUGUUAAAAUCGCAUCAACAUGCUCUUUUUCCUCGACACCAGGCCCUCCGUCCUUCAUUCCCUCCCCGAAGAACCUUUUGUUAAACACCAUCUUCCUUAUUACAUUUCCACAAUAGUGCCGUCCAGUGAUUCUCACGUCAACUGAUCCACCUUCCUCGGCAGUCUUGCAUUGGUUAUACACAUAACGAACAAGGUGAUCAGCUUCUUCAAGUCUUUUUCCGUAAAACCACUUAUAUUUUUCCGCAGAAAGAACUUGCGUUACCAGCACUCUCUUCAUUUUCUUCCAUUGUUCUCCUAAGGGCACAAGANNNNNNNNNNNNNNNNNNNNNNNNNNNNNNNNNNNNNNNNNNNNNNNNNNNNNNNNNNNNNNNNNNNNNNNNNNNNNNNNNNNNNNNNNNNNNNNNNNNNNNNNNNNNNNNNNNNNNNNNNNNNNNNNNNNNNNNNNNNNNNNNNNNNNNNNNNNNNNNNNNNNNNNNNNNNNNNNGUUCAUUUCUUUCAUGAGCUUGUGUAUCCAUCGAAAGGUCGGCUUAUUGCUAGCAUCGUUGGCAGGCAUCCGACAAGAGGCCAAGGUUUUGGGCCAGGAGGUAGUAGGAGUUGCUUGGCCUUUUGGCUUUCUAGCUUUUGGAAUUUCGUCAAGUAAAUUAAGGCCAACGCCAAGAGAAGAACUAGGGAACAGGAGCUCAACAAUGUUCUGAGAAAGCCAAUGCCAAUUCCGGAAAAAUCUGGAGUGCCAUGAAGAGAAGCUAGCCCAGUGCAAGAUAUUACAGAGGUAGCGUUCUGCAUGGCCACAAAACUGUCCAUCGACAUGCUGCUUCUAUUUAAUAGAACUGGAAAGCCUGCAUACUUUGCAGGAUGCUUUUCUAGCAAACUCUCAGCUCUUUUAUCUCAUUUGCUUUUUUCUUUUCCUUCUUUUUUUGUUUACACAAUGUAAUAAUUAACUCUAUAACCUCUCCCAUUUAUAGGGCUGAAUCCAAAAUCUACGAUGUAAUUCAAUAUAGCAAUGCAAUAGAACGAUUUGUUACAUCUGAAUAAUACAGGACGCGUGAUCCGUAUUUAUACUUGUAUCUUAAUAACUCUACUGUAUAUACCAUAUAUUUGAGCUUUUAUUUAUACAUUUAUCCAAAUCAUAUAUUAACUAUAUAUUAAAUCUUCUUCUAUUCAUUUAUACAAACCAUUUACACAUUAUGGAAUUCAAGUUUAGUUUGGCCACACAACAUAUAUUAUUAUUAUUUAAGGUAUCAUUUUUAUUUUCUUUUGAUUUCAUAACUAACCUCGUUUAUGCAUUCAUAUAUAUAUACAUGUCUAAAAUAAUAUUUCAUAACUAUUCUUGUAAUCUGAUCGCGUUUGAUAAGCGAUUAUAAAAAAAAUUAAAAUUAAGAUAAAACGAGCUAAAGAUAUGAAAAAGUAACUGAUGAGAUGAAAUACAAGGGCUUUGCAGUGGCAACUUUUAAGUCUCGAAAUUUUUUACCUAAAUUUAGUGUAGGUACUCGCCUAUAUAUUAAAAUAAUAAAUAAUAUUUAUUAAUUUUAAAUGAUAAAAUAUAUGCCGAUUAUUUAAUACUAAAGUAUAAAACACUGAUACAUGUAUAUCACUUUUCUGUUAAGUAUAGUGUAUACAUCAAGUCUAAAUAAAAAUUUUUAGUCUUUUCAUAUUAUUUCCGUAACAGUUUAUGGCCGAUAGAGUUUCGUGUUGUUAUACUAUACAGUCCCAUAAAAAAGAUAAAAAAAAAUAAAUAGUUAGAUGCUGUUUGAACAAAGCCGUUACACGCUGAUGUCACCCAACUAUCUAAUUUGGCUCCUUCGUCAACCACCCACAACCACUGUCCACCUUCAUUGUUGCUAGGGCUAAGUUUGCCAGCAACUCUUCUGCUCCCAACUAGUGUCCUGGCCUCCCUCUCUCUCUCUCUCCUAACCUUCCUUCCUCCCCCUACCCGUUUCCUUUUUAUUCUUCUCCCUUUUCGUUUUUUACUCACCCCUAGUUAUUUACCCUUAAACCCCUAACUUGUAUUUAUCCUUUCAAUUAAGCCACUAAUUUGUUAAAUUUGGGCUAAAUUAGUUACAAUUAUUAAAACAUGAAAAAUAUUUUGAUUUAGUGUGACACCUUUACAUCUAAAUCCCAUAUUUAAAUCAAACUUUUAUUUUAACCCCGUUUUAUAUAAAUAAAUAUUAGUUUAAUCCAAGUACUUAGUUAAUUUACUGGAUCAAAUUCAUUAAAAUCUAAAUACUCAAAUAAUUACUAUUGUUAUAGCACUGUAAAUACCAAAAUUAAAUCCUUUAUUAAGUCCCAUUAUAUUAUUUAUUUAAAUAAUACACCUUACCUAAAUCAAAUAAAUAAAUUCCAUAAAUAUCUCAUUAUUAUUAAUACUAAAGAUAAACAAUUAAAUAGCACUUUAAUUUUAGGUUACUAAUAGGUUGAUAUUAUGUAUAUAUAAUUAAGGCUUUUAGUGAUUUAUUGGUAUGUUUUAUAUACAUAAUAUGUAAAAAUAUGUACUUAUUAUCUCACUUUAUUUUUAUUAGCUAAUUUCAGAUCAUAAUAACCAAAGAGAGAAAAUAUGAGCCAAGAAUGUAUAAAUAGACUUUAAUUGGAUUGCAGCUGUAAAAGGCUCGGAAUAAAGGCUUAGCUGAGUUUAUCAAGGCCUACGAAAGAAAAAUUAAUUAGUUAUAAUGUAAUUAACAUAAAUUAUCUUUUUUAAGUUGUUUAUUUUAUUUAGGGUAGUUAAGAGAUAACUAUUGCGGUAUUAUGCUUAGAGAAGGACUCUGAAUAAGGAAUCUCUACAAGAAAUAGAGCAGUUAAACAAGGAGAGCAUCAUUCUAUUAUUCUUCUCUCUGUGAAUUUCCUAUAGUCCGCCUUCUAUAACAUUUAGUUAGUUUUGAUCAGAGAAGUUUUUCAGGACGUGGAGAAUGAGGGUCAAUCUUCUUCAUUUCCUGAAGAAUUUUUGGAUUUUAAGAGAGCUUUAAUUUUUAUUUUAUAUUUCUUAUUUCUUUUUAUUUAAUUACAAUGACCUUUGGGUUAAAUAUGUCAGGUUAAGUUCAAUAAGUGUUUAGUUUGGCUUUUUACUUAUGUAUGUACCUUAUAUAUUAUGAGUUUAAUAAAUUAUUUCUUUAUCUUCAUACAUAUAUUAGUUUCAUCUAUUAUUGUUAAUUGACCAUUAUAUCAAUUUAAUAGUAAUAUGUGUUAUGAAAAUCUUUAGGUUAAAAGUAUUAGAUACAUCAUCUUUACUUUAAUCUAUGUUGGUAUAAGAAAUCUACAUUAAAUAUUUCAUUUGCAUUUUUAUUUUGUAGUUUAUUUAAUUUCUUUCGUAAACCUUCAAAAUAUUCUCAAAACAUUGCCUUAGAGUGUUUAGAUUUAUUUUUAUAUUAUAGUUGGUCUUUAUAAUAUAUGCUCUACAGUUUCUUGUGAGAUUGACCUCAUGGUAAACUUGCCCGUACUAUCAUUCGGUUCGUACAUUUGCGAGUACUAAGCUUGAGAAAUCAAGUUUUUGGCAUUGUUGCCGGGAAACUAGGUCAAUAUUAUAUUGAUUAAUUAUCGAGUUAUAUUUCUUGUGUUUUUGUGUGUUGCAUGUUUAUGUGUUUUUGUUUUGUCUUUAAAUUUUUCUUUUUAAGUUUUUAAAAUUUGAAAUUUUUCCUUUGGUUUUGUAUACCUAGCAGAAAAAUAAGAUCAGGUGAUUCAUCAACUCAAAAUUCCUAAAACUUGAGAUCAGCUGUUAAAAAGGCGGAAAGAGACCAAGAAGUUGAGAGUGAGUUUAUACCUUCAAGAGAAAAAUAAUUUGAAGAAAAGUUAGAAUAAGGAUUUGAAGAAGAGAUUGAAAUAAUAGCUAAUGACCAAAGAAAAGUUGCAGCUCAAAGGCAAAUGGCUAUGAAAGAUUAUGCUCGUCCCAUAAUUGGUAACGCUACUUCAUGCAUAGUUCUAGGUGAUGCAUCUAGGAAUUAUAAACUUAAAAAUAUUCAUUUUAAUAUGCUUUCUUCAUUCUAUAGUAUGCCAAGUGAAGAUGCAAAUUUAUUUGGCGAUUUUAUGCUAUAGUUCAUAUAUUUCCAUUAUCUCGAUUAAAUGAAAACCAACUAAGGAUGAGAUGUUUUUCUUAAAUUAUAAUAUUUAAUUGAAUAUAGUGUUAUAAUAUUAUAUUAUAUUAACAUAUUGAAUUAUAUUAAAAUAUUGAAUCAUACUAAAAUUUUAAUAUUGAAUUAUAUUAAAAUAAAAAUAAAACAAAAAUAUUCAAUUAUAUAAUUAUUAUUUUCUUAGAAUUAUUUAAUAUUCAAUAUAGAAUUAUUUAAUAUAUAAUAUAAUUUUAAUUUUAAUUAUUUAAUUAUUUAAUAUAUCCCAUUAUCUCGACUAAAUAAAAACCAGCUAAGGAUGAGAUGUUUUCCUUACUCAUUAAAAGAGAAAGCAAAGGCUUGGUUAAUCAGCUUGCCUUCUAAUUCUUUGAGAACUUGGGAUGAAGUUUAACAAAAAUUUAUAAGUAAAUUCUACUCAUAUCAAAAGAUUAAAGAAUUAAGGGCUGAAAUUUACAACUUUUAUCAAAAAGAUAUUGAAUCCUUUCAUAAAGCAUGAUAUCGCUCCAAAUCAUUUUUAAUGUAAUGCCCACACCAUGGAUACCCACUUCCUGUGACCAACUAAUCAUUCUAUGAUGGUUUAACACAACAAUAUCAAUAUAUGGUUGACAAUGCAGUUGAUGGUGCUAUGUUAGAAAAAAAUUGUUGAUGCGGGUUAUGAUAUUUUUGAGAUGUUAGAAGCCAAUUGACAACAGAAGAGUGUAAGAAUAAAAAAAGUAUGAGUGAAUGAAGUUGUGUCUAAUAAUGAGAUGCUUAUGUAAUAGCUGAAUUAACAAAAAAGUUAAAAUACUUACUUCAACUAGGAAUGUACCAAGCAAUAAAGUAUCUAGUAUAUGUGGUGUUUAUGGUCAUGGUGCUAAAGUUUACUUAUCUUAUGAGAUUUAUGCAGGAAAUGAUUAUGAACAGGUUAAUUUGAUGGAAUGUUAUCAACCUAGGAAUAGUCCAUACUCCAGCACUUACAAUCCAGGAUGGAGGAACCAUCCAAAUUUUUUCUAGAGAAAUAAUGAUUAAAAUCUACCACAAAUAACUUAGGUUGCAUCAUUAGCUUGAGUGACUUAAAGAAAAAGGCACAUCACUAUCUCAUUCAUUAGAUUUAGACUUAAAGGGAAAUAAGGGGAUUACUAAGUAUAACUAAAUGUUAAUUUAUCAUAUAAUUUACAUUAAACAUUUCAUUUGUAUAUUUAUUUUCUAAUUUAUUUAAUUUCUUUUAUAAACCUUCAAAACUUUUCAAAAUAUUAACUUAGAGUGAUUAGAUUUAUUUUAAAGUAUUUUUAUGUGAUAGUUGGUCUUUAUAAUAUAUGCUUUACAAUUUCUUGUGAGAUCGAUCUCGUAGUAAAUUUGUCUAUACUAUCAUUCAAAUCGUACACUUACAAAUACUAAAUUUGAGACAUCAGUCACUUUAUUCAAAAUAAUAAAUCAUAUGCCCAUUACUUGAAUAUAUCAGAUGUGUAUUACUUGAUUAGUUUGAGAUUAUUAUUAUUAUUAUUCCUCUAAUUUGUAUGUACUAAUUUAUUAUUUAUUUUCAAAUAUUAAAUUGUAUAAAAUAUCUAGAUAUUAAGUUGUAGAAAACUCGAGAUGUCAAAUACUAUAUGAGUUACAUUUAUAAAUUUAACAUGAAUGAUAAAUAUAUGUUUCAGUAAAAAUAACAAUUAAGUUUGAACUUUCCUCCAUGUUUGUCAUGAAAAACUGUACACUUGCAAUGGGAAAAAUAAUAUUAUGUGAUUCUUAAGGAUUUAAGGCUUAGUUAUCAAGAAUCAAGAGGCUUGAUCUUGGUCUUGUCCUCUACUGAUCAAUCAUUCACCCCAAUUUAAGCACUUUGCACGUUGUUAUUUCGAAGAAAGAAAAAUUGUACGAUUUUAUGCAAGAAUUUACAACCAGGUAUUUAAGAUCCAUUGAGAUAACAGUCUGCCCCACCGAGCAAUAUUGAGAUAACAGUACACAAUAAGCUUUAUGCGUAUUCAAUAUUGUCCAGAAGACAAUAUAUUUUUUCUGGCACCUCAUAUUUAAAGUGUAAUAUCUUAGAUCACAUAAAUAAAUAUAGAGAAAAUUAUAUUUAUAUAUAAAAAACUGUAACACCCGGAAUUUUUUUUAUAUUUAAUAAUAAAUUUUUAUUUAAGUUAAUUUUAGCUUUAUUUUUAUUCGGUUUAAUUGGAAUGAUUUAAAUACAAAUUUUGAAUGUUCAUGUUAGAUAAAUAAAUGAGUUAUUUUCUAUACCCAAUUAGUUUGAUUUUUAAGAAAUUAUUCAAGUAAAUUAUUUGAGAAAUGAUUAUAUUUUGGUUAUUCAAAAUUUUCCCAAAUGCAUAUUUAUAUAAGUAAAAUUAUAUAUUGGAAAAUUAUGGUAGAAUUGUAAAGGAUGUUUAUAAAAGAAUUUUGAAAAAAUUGGUAUUAUAAUUGAUUAGUAGUAUUAAAUAUUAAGUUGGAAAUUGAUUAUUUAAUUUAAUUGUGUGUAAGGACUAAAUUGAAAAUUUAUUUUGGAAUAAGGAUUGAAAGUAUAAUGUUAUUUUUAUGGGGUUUUAAUGGAAAUUUGUGAGCUUGGUAUUUUUGUAAAUAAAUAUGUCGGUAGGGGUAUUUUUGUAAUUGUGUAUUUUCAAUAAUUCGGUUUUGGCCCAAAUUAAAUAGUUAGGGGCUUAAUUGAAAGGCUAAAAAGAAGUUUGGGGGUUAAAUUGGAAUUCUGCGGGAUGAAAUUGUAAGUAAUUAAGAAAGUUGAGGGACCAAGUUGUAAUAAGGAAACGUUCGAGGGCCUAAUGUCGAUAUUGAAAGAAAGAAAAGAAGGAUCGGGGAAGGAAGAGAGGAGAGAGAGAGAGAGCCGAAGAAGAAGGAGGAGCUGCGGUGGCGUGCGUCGUCGGAGUGGCUUCAGAAGUGCGCGGGCUGGCCGGCGAAGCUGCAGGCGUCAGCGGCGGCAGCGGCAGCGGCACCAGCGGGCGACGGCAGCAGCUCUCGCGCGAGGAGGAAAAUGGCCGAAGCUUCCUUGCCGCCGUGCGAGCGUUUCCGGCGUCGGUGGCUGUUGACCUUGGUGCCGAUCGACUCCUCUCGGCCUCGGCUUUGUUUUGGCGGCGGCGGCGUCGACAGUGGUGGCCGGAAUCGGAAGAUCCGGUGGAGAAAGAAAAUGGUGGCAGCUGGCGUUUUUGGGUUUUUCCGGUGAGAUCCGGCGGAGAAUGGACGAUCGGAGGGCAUAUCCCGACUCUCCUCUGCUCAAGCUUCGCGAUGGCACCGGUUUCGUGGCGAUCGGGCUUCGUUUGCGAAUCGACGGCCGUGAUCGUCCGCAAAUUUCUCCGGAUGAUCGGGUGUCAGAUCGAAAAAUCGGAAGCGGGAAUCGUCAUCAGCGCGUCGUUGUGAGUCCGAUGGUGUGUCCAGAUCGUUGAUCGGACUCCGGCGGCCGGAGGCGAGUCGAUCGAGCGUCUCGGUAAUUUUCUCUGGCCGUUGAUCUUAGAAAUCCUUGAUUUUAAAUUUGUGUCUAUUGGAUGGUAUUGUGUACUUGAUGAUUUUUAUGAGUCAAAAAUAAUUGUCUGUCAGUUGGCCUGCCAUAGUCGUAUUUUGUGCUGUGUGGCGGAGUCGGGAAAUAGUGAAGUUUGGGGACCCGACUCCCAUUAUUUUAAUUGUUGGAUAUUUAGAGUGUUUUUCUGGCAGGUUCUGGACCCGUUUUUACGGGGGGUAAUGCUCGUGUUGUAGGGGAGGUUCUGCCGAAUUUUCGGUAGUUCCUGAGUCGAGAUUCUUAGACAGUCAGUCCUAGGAAUCUAGACCUAGGAUCUAUUGUAAUUGUUUCAUCGUUUUGAUAAAUUGUUUUCCGUGACUAGAUUGUCAGUUCGUUUGGCUCGCUCCAACUGAGGCACCGGAGCAGAGCUAGGAGGUCGCCCAAUCCUGUGAGUUAAAGUCAUUUAAUCAUUGCACUAUUGCUAAGUCUGAUUUAAUAUGCUAUUUUGAAAGUUUAUGCAUAAUAUGAUUAUUAGUAUCGCAAAAUAAAUGAUUUCACUUGAUUAUUAAUAUUUAUAAUAAUAUAAAUAUUAUUAUUAGUAUGUUAUAAUAAGAUAAACGUUAUUAUUUUUCCCCUCACAAAUUGCACGUUGUUUUACCUUAAAUCUUUAAUCUUUAUUUCGAUAUGUGUUGGUUGAGUUCAUUAGAUAAUGAUAUUUAUUAUAUGUGAUGAUUGCGAAUUGGGAAAUGUGGCUUGUAGAACAUGCCGCCUGAUGGGUUACAUCAGGACCGCGUGCGCACCGGUAAUGAUUAUGGACAUAAGGUUAUUAUGGAUUUGUUUGCCCUGAUCGAGCAUUGCUCUCUGGGCUGAGUUCAGUGAUGNNNNNNNNNNNNNNNNNNNNNNNNNNNNNNNNNNNNNNNNNNNNNNNNNNNNNNNNNNNNNNNNNNNNNNNNNNNNNNNNNNNNNNNNNNNNNNNNNNNNNNNNNNNNNNNNNNNNNNNNNNNNNNNNNNNNNNNNNNNNNNNNNNNNNNNNNNNNNNNNNNNNNNNNNNNNNNNNNNNNNNNNNNNNNNNNNNNNNNNNNNNNNNNNNNNNNNNNNNNNNNNNNNNNNNNNNNNNNNNNNNNNNNNNNNNNNNNNNNNNNNNNNNUAGUAGGGUAUGAUUAUAGUAUGGUUUGAUAUACUGAUUUGAAUAAUCUAUGUUUUCUGAGAAGAAGCAAUAGUCUCUAGAUUAUUUGAUUUUAACUCACUCUCGAGACUGACAGUCUCCAUUUAUGUUUUUUUCAGAUUCGUGACUGUUAGUUCUCCCGCGACUCUUAUUCAGUAACCCGACUCCUUCAUCAUCGGGUGAUGUAUUUGAUUUGGUAUGUAAAUUGGUAAAUCUUAGAUCCUCCGCAGUAGUAAUAGUAGAUGUAUCAGUUGUAAAUUUUCUGAGUUUCAGGUCUCGCCUAGUUCUUCUGGCAGACCGAUUAAAUUAUGUAAAGUGUAGCAUUUAAGAUAAAUUGUGGCUUUAAUAAUAUUAAUUUGAGAUGAGAUUUGUUUAAAUCAGUGAGUGUCAGGCUUACUACGGGUUUCGGUGGCCUUAAGCCUACCCAUUCCCUAGUGCCGGUCACGGGCCCACGGGUGGGGUCAUGACAAAGUUGGUAUCAGAGCUUAGGUUUAGAUUUCCUUCGACCUAAGUUAAGAUUUUUCUUGGUACUGCGGAGUUAGGAUCAAAUCUGUCUUGUUGUUUUCAUUGACUCCAGUGUCUCAGCCUUCACAGUUAGAGAGUCAGUCUUUCCUUUCUUGUGAGCUUGUCUUUGGUGCCGUGCUGAGAAUGUGCUUUGUAGCGAUGGGAGGAUCUGAAGCGCGAUAGACUCGUGUUGUUUCUUCAAGUGAUUAGUGCAGUCCGCCUUUAGAAGCUUUGAUUGUUGUUUCGAUGGUGGGCACCGCAGUCAGUUUUAGUGUAGAGCGUGAUUGCAGUCGUGUCAUGAGCUGCCUCGUCAUCGCAUCAGGCAUCGCCUUUUUGAGUAGCGCCUAAGGUAGUGCCUGGGAAGUCGAGCGGAUGUCAGAGCUUUAUGGUUGAGUUUUAUGGUUGUAAGAAGCUUAAAAAAGAUGGCAGAAGUAUUUUCGGACGCUUGGAAUCCAGAGAAACUUAAGCGAACAUUAUUUAUUUUUCUAAGUAGGACAAGUGUUUUUGAAAUACAAUAUUGCGCCUAGUCCCGUAAGAAUGCAUUAUGGCAUUUCACUGUUAGGCAUGCAUAAAUUCAUUUUAGGACAUGCAUCAUACAUUGUGCAUUGCAACCCUUGGUGAUAGGGGCAUCAUCACCCUGGCGCGCGAUAUUGUAAAAUUUUAUAUAAAGAAAUGGCUAAAGGUUUUACGAUUUUAUAAAAGUAUUUUUCCAAGAUAAUAAAGCUUUUAUCAGUGAUGAUUAUAAAGUAAGUAAAGAUGUAAUUUUUCAAAGUAAAUAGUGUUAGCUUGAGAAUUUUCUGGAUGACGAGUUGAGUUGUUGAGAGAGUGAGUAUGUGGAGCUGUAGGCCCUAUGUUAGAUUAUAAGAGAGGCUUUUGGAUUUCAGUCAAAGAGGAAUCUUGUGUCAGGAUGGCAUGAGUUGUGUCGGUUAUGGAAACUAGAUGGAUGGUAUGUCAUAAGUGAUGUGGUUUGGUAAGAAAAUAAGGUUGUGGGAACCCUUGGUUUUGUCGGCAGGUUGGUGAGGUGGCAUGUAAGUUGGACUUGCCGCCAAGUAUUAGUAAUGUUCUCUGAGGUUAAAUCCAGUUGUUCGUAGGUCUGAGUUGAGGAAGUAUAUUUUCGAUCCUUUGCUCGUGUUGGAUCCUCAGUGUAUGAAUGCAAGUAAAGAUUUGGUUUCCGAGGAGUAGUAAGUGAGGAUCGCGGAUUUUCAGGUUCGCCAGUUUUAUUUAAGGGUUUUGUCGAUGAGUCUUGUGGUUUAUUUCUGCCGAGGAAAAGUUUCCGAGAAGCCGGGUUGGAGAUGAGAGGUUCCUAAUUAGUUUCAAUCUUAGAGUGUAGCCCCUUUUCUUUUAAAAUUCGAGGUCGAAUUUUUUUUAAGGGGGGGAGAAUGUAACACCCGGAAUUUUUUUUAGAUUUAAUAAUGAAUUUUUAUUUAAGUUAAUUUUAGCUUUAUUUUUAUUCAGUUUAAUUGGAAUGAUUUAAAUACAAAUUUUGAAUGUUCAUGUUAGAUAAAUAAAUGAGUUAUUUUCUAUACCCAAUUAGUUUGAUUUUUAAGAAAUUAUUCAAGUAAAUUAUUUGAGAAAUGAUUAUAUUUUGGUUAUUCAAAAUUUUCCCAAAUGCAUAUUUAUAUAAGUAAAAUUAUAUAUUGGAAAAUUAUGGUAGAAUUGUAAAGGAUGUUUAUAAAAGAAUUUUAAAAAAAUUGGUAUUAUAAUUGAUUAGUAGUAUUAAAUAUUAAGUUGGAAAUUGAUUAUUUAAUUUAAUUGUGUGUUAGGACUAAAUUGGAAAUUUAUUUUGGAAUAAGGAUUGAAAGUAUAAUGUUAUUUUUAUGGGGUUUUAAUGGAAAUUUGUGAGCUUGGUAUUUUUAUAAAUAAAUAUGUCGGUCAGGGGUAUUUUUGUAAUUGUGUAUUUUCAAUAAUUCGGUUUUGGCCCAAAUUAAAUAGUUAGGGGCUUAAUUGAAAGGCUAAAAAGAAGUUUGGGGGUUAAAUUGGAAUUCUGCGGAAUGAAAUUGUAAGUAAUUAAGAAAGUUGAGGGACCAAGUUGUAAUAAGGAAAAGUUCGAAGGCCUAAUGUCGAUAUUGAAAGAAAGAAAAGAAGGAUCGGGGAAGGAAGAGAGGACACUUGUUAGUUUUGAUAAUAUUUUAAAUGAGUGACACAUUAAGUACACUUGUACUAUAUUAAACUGUUUGAUUAUUUCGGAGUUGAUCGGUAACUUGAACGAAGGAUCACGCAUUUGAUUCGUGAUCUAUGUAUCAGUACAAGUCUGUUAAUAUUAUCGGAUAAUCAAUCGGACUCUAAUGAUUAGUGCUGUGUCUACUAACAUAUGGUAUAUGAAUUAUAAAACUUAUAACAAGGAAUUAAAGUAUUUAAUUAUAUAUAAUUUAUUAGUUGAUAAUUGAUUAUAUGAUAAUAUGAUAUUAUUAUUAAUAUUAUUAAAAUUCCUAUUAAUUAAAUGAGUUAAAGACUAAUCAGUGGAUAAGGUGGUACAGCAAGUAGCGAAUUGGGCUCUAAUACUAUCACGAUAAAAGAAAGUGUAGUGGACGGGGCUAUAGGCUACCUUGCUGAAUUUCACACAGGAAAUGACUAGGGUACACCACGUAGGCAAUUUAUACCCUGCAUCCUGGUCCACUUUGUAUUAUGGGUCGGAGGCAGGAAAAUACGUGUGGGACUGUGUCUUGCACUUUUAAAAAAAAUUUGAAAUUACUAUAAAUAAAUUAUAUAUUAAGUAAAUAUUUUAAUAUUUAUAAAAUUAAUUUUUAUGUGUGUGUUAUACGACUGUCAUAAUUAUUUUGAACUUAAAUAAUAAUGUAAAUAUAAUAUUUCCAUGAAUAAUAAAUUAAAUAUUGUAAGUGUCAUUUUUAAUUUUUUUAUGCACAAACUUAAAUUUUAUGUUUUAAAAUAAUACAACUAUUAAAAUGUGGCAAAAUAUAGUAACACGUGUUAAAAAAAUUUAUAUCUUAAAAUCUAAUAUAUAUAUAUAUAUGUAUAGGUAAAUAAAAUUCAAAAACUAAGCAAAAUAUACUAACACGUGUUAAAAAAAUUUAUAUCUUAAAAUCUAAUAUAUAUAUAUGUAUAGGUAAAUAAAAUUCAAAAACUAACAUAAUUAGUAAUAUAUAUUUUUAAAAUUUUCAAUUAGUCAUACUUUGGAGGAUUAAAAAUCAAUAUACUUUCAGUAAAUUAUAAAAUAAAUUAUCUAUUAAAAGUAAUAUAAUAUAAUUUUUAGCAACUCUUUAUAUUCUAGAUUUUUAUAUUAUUCGUGAAUGAAACUAAUUUUUACAUAUUUCAUAAAUUAAAAUCUUUCCUCGAUACGUAAUUGAUAAUUUCAUAAUCAAAAGUAUUAUCUUUUUAUAAUUAUCAUUCAUACGACAAUACUUAUUAUUUACUGUAAUAAUGUUCAUUUUGUAUUCAAUCAAUUUUUAGAUAGUGAUUAUUUUAGUGAAGGAUAUUCAUCAUUUAUGAUCUAUAUGUUCAUUAAUUUAUUAUUGUCAAUUCAGUAAUUAUAAAUCUAUAUAUGUUUUUAAAAUAAUCGUGAAAUAUUUAUUUUCAUAUGAAAAUGAUGUUGAUUCUUUAUAAAAGUUAGAUUUAUUUUUUUAUGAUAUAUAUUAAAAUAAUUUUUUUAUUCAUAUAAGUAUUCACCGUUUAUAGAUAAUAAUAUUCAUUAAUUUAUUUAAAUGGAUAUAUAUAAUAUAUAUAUAAUAUAAAUCAUUUUUACAGUUAGUAUUUAUCCCAAAAAAACUUGUACGUCUUUGUGCAAAAAUUUACAACCAAGUAUUUAAGGGUGGCCUGAUCCUUGUGAUAACAGCCUGCCCCAAUACUAUGUAAAGUAUCUUUCAUUUUAUUGAUAAGUACAAAAAAGAAAUUAUUUUAAAACUUUUAAUAUAAAUAUAUUAAUUAGAUAAAAAGAAAAUAUAUGAUUGUAAAUUAUGAGAAAAAAUGUAUUUUAUUUUUAAAAAAAUUUAGUUUUUAAUAAUUUAAUCAUCUUUACUUUUUAACUUUGAGAUAUUUUUUUUGUCACUAUUUAUAAUUAUAUGUCUUUUUUUAUCUGAAAAAAAUCAUAUUUUAAAAAUUUUCAAAUGAUGAAACCACAUAAUACUUUUAUUUAUUUAUCCUUUUAUUUUAUUUUUUAAACUUUUUGAAAAUUACUUUUGUAAAAAGCAUGUGAAUUGAUUGAUGUUUUCUUCUAGAGCAAGUUGAGAAAAACAGUUUAUAAAAAUUAUAAAAACUAAUAUUUUAAAUCAAAAGAAAUUCUUAACGUGCUUUUUCGAUACCAAUAGUGAAACUAUACGCAUUCUAAAUGUCCUGCAUAACUUUGAUAGAUAGAAAAACGAUGAAUAAAAAUUAAUGAGAAAAUAAAUAAAUAAUAAGAUGGAACAUACAAGGGUUUUAAAUAUAUGGUGUACCAAAAAAUAUAAUUCUUAAUGAUUCAUCCACUUAUCAAAACUACAUAAAAAAUAACAUUUCAUUAUUCUUAGCCAAAUAAAAUCAUCUUCGAGCAAAAUCCAGAAGCAUGACUAAUAAAUCCAGAACUGUACAAAUAAGCUAUAUGCAUAUUCAAUAUUGUCCAAAAGACAAUAUAUUUUAUUUGACAUAUCUGAUAUUUAAGGUGUGAUAUCAUAGAUCACAUAAAUGAAUAUAUGCACCCACCUAAAGAAAAUUAUAUUUAUAUAUAAAAGAACUAAAAGUACCACACUUCAUUUCCAGUUUCUAUAGAGAAUAACUAAAUUAAAAUCACCAAUAAAUAAAUAAUUUUUAUGAGAAACACUUAGAGUAAAGAAAAUACAAUGUCACUCUCUCAAUAUGCAAGACUUUUAGCCGAAUCCUCAAUCAAACUAUAAUUUUAUACAACCUCCUAACUUUAAAUAAUUAUUUGAAUAUUUAACUCUAUAAUUCACUUAGAAAUAUAAUUUAAAAAUAAUGUGAAAUAUUUUUUGCUAACAAUCCUUANNNNNNNNNNNNNNNNNNNNNNNNNNNNNNNNNNNNNNNNNNNNNNNNNNNNNNNNNNNNNNNNNNNNNNNNNNNNNNNNNNNNNNNNNNNNNNNNNNNNNNNNNNNNNNNNNNNNNNNNNNNNNNNNNNNNNNNNNNNNNNNNNNNNNNNNNNNNNNNNNNNNNNNNNNNNNNNNNNNNNNNNNNNNNNNNNNNNNNNNNNNNNNNNNNNNNNNNNNNNNNNNNNNNNNNNNNNNNNNNNNNNNNNNNNNNNNNNNNNNNNNNNNNNNNNNNNNNNNNNNNNNNNNNNNNNNNNNNNNNNNNNNNNNNNNNNNNNNNNNNNNNNNNNNNNNNNNNNNNNNNNNNNNNNNNNNNNNNNNNNNNNNNNNNNNNNNNNNNNNNNNNNNNNNNNNNNNNNNNNNNNNNNNNNNNNNNNNNNNNNNNNNNNNNNNNUACUAAAAUUUAUAUUAACUAUGUAAACAAUUAUCUAUGUUAGUGGACUCGAUACUGGUUAUUGGAGCCUGAUCGAUUAUCUGAUGAAUCUAAUAGACUUGUAAUGAUACAUAAAUUAUGAAUCUGUAUGAUCCUUCAUUCAAGUUACCGAUCAACCCUGAAAUAGUCAAAUAGUUUUGGCUAUCAAUUUUUUAAAGAAAUUAUAUCACUAUAAAACCGGUGUGGAUAGAAAAUUUAUGAGGAGAAUUUAUUAUUCUCUAAUUACCCAAAGCACGUCAGAAAAUUCAUUGCAAAUCAAACUAGCUUUGUUUUCUGAACGAGUUGUCGAAGCCCUUCAAAAUAAAUUACUGAUUGUUCUCAACUAACUUAUAGAAAUAGUGACACCAGGUCGAAUCCUAAGGGAACCAAUGUGAAUAGUUUUUUAAAAUUAAAUAAUAAACAUAGAGGGUUUUGAAUGAUUGAACUAAAAUUAUAAGUAAAUAAAAAAAUGAUAAAAGCUGAUUAUUAAAGUAAAUAAAAAUUAAUCUUACCAAACUUCCAAUUCAAAAGUGUAAAUUCCAUCCAAUUCUAAUUCUAAUCAAAAACUUAAAUAUCAAUUUUUCUAUUCAAGUACUUAGACUAUUUAUUUGGAAAAGCCGCAACAAGUGUAAAUUCUUUUAAUAUAAUUGACUCAAACCCAGCAUCCAAAUCAAAACUUACCAUUAGUCAACCGGGCACGAAAGCGUACCAUAUCAACUCAAUGAUAGCAUUAAGAAUAAUGAGAAUGACUAAACCAACAUUAAUUAAUCGAGAUAGCUGCAAUAUAAUUAAUCUUGUUAUUUUAUUUCUCUAGAGCCUAUCAUGCAAGCUAUGUAAUUCGGAAAGACCGCAAUCACACACACACGAGCUAACUCCUUAUUAGAAAACAACCCCGUAAGAGGGGUAUAUUUGUCAAUAUGAGAAAAUAACUCCGUAAGAGGUUAUAUCUUUAAACAUGAGAAAAAAACCCCAAAAAAGUAGUAUAUUUGUCAAUAUGAGAAAAGAACCCCGUAAGAGGGGUAUAUUUGUCAAUAUUAGAAAGCAGCCCCGUAAGAGGGGUAUAUCUUUCAACAUGAUAAUACAAUCCUAAAAAAAUGGUAUAUUUUUCAAUAUGAGUAAACAACUCCGUAAGAGGGGUAUAUUUGUCAAUAUGAGAAAACAACCCUGUAAGAAGGGUAUAUUUGUCAAUAUUAGAAAACAACCCCAUAAGAGUGGUAUAUCUUUCAAAAUGAAAAAACAACCCCAUAAAAAUUGUAUAAUUGUCAAUAUGAGAAAACAACCUCGUAAGAGGGGUGUAUUUGUUAAUAUUAGAAAACAACCUUGUACGAGGGGUAUAUCUGUCAAAAUGAGAAAACAACCUCAAAAAAGUGGUAUAUUUUUCAAUAUUAGAAAACAACCCCGUAAGAGGGGUAUAUUUGUCAAUAUGAGAAAACAACCCUGCAAGAGGGGUAUAUCUUUCAACAUGAGAAAACAACCCCAAAAAAGUGGUAUAUUUUUCAAUAUGAUACUUAUAUCAAUCGUUCAUGACAAUUGUGGAUCAUAAACUCAAAGAUAGCAAUAGAAAAAUCAAUAUCAUAUUGAGUCGUCAGUUUAAUCAAUAUCAAAAAUUCAUAAACAAUAAUAAUAGAAAAAAAAAUACUUGAAUUAAAGAAGAAAUUAUAUUAAGCACAAAAUCUCACAAAAUCACAAUUGGAAUUUAUUCACUCUUGAAUGAGAAAUUAAAAGCUUAGCCACGCAUGGUGAAGUAAGAAUUCACAAGAGUUAUAGGGAAUAGAGGAAGAAAAUAAAAAAUAUAAAAGCUCAAAGUCGUUCCCUUUUGUAAAACUAGCCUCCUUAUAUAGAAAGUCAAACCUAAAUCCUAAUAAAAUAAUCUCUAUCCAUAAAGAAAUAAACUUCCUAUAUAAUUCAAAUCCCAUAUGGAAAGCUAAAAAAAAAGGGAAAUCUAAAUAAAUAAAAUCCUAAUAAUAUAGGAGACAAUCUUUUUUUAUCCAGAACUUCCAAAAUAAAGGAAAUAACAUAAAAGUGGACUCACCAUGAAUUUAACUAAAAAAAUUUAAAAUUCUCAUCAACAGAUUUCAGCAGCUCAUAGAUUGCAGGGAGUGGUCACGCCUUGUUGAAAAUGAUAUUCUGCAUAAACUUUCACUGAUCCUCCAAAAGACUUGAUUUUUGACAAGUGAUGCUUGAAAAUAUGUCUUUAAACUGAAUUCUGCUCAAUCUCUGAUAUUUCAACAUCUAGAUCAUAACAAACACAAUUUCCACAAUUAAGCACAAUAUCCAAUCAAAAUAUAAGAGAAUUAAACACAAUAAGUAUUAUUUAUGAUCUAUCAAAUUUUUCCAAACCUAAUUCAUGCUUGUCCUCAAGCAUACCUCAACUCAACAUAUCAAUUCUCCUCUCUACUUCCUUUUAAUCUCUUUAAAUAUCCCUAAAUACCAAAUAAGUUAAACAUACAUCAAUGAGUUGAAUCAUAAUGACUAUCAAGAGAAUAACACUCAUAGGAUAAAUUUUGUAACAAAAAAAAUAAGUAUCUCACUAAUCCAUCAAAAUCAAAUGCAAAAAGACUUAACACCCUAAUAUGGUUUUACAAUACUCUCAAAGUGUUUAGGGUGCAUUUACUUUCAGAAUAAAAAAAUAGCAUGUUAUUACCAUAAUCUUGCUAAUGAGUCAAGUCUCCACCACUACACAUGUAUUGGUUGCAAAAAUCAAAGGGACUUCACAAGGGUUGUAUGGGGCUUAAGAAAGGGUAUGAUAAAAGAAAAAAAUUAAAGUGUUUCAUAAUCAAGACAAAAAGUCAUUUACUUGCAUGAUAACUAUGCCACAUAACCACAAAAUACACUAUAAAAACUUUGAAUUUUAUCUCCACAUCUUAUAUUAGCACUAAAAUGUUUGGAGAAAUAACAUAUAACAAUUCAGUUCAACAUCUUUGAUAAACACUUCUCCAAUUAUCCUCUUUCAUGAAAGGAAUAAAUAUCAACUUUUUUUUUCAACAUUUUAUUUUUCUUUUUUAUUUUUUUCAUUUUUUUCGAAUUUCUUUCCAUUACUAAUUUUUUUUUCUUUUUAGCAUUUUUCUGUUUCUUUUUAUACCAUCUAACACUUUUGCAUCUUGUCUUAACAAGGAUAGAAAAAUAGAAGUAAUAAAUGAAAGGUCUUGGGCUAAACAAUAUGUGUUAAAGACAAGAAAAAAAUAAAAAAUAGGCUCAAAGUGGCUAACUAAAAGGAAAAUUAACAAAGUAGAUCUUUUAAGAGUCUAAGAAUUGCUUAAUCUAAUUGUCCUUAUCAUAUUAAAGCACCAAUCCAAAAAUGUGGUCUCAAUAUACAUUCACAAGCAAGUUCUAGAAUAAGCGCACUAAGUAUGAUAACAUUCAACAAAAACAAUUAGAGCAAAAUAUAAUAUACUGCUCUUAGGCUCAAAAGUUCACUUGAAUGUUCAAAUUUGCAUCAAAUCUUGUGCAUUUUUCAAUCAAUAAACCAAUGAGAUACCAUCAAAUAAUUUUAAAGAAACACUAAUCAUGCUUAUUCCUUUCAUGUAUUAAAAUUCAAACAAAAAAUGUAUCCCUAACUUACAUGGAAAUCUAGGUUAUAAGAAAAAAAAAGGUUCCAAAAGAAAAAUUAGCACAUAUGAAUUAAAGCACACCUAAUUCUAAGCAUAAAAAAACACAAUUUUCAAAAAUAAAAGGAAAUCAUGUAAUUAACAAAUUCUUCCCUCACACCUAAACUAUAUAUUAUCCUCAAUGUAUCAAAAAGAAAAUGGCUCACAAAAAAAAUGAAAAGAAAUAUGAAACUCUCCUGAUUUGCGAGCAACUUGGGCUGAGUAGUCUAUGGUGAUGGUGGGCAAGGAGAUAGAACCCUCCUAUGCUUUAUCAAGGCAUCCAAAUUUCUCUCAAUCAUUGAAAUUUUAUGUUCCACCUUUUCCCAAAUGAGCUUCAAAAUCUAGUUCAGUUGAAUCAUCAGAGGUCUGGAAAAAAUAAAAAUAAAAGAAAUGUUAGAAAAAAUAGGAUAGUGGGAAAAAAAGUAGAAAAUAAUAAUAAUAAAAUGUUUUUAUUUAUUUUUAUUUUUUAUUUUUUAUCAUAAAUAAAAUAUCCUAAAGAAAAUAAAGUAAAGAAGUUAAAUUCUCAAGGCUUAUUGCUCAAAACAAAAUCAGAAGGUGGUUUGAUAUAAGUCGUGGUCACGGCUUAUCAAGAACGAUCUUCUGGAAAAAGACAUUUGCUUGAUACAUCUCGAAAAGCUGUAAAAGACUGACGCCUUAUUAAAAUUAAUCUCCUGCCCAAAAAUUGAACUUCUUCAUUAAAAAAGCUAAAAACUAAAAAUAAAAUAAACUAAGUGAAACAAAAUAAAAAGUAUGAAUAAAAAUAAAGAAAACAUUUGGGUUACCUCCUAAUAGAAUAAUUGUUUAAUGUCGUUUUGCUCAGCGGAAUGAUGAAACGUUACGGUCAUCCAAAUAAGUAGGGUGAUUCAAAGGAAAACUAAUGAGACAUGGAGCAAUUUCACCCUCAUGGAAGAUCUUCAAUAUAUGACCAUUCACUUUGAAAAUUUUAUCCAAAUCUAAGCUUAUAAUUUCUAUUGCACCAUAGGGAAACACAUUAGUAACAACAAAUGGACUGAUCUAUCGAGAACGAAACUUACCAGGUAUAAGCUUCAAUCGAGAAUUAUAUAAUAAUAAUUUUUCACAAAUCUCAAAUUAUUUCCUAUUAAGUAUGUUAUCAUGGAAUAACUUGAAUUUUUCUUUAUAAAUUCUCGAAUUCUCAUAAGCAUUCAAUCGCAACUCCUCUAUUCUUGCAAUUGCAGUAGCCUUGAUAUCCCAGCUUUGUCUAUGUCCAUAUUGCACCGCCAAACUGCCCAAUAGGAUUUAUGCUUGAUUUCUACCGGUAAGUGACAUGCUUUACAAAAAAACUAACCGAUAAGGGGACAUUCCUAUAGGAGUUUUGUGAGCCGUUCAGUAAGCCCAAGGAGCAUCAUCUAAACGAAGGCUCCAAUUCUUUCUUCCUGGAUUCAUUGUUAGUUCUUUUGAGAUGAUGACAGGCAAUAUUUCACCAUCACCUAAAUAUACGUAUGGUGAUCCGGUAAAAUUUUUAGCUCCAAUUUUGGUGCCUGCACAAUUGAAGGUAAUAUCUUAUUAUUAGUAUUAGAAAUUUCAGUAUUGAAAUUUAUUGGUUCAGAUAAUGUUGUUGAAAAUAAUUCUUCUACACCAAUCUCAUAAUCAAUUCCUUUUAAAUUAGAUUGUGCAUCUAAUUUUUACUCAUCACCAACACUUUCUUUUGCAAAUACAUCCUGUAAAAUUGAAUCAAUCACAUUAAUAUGACAGAGAGGAUGUACACCAUUAGGAUAUUUCAUUGCAUCCAAAAUAUGAAAAUUAACAAUCUUUCCAUCAAACUCUAUGGAGAGAGUACCCUCAUUGUCUUAGCUAUUUUCAUGAAUGGUCAUCCUAACAAAGUUGAAGCUGAUUUUGAUGAGGAAUUACCAUCCAUUUCCAAAAUAUAAAAGUCAACAGGAAAUAUGACCUCAUUAACCUGCACCAAAACAUCUUCAACGACUCCAAGGGGAUGAAUAUAAGAACGUUCAGCUAAUUAAAUCACUACACCAGUCUUUUGUAAGUCAUUUAGUUUCAACUCUUGAUAAAUAGAAAAUGACAUGACACUAAUGGAAGCUCCUAAAUCUAACAUGGUACGCUCAAUUUUCUUUUUACCAAUAAUACAAGAUAAUGAAAAUAUACCUAGAUCCUUGCAUUUUUUUGGCAUAUUCUUUUGUAAGAUAGCCGACACAUUUUUACUUACCACCACUUUCUCCUUUUCCUUCAUCCUCCUUUUGUUUGUGCACAAUUUCUUUAAGAACUUUGUAUAUUUAGGAAUUUGCUCGACAACAUCCAAUAAUGGGAUAUUUAUUUUCACCUUCCUAAAUAUAUCUAAGAUCUCAUUUUCUUGCUCAUCUUCUUUUGGUUUAGCUAAUCUGCUAGGAAAAUGAGGUAAUGGAGUGUGAGAUAAAAGAGAUAGAGGAGGAUUGAAUUUUACCCCAUUUGAUGCUUUAGAGGAAGCUUCUUCUUCCUUUUCCUUGCUCAAUUCACUUUUCUUAAGUGGAAUCGACCCUGAAGGAAUCUCCUUUCCGCUUCUUAGUGCAAUUGCACUAACAUUCUCCUUUAGAUUUAUCUCUAGUCGUGAAGGCAGUUUUCAGAAUUUUGAACCAAUUUACUAACCGACAUAGCCAAUUGAGUAAUUUAAUUGCUAAAUUCUAAAUGCUUGACCUUGUUUCCUAUGGAAGUUGAAGAGUACUGUUAGCAAGAUUUUUAAUAAUAUCUUCCAAAGACAUACUUGAUUUUGAAGCUUGAGAUUUUUGGAAAACUUGAGGCGGUCUAAUGAAGUUAUGGGAAGUGUCCUCAUUGGUUUCCAUAGCUCAAAUUCGGGUAAUCUUUCCAUCCAGGAUUAUAUUGAUUGGAAUAAGAAUAAUACUUCCUUUGAGGUUGACCAGUAAACCCGCCUAAAGCAUUAGCCUCUUGCAUCGAGUCUUGUUACAAUGUAGGGCACAUAUCAAUGGAAUGUCAUUGAACUGAGCAUAUUCCAUAAACUUUUUCCAUUUGCAAUCGCCCUACAGUCAUUUGAUGAACCAAAGUAGUUAAAUUAGAAAUUUAAUUUUCAAGAUUUUUUAGUGCUUACCUCAUUAACUCACCUAAUAGCUCCAUCAGCUCUUGUACCAAAUUGCUAAGAAUUUUCAGCCAUGUUUGAAAUCAAUUGCUUGGCUUCUUCAUGUGCCUUGUCUACUAAAACUCCAUCACUUGUUGCAUCAAUCAUACUCCUAGCUAUUGGUAAUAAUCCUUUACAGAAGUAAUGAAUUAAGAGUUGAUCAGAAAUUUAGUGAUGGGGGAAACUAGCAUACAAUUGCUUGAACGUCUCCUAAUACUCAUACAAUGUCUCUCCAGUGAAUUGUGUUAUGCAAUAAAUUUCUUUUCUGAUGUUGGCAGCUCUUGUUACAGGAAAAAACUUAUCUAAGAACAAUCUUCUCAUCUCAUUCCAUGUUGUUAUUGAACCAGAGGGUAGAUAAUUUAUCUAAUCUUUUGCUUUAUCCUUUAAAGAAAAGGAAAAAGUUCUAAGAUUUAUUUGCUCUUCGGUCACACUAUGUGACUUCAUUCUGGAGCAUACAAUAUGGAAUUCUUUCAAGUGUCUAUGAGGAUCUUCACCUCCACAUCCAUGAAAAGAAGAGAGUAAGUGAAUUAAGCUAAAUUUUAGUUUAAGAUCAACUUCAAUAUUAGGAAAUAUAAUGCAUAAAGUUGUUGAUUCAAAUCCAGCGCGGCUGCUCUUUGAGAGUUUUAUUUGCCAUAUUUUCUACAACUUCUUAAAAAAUAGAUGUGUCACCAAUAGCCAAAUCUAUCUCUAAUUCCUCUAUGAGAUGACUUUUUCUGUCUAGUCUCAUUUCUUAAUCGACGCAUUGUCUUCUCAAUUUUAGAAUUAUAUUGCAAAUCAAUAGCCUGAGAAGAACGAGUCGUAAACAAAUACAUUAAACAAUGAGAAACUAAAAUAGCUCCCCAGUAAUGGUGGUCAAAUUUUGAAUGAGUUGUCGAAGCCCUACAAAAUAAAUUACUGAUUUUCCUAAACUAACUUGUAGAAAUAGUGAAACGAGGUCGAAUCCCUAGAAAACCAAUGUGAAUAGCUUCUCAAUGUUAAAUAAUAAAAAUAGGAGAUUUUGAAUGAUUGAACUAAAAUUAUAAAUAAACAAGAAAAUAAUAAAAGUUGAAUAUUAAAGUAAAUAAAAAUUAAUCUUACCAAACUUCCAAUUCAAGAGUGCAAAUUCCAUCCAAUUGUAAUUCUAAUCACAGGCUUAAAUAUCAAUUCUAUUCAAAUACUUAGUCUACUGAUUUGGAAAAGCCGUAAAAAUUAUAAAUUCUCCUAAUAUAAUUGACUCAAACCCCACAUCCAAAUCAAAACUUACCAUUAGUUAACUGGGCAUGAUAGCGUUUCAUAUCAACUCAAUAAUAGUAUUAAGAAUAAUGGGAAUGACUAAACCAAUAUUAAUUAAUCAAGAUAACUGUAAUGAUUUAAUCUUGUAUCUUUAUUUCCCUAGAGCCUAUCAUUCAAGCUAUUUAAUUCGGAAAGACCGCAAUUACAUACACAUGAGCCAACUUCUUGCUAUUUUUGUCAAUUGUUCAUGAUAAUUACGGAUCACAAACUCAAGGAUAGCAAUAGAAAAAUCAAAGAAGAAAUUAUGUUAAGCAAUAAAAAAAGAAAUAAAGAAUACUUGAAUUAUUGAAGAAAUUCUGUUAAGCACAACGCCACACAAAAUCACAAUUGAAAUUUAUUCACUCUUGAAUCAGAAAUUAAAAGCUUAGCCACACAUGGCGGAGUAAAAAUUCACAAGAGUUGUAGGGAAUAGAGGAAGAAAAUAAAAAAUAUAAAAGCUCAAAGGCGUGGUCACGACUUAUUAAAAUUAAUCUUCUGCCCAAAAAUUGAACUUCAUUAAAACAAACUAAAAACUAAAAAAAAAAAAUAAACUAAGUGAAAGAAAAUAAAAAGUAUAAAUGAAAAUAAAGAAGGCAUUUGGGUUGCCUUCCAAUGGCGUAAUUGUCUAACAUCAUUUUGCUCGAUACGAUAAAUCAAUUAAGAAUUUCUGAUUUCCAAUGACCAUAUCAGCAAAAAUAGGCUGAAAAAGUAUUAGAUAAUUUAAAUGGAAACAAAAAUUAACAGUAUUAGUACCAAAAAGAAAAUAACUGAACUAUUAGUCUCAGUUGGAUAUUAAGUCCAAAAAUUUGAUAUCAAUAAAAUAAUUUACCCAAAAAAAAAAACUGUACGUUUUUUUGCAAGAAUUUAAAAUAUGUAUUUAAAGGUGGCCUGAUCCAUUGAGAUAACAGCCUGCCCACCAAGCAAUACUAUCUAAAGUAUCUUUCACUUUAUUGAUAAGUAAAAAAAAUUAUUUUAAAAUUUUUAAUAUAAAUAUUAUUAAUGAGAUAAAAAAAAUAUAUAAUUGUAAAUUAUGAGGAAAAAAAAAGUAUUUUGCUUUUUAAAAUUUUAGUUUUUUAAUAAUUUAAUCAUCUUUUUUUCAGUAAGCCAUCAUUAUCAUAUUGUUUGUAUUUGAUAAUAUAAGUUUAGAGCUUAAUAGUUUAUAAUUUCAUUAUUUGACCUUUAAAUCAUAUUUAGUGAUUUGAUGAAAUGAAAUUAACAGUCAAAUAAUGAGAUUAGAAGUUAUUAAGUUCCAAAUUCUCAUUAUCAAAUACGAGCAACAUAAUAACAAUGACUGAUCAGAAGUAAAAUGGCUAAACUCUUAUGAAUUGAAACUUUUUAAAGUCGAGAUACAUUUUUUCAUCAUCAUUACUAAUCACAUAUCUCUUUGUCUGAAAAACACAUGCUAAAAAAUGUAAAAUGAUGAAACUAUAUAGUACUUUUUUUUGUAUUUAUCUGUUUACUUGACUGAAGUGUGAAGCAUAAUAAUAUGAGAUUUUAUUAGGUAAAUAGCUAUGGUUUUAAAAUUUUGGCUUAUGUUUCUAGUUAGUACCAAUACUUUAAUUAUUUUCUUUUUAAUAUCAUAACUUUAAUUUUUAUUAUAUACAAUGGUAUCCAUUGGAAAUUCGUUUAAUUUCUUAUGAUAUUGAGGGUAGAGAUCCACAUCACUAACCCAAUCUAACUCUUAAUGGUGUCAUUCUCAGUUAUUAAUUUUCUUUAGAGAUAAGUACAUAAAAGUACCUUGUGGUUUCAUCACUUGACAACUUUCAGUGUGUUAUUUUUUCCAAACAAUAAAAAAAAGAAAUACAGUUAUAAAUCACGACAAAAAAAAAUAUUUUACCAUUAAAAAGUUUCAAUUUGUAAGGAUUUAGCCAUUUUCACUCCGAUCAAUCAUCAUUAUCAUAUUUUUCAUGUUUGAUAAUAUGGGUUUAGAGUUUAACAACUCAAAACAUCAUUGUUGGAUUGUUAAAUCAAUUUAUCAUUGGAGCAAUGACUUCCUAAAUCAUGAUUUAAUGAUCAGAUUUUAAAACUAGGAGUUGUUAAACUCCAUACUCACAUUAUCAAACACACACACAAUAGGAUAUUGAUGGUCAAUCGGUGUAAAGAUGGCUUGAUCCUUACAAAUUGAGACUUUUUAACUGUGAGAUAUCUUUUCUAUCAUUAUUUAUAACUACAAGCCUCUUUUUGUUUGAAAAAGAAAAUCACAUUCUGGAAAUUGUCAAAUGAUGAAACCAUAUAAUACUUUUAUGUAAUUAUUUCUUUAUUUUAUUUUUUAAGUUUUUUGAAACUUACUUUUGUAAAAAGCAUGUAAAAGUUGAGAAAAACAGUUUAUACAAAUUAUAAGAACUAAUAUUUUAAAUCAAAAGAAAUUCUUAACGUGCUUUUUCAAUACCAAUAGCGAAAUGUCUUGCAUGACUUUGAUGGAUAAAAAAAUGAUGUAUAAAAAUAAAUAAAUAAAUAAUAAGAUGCAACAUAUAAGGGUUUUAAAUAUUGUCUAAAAAAUAAUAUAUUUUAUUUGACACCUAAUAUUUAAAAUAUGAUAUUAUAGAUCACAUUAAUAAAUAUAUGCACAUUUAUCCAUAUAGAGAAAAUUAUAUUUAUAUAUAAGAAACUAAAAGUACCACAUUUCAUUUCCAGUUUUUAUAGAGAAUAAUUAAAUUAAAAUAAUCUUUAAAUAAAUAUUUUUUAUGAGAAACACUUUAAAAAUCAUAAGUAUAUAAAUAAUAGAGUAAAGAAAAUACAAUACCACCCUCCCAAUAUGCAAGACUUUUAACCGAAUCCUCAAUCAAACUAUAAUUUUACACAACCUGCUAACUUUAAACAGUUAUUUAAACAUUUAAUUCUAUAAUUCACGUAUAAAUAUAAUUAAAAAUAAUGUUAAUAUUUGUGCUAACAAUCCUUAUCUAACCUCUAAUAUCUAUAUAAUAUAUCAUUCUUGACAAUCAUUAAUUUUUAUAAUUAACAUAAUCGAUUAUCUUAAUAACUAAUCCACCUUAUCCACUGAUUACACUUCAACUCAUUUAAUUAAUAGGAGUAUUAAAAAUAUUAAUAAUAAUAUCACAUUAUCAUAUAAUUAAUUAUCAACCAAUAAUUAUAUAUAAUUAAAUAUCUCAAUUCCUAACUAUAAGUUUUAUAAUUCAUAUACCAUAUUCUAAACUAAUUAUCAUAAUUUAAUAAUAAAAUUCAUAAUGUAGUUAAUAUUAAUUUUCCUUAUGUUCUCCAUCUGCUCAAUUAUAGAUUUAAUUCCAUUUAAUCUAUCAAAAUAACAAACAAAUUAAUUCCUUAAUAUAAGUACUAACUAAUAUAUCUUCGACAAUGUUAUAAUCUUUAAUUAAUAGUUGUCUAUUUANNNUUUAUUCUACUGGAACUUAUAUUAACUAUGUAAAAAUUAAACAAUAUACGUAUAUGUUAGCGGACUCAGUAUUGGUCGUCGGAGUCUGAUGGAUUAUCCAAUGAAUCUAAUAGACUUGUAGUGAUACAUAGAUCACGAAUCUAAUGUGAUACUUUAUUCAAGUUACUGAUGAACUCUGAAAUAGUUAAAUAGUUUUGAUUAUAAAAUUGGUAUAAAUAGAAAAUUUAUGAGGAGAAUUUAUUGUUUUCUAAUUACCUAAAGCACGUCACAAUUAGACGACAUCCGUUACAAAUCAAACUAGCUUUGUUUUCUCUUUCUACUGUAUGUCGUCAUCCCCAAUCAAAGUAGAGGCCGCCAUGGUCAUCACUUGAAAGCCCAUUACAAGAUGAGUUUAAUGCCACUAGUUCUAAUCACUGGCCAACUAAAGGAAGGAGAUCUGCUAUUUGGAAUUUUUAGUGUUCCAAACUUACUCCUCCAUACGCUGCCCACAAUCGCCAAGUGGUAACAGCAAGGUCACUCAAUGACUGUGGGCAGCAUAUGUAGUAAGUUUAGGACACUAACUUCCAACUAGUAGAUCUCCCUCCUUUAGUAGGGCCAACGACUGGAACCAGUGGCAUUGAACUCAUCUUUUCAUGGGCUUCCAAGUGAUAAUCAUGGUAGCCUUUACUUUGAUCGGAGAUGACGAGACACAGUGGAGAAAGAAAACGAAGCUAGUUUGAAUUUUAACAGAUUUCAUCCAAUUCUGACGUGCUUUGGGUAAUCAAAGAACAAUAAAUUCUCCUCUUCAUAAACUUUCUAUCUACACCAGUUUUAUAACGGUUGGACUCCUUUAAAACAUUGUUGGCCAAAACUGUUUGACUAUUUUAGAGUUGAUCGGUUACUUGAAUGAAAGAUCACACAUUUGAUUCGUAAUCUACGUAUCAUUACAAGUCUAUUAGUAUCAUCGAAUAAUCAAUCGGACUCCGACGACCAGUGCCGUGUCUACUAAUAUAUGGUAUAUGAAUUAUAAAGCUUAUAAAAAGGAAUUAAAGUAUUUAAUUAUAUAUAAUUAUUAGUUGAUAAUUGAUUAUAUGAUAAUAUGAUAUUAUUAUUAAUAUUGUUAAAGCUUCUAUUAAUUCAAUGAGUUGAAGACAAAUCAGUGGAUAAGGUGGUACACCAAGUACCGGAGUGGGCUCUAAGACUAUCAUGAUAGAAGAAAGUGCAGUGGACUCGGCUCUAGACUACCUUGCUGAAUUUAUGUGAUUCUUAAGGAUUUAAGCCAGUUAUCAAGACUUGAGAGGGAGCCAUGAGACAAUUAUCAAGGAAACCCUAGCUUAACCGCCUAACAACCUUCCCUUGUAUUUCAAAUUAUAGUUUGUAUAAGAUAUAUUACUAGAUAUUCCAGCUGUAUAUCUUAUUUUCAACAGUUGUUAUGUAAUCUACAAAUAUAUCUAGGGUUGUACUCUUUAAAAUAUCAAUAUAUACAAAAUCAUAUUUUUCUCUAAACUUAAUAUGGUAUUAGAGCAAACCAUCAUGAAUCUUAAUGGAAAUCCAUCUUUCUCUUCUUCCUCUUCUACUGCUCAACUCAAUUUUUCUAUCAGACUCACUUCUAACAAUUUUCUCUUAUGGAAAAUUCAGCUCAUGCCUCUUCUUCACUCUCAAGAUCUCAUCGACUUCAUAGAUGGUAGUUAUUCAGCUCCAUCUAAAACAAUUCUCAGCAAUGAUACUCCGCUUCGAACCAUUCUGAAUUCAGCUUACUCUAUCUGGUUUCAUGGAGACCAAAUGCUUCUGUCCUGGAUCCUCUCUUCUCUUACUGAAGAAAUUUUUCCCUACAUCAAUGGAGUUUCCUCAUCCUAUUCAGCUUGGAAAACUCUAGAAAAUGCAUUUGGUGCUGUAUCUCAAAAUAAACAGCUUCAACUUCAUAUCAAAUUAUAAGAGCUGAAGAAAAAUGAUCUCUCUAUGAAGGAUUAUUUACUAAAAGCUAAAGCAUUGGCCGAUAAAUUAACUACUGCUGGUUGUCCAAUUAAUGAAGUCGAGUUUAAUGCAAUUAUUGUCCACAAUAUUGGUGCUGAAUUUCAAGGAAUUAUAAGCACUCUCAAUACCAUAUUAAAACCAAACAAUUUUUGUAGGCUUCAUAGUCGUCUUUUUGCUCAUAAAAUUCUUCUUAAAGCUCAACAAUCAAACUAUAUGGCUAAUCUUUUCUACAAGCCCUCGAUUUUGUCUACACCAACUUUUUUUCCACCACAAUCACUGCCUCCUUCACAGAAGAAUUUUCGGCCAUCAUGGAAAAUGAAGUUUCAAAAUCGGGGUGGUGUCUACUAGUGGCUAUGCCAUUUACAUUGGAAAGUAUAUUGCAUCAUGGAGUGCCAAGAAACAACCUACAAUUGCUAGGUCAUUAACUGAAAGUGAGUAUGAGAGGUUACAAAUAGUUAUAUUUAUUGUGUUUAAUUCCCUUGCGAUUUGGUUGAAUAAUGUACCUAAUUAUGAAAAUUUUGUUUAUUCUAACUUAGGUAAUGAAAUAUGAAGGAUGGAACAAAAUCCAGCCUAAAGACAUGUUUUAAGUCAUCAUUUGUCAAAAACCAAGUCUUUUGGAGGAGAUGCUGAAAUCUGCAAAGAAGAUCACUGUCGACAAGGCGUGACCAUGUCUUACAGCCCAUGAGCUCCGCAGAAAUCUGUGUAGAAGACUACUGUCAGCAAGGCGUGACCAUGCCUUGCGUCCCAUGAGCUGCUAAAAGAUGCGAAAGAGAGCUUUGAAAUUUUUAGAAAUUAAUUUGUAGUGGACCUAUCCCUAAUUAAUUUUCUUUAUUUUUGGAAGUAUUGGAUUAAUAGAACUUUCUUCCAUGUAUUUAGAGUUUUAAUUUAUUUAGAUCACUCUUAAUCUUAUCCUUCCGUAUAGGGAUAAGAUUAAAUAGGAAGCAUAUUUCUUUUUUAUAAGGAUUCUACUAUUAGGGUUUAGAGUUUUACUUCCUAUAUAAGGACGGCUAGAUACUUUAAGUAUAUAAUUCAUAUUUUUAUUCUUCUUCUACUCUCUACAAUUCUUGUGAAUUCUUACUCCACCAUGAGUGGCUAAGUUCUUAGUUUCUAAUUCAAGUGAAAAAAUUCUAAUUGUGAUUUUGUGAGGCUUUGUGCUUAACAUAAUUCUUUUUUAAUUCAAGUAUUCUUUAUUUCUUGUUCUUAUUAUUUAUGAAUUAUUGAUAUUGAUUGAACUGACGACUCAACUUUGAUAUUGAUUUUUCUAUUGCUACACUUUGAGUUUGUAAUCCGUAAUUGUCAUGAACGAUUGACACAAGUAGCAAGGAGUUGGCUCAUGUGUGUGUGAUUAUGGCUUAUUCGAAUUACAUAGCUUGCAUGAUAUGCUCUAGGGAAAUAAAGGAAAAAAAUUAUUUCAAUUGCAGUUAUCUCAAUUAAAUUAAUGUUGGUUUAGUCAUUCUUAUUAUUCUUACUGCUAUCAUUAAGUUGAUAUGGAAUGUUAUCGUGCCCAGUUGAUUAAUGGUAAGUCUUGAUUUGGAUGUUGGGUUUGAGUCAAUUAUAUUAGGAGAAUUACACUUGUUGCGGUUUUUUCGAAUAAGUAGACUAAGUACUUGAAUAGAAGAAUUGAUAUUUUAGCCUAUAAUCAUGAUUACAAUUGGAUGGAAUUAGCACUUUUGAAUUGGAAAUUUAUUAAGAUUGAUUUUAUUUACUUUAAUAUUCAGCCUUCAUUAUUUUCUGCUUAUUUAUAAUUUUGAUUCAAACAUUCAAAAUCUCUCCUUUUUAUUUUACUUUGAGAAGCUAUCCACAUUGGUUCCCUUGGGAUUUGACUUGGUUUCACUAUUUCUACAAGUUAGUUUAGGAAAAUCAGUAAUUUAUUUUGAAGGGCUUCGACAACCCGUUCAAAUUUGGUGUCGUUGUCGGGGGAACCUAUUUUAGUUUAUCAUUGAUUAAUUUAUUUGUUUAUGACUUGUUCUUCUCAAGAUAUUGAUUUGCAGUUUAAUCCUGAAAUUGAGAAGACAGCGCGUUGAUUAAGAAAGGAGACUAGACAAAGAAAAAGUUGUCUCAUAGAGGAGUUGGAAAUAGAUUUGGCUAUUGGUGACACAUCUAUUUUUCAAGAAAUUAUAGAAAACAUGGCGAACAGAACUCUCAAAGAGCUAGCUGCAUCGGAUUUAAAUCAACAAUCUUUAUGCAUUACAUUUCCUAAUAUUGCAGUUGAUUUUGAAUUAAAAUCUGGUUUAAUUCACUUACUCCCUUUUUUUAAUGGAUGUGCAGGUAAAGAUCCUCAUAAACACAAAACUCCAUAUUGUAUGCUCCGGAAUGAAGCCACAUGGUGUGACCGAAGAGCAAAUAAAUCUUAGAGCUUUUUCCUUUUCUUUGAAGGAUAAAGCAAAAGAUUGGCUCUAUUAUCUACCCUCUGGUUCAAUAACAACAUGGAAUGAGAUGAAAAUAUUGUUCUUAGAUAAGUUCUUCCCUGCAACAAGAGCUGCCAACGUCAGAAAAGAAAUUUGUGGCAUAACACAGUUCACUGGAAAAACAUUGUAUGAGUAUUAGGAAAGGUUCAAGCAAUUGUGUGCUAGCUGCCCCCAUCAUCAAAUUUCUCAGCAACUUUUAAUCCAAUACUUCUAUGAAGGAUUGUUGCCCAUGGAGAGGAGUAUGAUUGACGCAGCAAGUAGUGGAGCUUUGGUAGACAAGACGCCUGAAGAAGCCAAGCAAUUAAUUUCAAACAUGGCCGAAAAUUCUCAGCAAUUUGGUACAAGGGCUGAUGGAGCUACAAGGCGAGUUAAUGAGGUAAGCACUAAAAAUUUUGAAAAUCAAAUUUCUGAUUUAACUACUUUGGUUCGUCAAAUGGUUGUAGGGCAAUUGCAAAUGGCAAAAGCUUGUGGAAUAUGCUCAGUUCAAGGACAUCACAUCAAUAUAUGCCCAACAUUGCAACAAGACUCUAUACAAGAAGCUAAUGCUCUAGGUAGAUUUACUGGUCAACCUCAAAGGAAGUAUGACCCUUUCUCCAAUUAUUAUAAUCUUGGAUGGAGAGAUCACCCAAAAUUGAGUUAUGAAAACUAAGGAGGACAACAAAAGUAUCCUUCCCANNNNNNNNNNNNNNNNNNNNNNNNNNNNNNNNNNNNNNNNNNNNNNNNNNNNNNNNNNNNNNNNNNNNNNNNNNNNNNNNNNNNNNNNNNNNNNNNNNNNNNNNNNNNNNNNNNNNNNNNNNNNNNNNNNNNNNNNNNNNNNNNNNNNNNNNNNNNNNNNNNNNNNNNNNNNNNNNNNNNNNNNNNNNNNNNNNNNNNNNNNNNNNNNNNNNNNNNNNNNNNNNNNNNNNNNNNNNNNNNNNNNNNNNNNNNNNNNNNNNNNNNNNNNNNNNNNNNNNNNNNNNNNNNNNNNNNNNNNNNNNNNNNNNNNNNNNNNNNNNNNNNNNNNNNNNNNNNNNNNNNNNNNNNNNNNNNNNNNNNNNNNNNNNNNNNNNNNNNNNNNNNNNNNNNNNNNNNNNNNNNNNNNNNNNNNNNNNNNNNNNNNNNNNNNNNNNNNNNNNNNNNNNNNNNNNNNNNNNNNNNNNNNNNNNNNNNNNNNNNNNNNNNNNNNNNNNNNNNNNNNNNNNNNNNNNNNNNNNNNNNNNNNNNNNNNNNNNNNNNNNNNNNNNNNNNNNNNNNNNNNNNNNNNNNNNNNNNNNNNNNNNNNNNNNNNNNNNNNNNNNNNNNNNNNNNNNNNNNNNNNNNNNNNNNNNNNNNNNNNNNNNNNNNNNNNNNNNNNNNNNNNNNNNNNNNNNNNNNNNNNNNNNNNNNNNNNNNNNNNNNNNNNNNNNNNNNNNNNNNNNNNNNNNNNNNNNNNNNNNNNNNNNNNUUGCAAAGACUGGUGUAAUGAUUCAAUUAGCCGAUCACUCUUAUAUUCAUCCCCUUGGAGUUGUUGAAGAUGUUUUGGUGCAGGUUAAUGAGCUCAUAUUUCCUAUCGAAUCUUACAUUUUGGAAGUGGAUGGUAAUUCCUCAUUAACAUCAGCUUUGAUUUUAUUAGGACGACCAUUCAUGAAAACUGCUAACAUAAAGAUUAAUGUAGAUGAGGGUACUCUCUCCGUAGAGUUUGAUAGAUAGAUUAUUAAAUUUAAUAUUUUCAAUGUAAUAAAAUAUGCUAAUAAUUUACAUUCUCUUUGCCAUAUUGAUGUAAUUAAUCCAAUUGUGCAAGAAGUAUUUGCAAAAGAAAAUGUUAGUGAUGAGCAAGAAUUAGAUGCACAAUCUAAUUUAGAAGUGGAAAUUAGAAGAUUGGAUUUGGAUAAAAUUUUCAAACUGAAUGGUCAUAGAUUGAAGAUCUUCCAUGAGGGUGAAAUUGCUUUAUGUCUCAUUAGUUUUCCUUCGAAUCACCCCACUUAUUUAGAUGACUCAAAUAUUUUAUCAUUUCGUCAAGCAUAACGACGUUAAACAAUUGCGCUAUUGGGAGGCAACCCAAACACUUACUUUAUUUUUUUUUAUUUUUUUUCUUUCACUUAGUUUAUUUUAUUUUUAGUUUUUAGUUUUUAAUUUUUUUAAUAAAGAAAUUCAAAUUUUUUUCUGACAGGAGACUAAUUUCUACCAGGCGUGACCACGCCUUGUUCCCAAACAUCUUCUGUUCUGUAACAAAAAAAAAAAUCCUACUGUUACUCUUACAGAAGCUCGCUUCUUAUAAGGCGUGACCACGCCUUGUUUCAAAAUACCUUCUGUUUUGUUUUGAAAAACUGCACCUCAAGAUUACAGAAGCUCGUCUCUUAUAAGGCGUGACAACGCCUUGUUUCAAUACGCCUUUUGUUUUGACUUCUUUUUUUUUUUACAGAAGCUCGUUUCUUAUAAGGCGUGACCACGCCUUAUUUUAGCUUUGUUUUGACUUCUUUACUUUAUUUUACAGAAGCUCGUUUCUUAUAAGGCGUGACCACGCCUUAUCUCAAACCACUCUUUUUUUUAUUAUUAUUUAUUAUUUAUUUUAUUUUAUUAUUUUUUUUAUUAUUAUUAUUUUAUUUUUUUAAUUUUCCUAAUUUUUUAUUUUUUAUUAUUUUAAUUUUUUUAUUAUUAUUAUUUAUUUUUGUGCUUAAAAAAAAAGAGAGAGAGAAAAGAAACGAGAACGUUUUAUUUUGCAUAGCCACUAACGUUUUAUUUUCUUUGGCAGCAAUCAUCACCAAAACUUCCUAUUUUCACUGGGCGGUUCUACCUCCUUUCCCACCAUCACCAUUGACUAUUCAGUCCGAGUUGCUUUGCAAAUCAGAGGAGUUUCAUAAUUCUUUUUAUUUUUUUUUUCUGAGCCAUUUUCUUUUUGAUACAUUGAGGACAAUGUAUAGUUUAGGUGUAGGGAAGGAAUAUGAUAAUUACAUGAUUUCCUUUUCUUUUUGAAAAUAUUUUUUUAUGCUUUUAAUUAGGUAUGCUUUAAUUCAUACGUGCUACUUUUUCUUUUGCAACCUUGAGUUUUAUUUUGAUAACCUGGAAUACCAUGUAAAUUAGAAAUACAUUUUUGGUUUGAAUUUCAAUGCAUGAAAUGGGAUAAGCAUGAUUAGUGUAUCUUUAAAACUAUCCGAAGGUAUCUCAUUAGUUUAUUGAUUGAAAAAUGUACAAGAAUUGAUACAAAUGUAAAUAUUCAAGUGAGCUUUGAUCCUUAGAGCAGUGCAUUAUAUUUUGCUCUGAUUAUUUUUUAUGAGUGUUAUCAAACUAGUAUGAUUAUUCUAGAACUUGCUUUUGAAUUCAUGUUGAGACUAUAUUUUUGGAUUGAUGCUUUAAUAUGAUAAGGGAAAUUAGGAUUAAUCUAUUCUUAGACUCUUAAAGACUUACCCUAUUGAUUUUUCUUUUAGUCAGCCACUUUGAGCUUAUUUUCUUCUUUUUUUUCUUGUUUUUAACACAUGUUAUUUAACCCAAGACCUUUCAUUUGUUACCUCUAUUUUUCUAACCUUGUCAAGAUAAGAAGGGAAGUGUUGCAUGGUAUAAAUGAAACAGAAAAAAAAAAAGAGAAAAAGAAAGAAACAGAGAAAAAAAAAAGGAAGAAGAAGAGGAAAAGAAAGUUAAUAUCUAUUCCUUUCAUGAAGAGGAGAAUUGAAGAAGUAUUCAUCAAAUAUACUGAAUUAAAUUGUUACUCCUCACAAGUUCUCAUAUAAAAUAUGGGAAUAAAUAUCAACUUUCGAAAUUUUUGUAGUAUGUUUUAUGGAUGUCGCAUAAGUUAUCAUGCAAGAAUCUAAUUUUUUUUUGUCUUAAUUAUGAAACAUUUCAGCUCUUCCUUUAUCACACCAUUUCCUAAGCCCCAUUACAACCCUUGUAAAGUCCCUUUGAUUUUUGCAUCUAAUUCAUGUGUAGUGGUGAAGACUUGAUUCAUUAGCAAGCUUAUGGUAAUAACAUGCUAUGUUUUGAUUCUGAGAGUAAAUGCACCCUAAACACUUUGAGAGUAUUAAGUGAAACCAUGUGAGGGUGUUAAAUCUCGUUGCUUUGAUUUUGAUGAAUUAUUGAGAUACCUGUUCUUUUUAUAAAAUUUAUCCUAUGAGUGCUAAUCUCUUGAUUGUCAUUAUUAUUUAGCUCAUUAAUGUAUGUUUAAUUUGUUUGGUAUUUGAGGAGAUUAAAAGAGAUGAAAAGGAAGGUUAAAAGGAGAAUUUGUAUGUUGAAUUGAGGUAUGCUUGAGGACAAGCAUAAAUUAGGUGUGGAGAAAUUUGAUAGGUCACAAACAGUUAUAUUUAUUAUGUUUAAUUCCCUUACGAUUUGGUUCAAUAAUGUACUUAAUUAUGAAAAUUCUGUUUAUUCUGAAUUAGGUGAUGAAAUAUCAAGGAUGGAGCAAAAUACAGCCUAAAGGCAUGUUUAAGUCAUUAUUUAUCAAAAACCAAGUCUUUUAGAGGAGAGGCUGAAAUCUGCAAAAAAGAUCACUGUCAACAAGGCGUGACCACGCCUUACAGCCCAUGAGCUCCGCAAAAAUCNNNNNNNNNNNNNNNNNNNNNNNNNNNNNNNNNNNNNNNNNNNNNNNNNNNNNNNNNNNNNNNNNNNNNNNNNNNNNNNNNNNNNNNNNNNNNNNNNNNNNNNNNNNNNNNNNNNNNNNNNNNNNNNNNNNNNNNNNCACCUUGCGUCCAUGAGCUGUUAAAAGAUGGGAAAGAGAGCUUCGAAAUUUUCAGAGAUUAAUUUGUAGUGGACCUAUACCUAAUUAAUUUCUUUUAUUUUUGAAAGUGUUGGAUCAAUAGAACUUUUUUCCACGUAUUUAGGGUUUUAAUUUAUUUAGAUCACUCUUAAGCUUAUCCUUCCGUAUAGGGAUAAAAUUAUAUAGGAAGCAUAUUUUUUUUUUAUAAGGAUUCUACUAUUAGGGUUUAGGGUUUACUUUCUAUAAAAGGAUGGCUAGAUACUUUGAGCAUAUAAUUCAUAUUCUUAUUCUUCUUCUACUCCCUACAAUUCUUGUAAAUUCUUACUCCACCAUGAGUGGCUAAGUUUUUAGUUUUUAAUUCAAGAGUGAAUAAAUUCCAAUUGUGAUUUUGUGAGGCUUUGUGCUUAACAGAUUUUUUUUUAAUUCAAGUAUUCUUUAUUUCUUGUUCGUAUUAUUUAUGAAUUAUUAAUAUUGAUUGAAUUGACGACUCAACUUUGAUAUUGAUCUUUCUAUUGCUAAACUUUAAGUUUGUGAUCCGUAAUUAUCAUGAACGAUUGAUACAAGUAGCAAGGAACUGGCUCAUGUGUGUAAUUAUGGCUUAUUCGAAUUACAUAGCUUGCAUGAUAGGCUCUAGGGAAAUAAAAGAACAAGAUUGUUUCAAUUUCAGUUAUCUCAAUUGAAUUAAUGUUGGUUUAGUCAUUCUCAUUAUUUUUAAUGCUAUCAUUAAGUUGAUAUGGAACGCUAUCGUGCCCAGUUGACUAAUGGUAAGUUUUGAUUUGGAUGUUGGGUUUGAGUCAAUUAUAUUAGGAGAAUUACACUUGUUGCAGCUUUUUCGAAUAAGUAGACUAAGUACUUGAAUAGAAGAAUUGAUAUUUUAGCUUAUGAUCAUGAUUACAAUUGGAUGAAAUUAGCACUCUUGAAUUAGAAAUUUGUUAAGAUUGAUUUUAUUUACUUUAAUAUUCAGCAUUUAUUAUUUUCUGCUUAUUUAUAAUUUUGAUUCAAACAUUCAAAAUCCUCCCUUUUUAUUUUACUUUGAGAAGCCAUCCAUAUUGGUUCCCUUGGGAUUCGACCUGGUUUCACUAUUUCUACAAGUUAGUUUAGGAAAAUCAGUAAUUUAUUUUGAAGGGCUUCGACAACCCAUUCAAAGUACAAGGCUCAUGCCAAUACCAUUGCUGAACUUUUAUGGAUUUAAUCUCUGUUGCGAGAAAUUGGUAUGCUUUCUUCUUCACUUGCUACCUUGUGGUGUGACAAUAUUGGAGCAAUUUACUUAUCCUCUAAUCCGGUUUUUCAUGCUCGUACUAAGCAUAUUGAGUUCGACUAUUAUUUUUUAAGGGAACAAAUGGCGUUAAGCAUCAUCCAAAUUGGUUUUCUUUCUUCCAAUGAUCAACUUGGUACACUGGGUGUUAGAUUGUUUCAGCAGCAUCGCUCUCAUCUUCGUCUUCAACCUCACCCACCAUUAGCUUGCCGACAAGUAUCAAGUAAACCCUAGCUUAACUGCCUGAAAACCUUCCCUUGUAUUUCAAAUUAUAGUUUGUAUAAGAUAUAUUAUUAGAUAUUCCAGCCAUAUAUCUUAUUUUCAAUAGUUGUUAUGUAAUCUAUAGAUAUAUCUAGAGCUGUACUCUUUAAAAUAUCAAUAUAUACAAAAUCAUCUACUUCUCUAAACUUAAUAACAAUGAGCCUUGGUCUUGUCCGCUAUUUAUCAAUCAUCCAUCCUCGAUCACCCUAUAUGCAAAAAUUACAUAAUUAAAUUUAUAAUUUCAACUUUUUUGACAAAUUACAGUUUUUUAGUUAAAUAUCUUAAAUCUAAAUAUUUUUAAAUUUAAAAUAUUUGUUUGAAAUUUCAUUUCAAACAUAAGAAUUAAUUGAAAAAAUACUAAAAAAAUAAAUUUUAUGUAACACUUACAUAAAAAUAUAAAUGGUUUUAAUUAUAAGACAGCUCCUAAAUGCCAUUGCGGAAUAUCUUUAUGCUAUUUUUUAAUUAAAAACAGAAAUUUUAAUACGCCAAUAAAUAAAAUUAUACUAAUUAUAUAAAAAUAAUUAAGUAUCUGAAUUUAUAUUAAAAUAAUUAAAAUUAUCUAUUAUAGCGCAAAAAUCUAGUGAAACAGAUAUUUUGGUUUUCUUGGUCUUCUAGUUCUCUAACUAUAGAGCUUUUAGUCUGUCCACACGGAGACAUAGAGGCAAUAUUGUAGAGAUUUGAUUUUCUUCUCAGUCAAACCCUUUUACCAAAACCAAUUUUUAGAUUUAUUUUUUCUUACAGCAAUCAAAAUCUCAACAAUGUUCUUUUUUAAAAGAGUAUAUUGCAUUGUCCACAUAAACAAUAACUAUUCUAUAUAUAUAUAUAUAAAUUAAAACUUCUUUUAACUUCUACUUUUUACCUCUUUUCAUAAAUGUAAAUUAAUUAUUUAAUUUAACCAUUUAACUAAAAUGUAAUUAAUUUCUGGCAUAAAUUACUAACACCUUCAAGAGAAGCUAGCAUAGUGCAAGAGAUUACAGAGGUAAGGUAGUAUUCUGCAUGGCUACAAAACUGUCCCUUGGAUACGGUGCUUAUAAUUGACUAGAACGGGAAAGCUUGCACACUUUGCAGGAUGCAGUUUUUGGCAAACUCUCAGCUCUUUUUAUCUCAUUUGCUGUUUUUUCCUUUUUUUUUUUUUUUGUUACACGAUGUAAUAAUUUUCACUAUAACCUCUCUCCCACUUACAAAGCGAAGCAUAUAGUUGCUCGGCCGGUUAAAUACUAUUAAUAAAAAUAGUAAUUCAUUGUUCUUAACAAUAGGGUCCGGAGACUUCUUGAUUCAUUAUACUAUUACUCUAGGAUUAUAUACAACCACAUUGAAAUAAAAUAAAUCAUUAUUUUACAUCGAACAUAAAUAUUGAAUCGCUAUUAUGAAUUACCAUCAAUCUACGUUAGAUAGUAUUCAACGCUAGUAUAGUGAUAGGUCACAAAUAGUUAUAUUUAUUGUGUUUAAUUUCCUUGCGAUUUGGUUGAAUAAUGUACUUAAUUAUGGAAAUUAUGUUUACUCUGAGUUAGGUGAUGAAAUAUCAAGGAUGGAGCAAAAUCCAGCCUAAAGACAUGUUUUAAGUCAUCAUUUAUCAGAAACCAAGUCUUUUGGAGGAAGUGCAGAAAUCUACACAGAAGAUCACUGUCGACAAGGCAUGACCACGCCUUACAGCCCAUAAGCUCCGCAGAAAUCUGUGCAGAAGACUACUGUCAACGAGGCGUGACCACGCCUUGCGCCCCAUGAGCUGCUAAAAGAUGCGAAGGAGAGCUUCGAAAUUUUUAGAGUUUUCAUUGUGGUGGACCUAUCCCUAGUUAAUCUCCUCUAUUUUUGGAAGUGUUGGAUUAAUAGAACUUUCUUCCAUAUAUUUAGGGUUUUAAUUUAUUUAGAUCACUUUUAAUCUUAUCCUUUCUUGUAGGGAUAAGAUUAAAUAGGAAGCUUAUUUCUUUCUGAUAAGGAUUCUAUUAGGGUUUAGGGUUUUACUUCUUAUAUAAGGACGGCUGGAAGUACCUAUAAACAUACAUAUUCUUAUUAUUCUUCUACUCUCUACAAUUCUUGUGAAUUCUUACUCUACCAUGAGUGGCUAAGUUUUUAAUUUCUAAUUUAAGAGUGAAUAAAUUCCAAUUGUGAUUUUGUGAGGCUUUAAGCUUAACAGAAUUCUUCUUUAAUUCAAGUAUUUUUUAUUUCUUGUUCUUAUUAUUUAUGAAUUAUUAAUAUUGAUUGAACUGACGACUCAACUUUGAUAUUGAUUUUUCUAUUGCUAAACUUUGAGUUUAUGAUCCGUAAUUGUCAUGAACGAUUGACAUAAGUAGCAAGGAGCUGGCUCAUGUGUGUGUGAUUACGGCUUAUUCGAAUUACAUAGCUUGCAUGAUAGGCUCUAGGGAAAUAAAGGAACAAGGUUAUUUCAAUUGCAGUUAUCUCAAUUAAAUUAAUGUUGGUUUAGUCAUUCUCAUUAUUCUUAAUGCUAUCAUUAAGUUGAUAUGGAACGCUAUCGUGUCCAGUUGACUAAUGAUAAGUCUUGAUUUGGAUGUUGGGUUUGAGUCAAUUGUAUUAGGAGAAUUACACUUAUUCCGGCUUUUUCGAAUAAGUAGACUAAGUACUUGAAUAGAAGAAUUGAUAUUUUACCUAUGAUCGUGAUUACAAUUGGAUGGAAUUAGCACUCUUGAAUUGAAAAUUUGUUAAGAUUGAUUUUUAUUUACUUUAAUAUUCAGCCUUCAUUAUUUUCUGCUUAUUUAUAAUUUUGAUUUAAACAUUCAAAAAUCUCCAUUUUAUUUUACUUUGAGAAGCUAUUUACAUUGGUUCUCUUGGGAUUCGAUCUGGUUUCACUUUUUCUACAAAUUAGCUUAAAAAAAUCAGUAAUUUAUUUUGAAGGACUUCAACAACCCGUUCACAUAGAUUUAUUUUUUAAAGUAAAGCGGUGUCAAACCAAAAUACUCAACAAGCAUUAUUUCUUUCUAAAAAUUGAAGUGAUCCAACCGCACCUUUCAGUGCGACUACUUUAUUACAACUUUACUUUAGUGAAUAAUCCUGUCUUCGGCAUUCCCCUCCUUGCUGCUAAGGUAACGAUUUCGGCAUCGCCAGCUCCCAUAGUGGUUAUAGGGCUUAAUUUAUAAGUAGUGCCUAGAUAUCUCUCCAUUCAAUAUAGCGACGGAAUACAAUACGUAAAUAAUCAUUGACAAUGCUUGUUCAUCGAAAUCUACGAUUUCUUAUUUAAAUAUAUACCAGACCCAUUUGCAUAAAUGUAAAACCAAUUCAAUAUCACGAAUGAACAUGGGUAAUUGGGGUAAUGAGGACAGUUGCCCCCACCGCUCUAUAUAUAUAUAUAUAUAUAUAUAUAUAUAUAUAUAUAGGUACAAGUUAUUUUUUUAUUUUGUCCCACUAAUUAUUUUUAAUAAUACUAAAUUUUUUAAUAGCAAGAUAGAUUCUUCUUGCUACGAAGAAUCUAUUGGUUGAUUGAUAAUUUGAAAUGCUCAUUUGCCUUAAAUAGGUGUUUUUUUUUAUAAAAAUAAAGUCAUGUUAGAGAUACACAUUAUUAAAAGAAAAAAAAAAGAUAAUAAAAAUUUGUAAAAAUAAAGGUCUAACUAAUCAAGUGAUUAAUUCUAAUCAUUUUAAUAUUAGUUGGAUUCAAAUUUAAAUUUAUUAAUUAGUUUCUACUCUAUAAUUUAUUUAACUCCUGUUAAUAGUUUUUCCAAUUUUAUCUAUUGUUAAUGCAUUUUAAAUAUAAAUUAUUUUAAUUUAUUAUGAAUGAAAUAUCUCCAAUAUUCUACAAUAUAGAAAAGUUUGCCACCUAAAAUCUUUUUUUGGCUCCAAUUGUUCCUAUAUACCAGAGGAAACAUACUUAUAAGAAAAUCCCUUUGCCGCAUCCCUGUCUGACUUGAUGACUAAUAAUUGUGACUGUCGCCAAGAUUAAAAAGUGGCAUGAUUAUGCUUAUCGAAUAUUAAUAACAUAGUCUUCCCAUAUUAUCUGCAUCAAAAUAAUGCUCAUUAAAAAUAUUGGUGGACCGACUUUUUCAUCCAAUUUAUCAUCUUUUGAGUUAUACAAUGAAAAAUAUAAACAAGAAUAAUUAGUUCUUGUUAACUAAUAACAUUUCUCAUCCUCUUUUCUACUUAUAAUCAUUGCAAAGAAUUUUUUAUUAGACUAAAAAGAGUAAAAGAAAAAUGAAUUACAAAAUAAUAAAAACUACAGAUGAAAAAUUAUAAUAGACCAUAAAGCACACGUGCUGAAUCCUCACCCACUUCGACACGUGUACUUCUCUACAUAUUUUCAAGACGUGGCACUUGCAUCCGCACCAGUCCCUUCGUUCCUUUCACCUACUUGUUUUUCGAUUUUUUCCUUAUUAUUUUUAUCAAAUUUAUUUUAAUUUGUGUAAAACUACAGUAAAGUUGGUAGAGAAAAAUGAAAGAGAAAGCUUUAAAAAUAUUUAUAUUAUUAUUGAGCAAUCAAUUAGUUGCUACAACACAAUAAUACAGGACGAGAGAUCAGUAUUUAUACUAAUAGUAUUAGGGGUAAAUUAGAUUUUGGAGGUACCAAAUUAUGCAUUUUAAAAAUAUAUUAAAUCUUUGAUAUAACUAAAUGAUCAAUGAUCUUCAAUUUUAAUAACAUUAAUUAGUUUUUUUAACAAAUGUGAAGAUUACAUCAACAGUCACCAAAUUUUACAUGUUAUAAUAAAAAAAUUAUUAAAAUUCCGAUUUUAGAAGAUAUAUGACCAGUAUUCUUUUUUGUAAUAAAUUAAAGAUUUAAUACAUUUUAAUUAUAAAAUGUUAAAUUUAGUAACUAUCUAUAUAAUUUACCAUUCAAACGUGUGCUGCUAAAAUUAAAAUUUAGCGACUAUUUAAUUAUAAAUCAAAUAUUUACUAUAUUUUUAUUACAAAGUGUAAAAUAUAAUAAGCGUGACUGAUAAUAUUACCCUAAAAUGUAUUUAUAUACUAAGUGAAGGAAACUGCAACUAAAAAUUGAUAAAAUUGCUUAGACAUCAGUUAUGGUGAAACAUCACAUUUAACAUCAUCCCUUUGCAAGGUUGGUUUCAGUAGAUUUCUUAAUUAAUCACAAUUUUUUCACAAACCAAGACUUUAUUAAAGCAGAAUUUGGGUAAGGUACCCAGUACAAAAACUGACCACCCAUAUCAACAAAAAAUGGAAAAUGAAACGCUACAAGAACAAAGAUAAUAUAAAACAUAAAACGCACGCGACAAAGUCACUCUCUUGUAACAGUUGCCUUUGCCAAGUUGUCUGCAAAUCCAUUAUUUUCAAUACUUAGUCUAAUAUGUUUAAUUUGGAAGCAUGCAUGUGAUUAUGCCGGGUACAAAUUUGCAGGCAAACGUGGCUUUGCGAGUGCAACUAAUGGUUUGGCAAGUGCCAAACUAUUCUUAGACUCUGAAAGAUCAAUGCUUGUCUCAUUAGGGGGCACGCUCCAGCUAAACCCUUGAAGAAGCCUAGCAAAUAACAUAGCAGUCACUGCAGUUCCCAAUAUGAUGCCUGGACAACCUCUUCGUCCUGUACUAAAUGAAAGCAAGUUCAAAUCAGGCUGCGUCAGCAUCACUUGACAUCCAUUUUUCUUGAAAUGACGCUCUGGUUUGAACAUGUGUGGUUCAUCCCAAAUCCGGGGAUUCCGGCCGAGGCCGACUCGGCUAAGCAAGACAUGGCUACCUUUUGGAAUAAAAUAGUCAGCAACAGUUGUAUCUGCUAUGGAGACAUGAGGAACAUUGAAGAAGACAAUAGGGUGGAGGCGAAACGCUUCUUUAGCACAUGCUUUUAUGUAAUUGAGCUGUGGGAAAUCUGACUCUUGGACUAGUCUCUCCCUUCCAACAACUCUAUCCAAUUCUUCUACUGCGUUCUCAAGAAGUUUCGGUUUGUUUAUCAUCUCUGCAAGUGCCCAUUCUAAAGCAUUUGAUGGAUUAUCCACUGCUGCCAGCAUUAUUUCCUACAAAUCAAUUAUUAAAAUGCAAGAUGCAAUAAAUUUGAAUCUUAACCAACAUAUUUAAUAUAUACCAAACUGAAAAUGACGAAAUGAACUUCUUGCAAGAAAAGAACAAGCAAAUGGAAUUUUCCAUAAUUCCAUUUCAUCAAUCAGGCAGAAAAAUGUUAUAUUUGGGAUGUGUUGUAUACGUUGGACAACUUUCAUCGGAGAGAAGAAGUAAAUAAAUAUAAUAAAAACGAUACAAGUAAAAAAAUUUAUUAAAGAUUGAGAUAUAUCACGGAUAUAUAUUUCUAUAAUUAAAAUAUACAAGACACUUUAUCUCUUAACAAAAGAUAGCUUUCUACCCCUACUAAUAUUGUAAGUUAUUUAUAAUACUUAUAUGAUUUUUUAUUUAUAACUUUAAUUAUUGAUAUUCAUGACAUUUAAUAAUCUAAUCUUUCAUAUAGUUAGAGCUCUUUAACAACUAAUCAUUCUUAAAACAAUAAUAUCAAAUAUUGAAGUUUACAUUUUCAAUAGUAUGCAUGUGCGAUAGAGUGAGAGAGACAGAGCUUACAGUAAUCUGAGCUUUAAUCUCUUCUGUUGACAGCAAAGAGUUGCCAUUGGCAUCUUCUAAAUUUAUGAAAACGUCAAGCAAGUCGUCCACUUCCUUCUUAGUGCCAUCCCUCCAUUGUUUGACCCUCGCUUCAAUUAUGGGAUCUUGAUAUUUUUUUAUGAUUCCAAUAGCAUCCUUCAUGAUCUUCUCAUGACCAUCCAAGUCAAGCCCUAUCAAGCAUGGCAUAUAAUCAGACACACAAAAUGCAUAGGUAUGAGCAAGGGCUGUUAAAAUCGCAUCAACAUGCUCUUUUUCCUCGACACCAGGCCCUCCGUCCUUCAUUCCCUCCCCGAAGAACCUUUUGUUAAACACCAUCUUCCUUAUUACAUUUCCACAAUAGUGCCGUCCUGUGAUUCUCACGUCAACUGAUCCACCUUCCUCGGCAGUCUUGCAUUGGUUAUACACAUAACGAACAAGGUGAUCAGCUUCUUCAAGUCUUUUUCCGUAAAACCACUUGCAUUUUUCGGCAGAAAGAAAUUGCGUUACCAGCACUCUCCUCAUUUUCUUCCAUUGUUCUCCUAAGGGCACAAGACCUGUUGUCAAAUAACCUCUUGCAGUGAGAUCGGUGGACAUGGUUAACGGCCUGCUUGCAAAGACAGCAUCCUGUACUUUCAAGAAUUCACGGCUAAUCUCAGGAGAAGUGACAGGAAUCACAUGAACGUUUCCAAGACGGAUACAAGCAAUUUCAGUGUUCAUUUCUUCCAUGAGCUUGUGUAUCCAUCGAAUGGUCGGCUUAUUUGCCAGCAUCGUUGGCAGGCAUCCGACAAGAGGCCAAGGUUUUGGGCCAGGAGGUAGUGGGAGUUGCUUGGCGUUUUGGCUUUCUAGCUUUUGGAAUUUGGUCAAGUAAAUUAAGGCCAACGCCAAGAGAAGAACUAGGGAACAGGAGUUCAACAAUGUUCCGAGAAAGCUAAUGCCAAUUCCUGCAAAAUCUGGUGUGCAAUGAAGAGAAGCUAGCCUAGUGCAAGAUAUUACAGAGAUAGCGUUCUGCAUGGCCACAAAACUGUCCAUCGACAUGCUGCUUAUAAUUUACUAGAACUGGAAAGCUUGCAUGCUUUGCAGGAUGCUGUUUCUAGCAAACUCUCAGCUCUUUUAUCUCAUUUGAUUUUUUCUUUUCCUUCUUUUUUUGUUUACACAAUGUAAUAAUUAACCCUAUAACCUCUCCCAUUUAUAGGGCUGAAUCCAAAAUCUACGAUGUAAUUCAAUAUAGCAAUGCAAUAGAAUGUUUGUUACAUCUGAAUAAUACAGGACGAGGGAUCCGUAUUUAUGCAUUUAUUUAUACUGUAUAUACCAUAUAUUUUUGCUUUUAUUUAUACAUUUAUCCAAAUCAUAAGUUAACUAUAUACUAAAUCUUCUUCUAUACAUUUAUACAUACCAUUUACACAUUAUGGAAUUCAAGUUUAAUUUGGCCAUACAACAUAUAUGUUAUUUGUCUGUUUAACUUUUUGUAACACCCUAUUUCUCCUUAUUAUUAUUUUAUUUUAUUUUAUUUCAAAUUAUCUAAGGUAUCAUUUUUAUUUCCUUAUCAUUUCAUAACUAACUUCAUUUAUGCAUUCAUGUAUAUACAUGCUAGAGCUAUUUUCGUAAUAUGAUCCCCUUUAACAAGCGAUCAAAAUUAAGUUAAAACGAGCUAAAGAUAUGAAAAAAUAACGGAUGAGAUGGAAUAAAAGGAUUGCAGAGUGGCAAUUUUAAGUCCAAAGUUUUUUUAUCUAAAUUUGAUAUAUGUCUUUUCUUAUAUAUUAAACCGGUAGAUAAUAUUUAUUAGUUUUAAAUAAUAAAGUAUAUGUCAAUCAUUAAAUACCAAAGUAUAAAACACUCAUUAAUAUAUAUCACUCUUCUAUUAGUUAUAGUAUAUAUACUGUGCAACGAUUUCGGCAUGACCAGCUCCCAUAGUUAAAGGGAUUAACCUAUAAGUAGUGCCUAGCUAUCUCUCCAUUCAAUAUAGCAACGAAAUACAAUAUGUAUAAUCAUCGACAAUGCUUGUUCAUCGAAAUCUCCAAUUCUUCUUUAAAUAUUUACCGGACUCACUUGCAUAAAUGUGAACCCAUUCAACAUCACAAAUGAACAUGAAUAAUUGGGGCAAUGGGGACAGUUGCCCCCACCGCUCUAUCAUAUAUAUAUAUAUAUAUAUAUAUAUAUAUAUAUAUAUAUAUAUAGGUAAAGGUUUUUUUUUUUUUUGCCCGACUAUGAUUCUUCUUGCUACGAAGAAAUAUUGGUCCAUUGAUGAUUUGAAAUUCUCAUUUGCCUUAAAUAGGUGUUUUCAUUUUUUUUUAUACUUUCUUUUUUUAUAAAAACAAAAUUAUGUUAGAGAUCUCAUAUUAUUAAAAAAAAAAAGAGAUAAUAAUAAUUUAUAAAAAUGAAGGUCUAACUAAUAAAAAGAUUAGUUCUAGUCAUUUUAAUAUUAGUCUGACUCAAAUUCAAAUUUAUUAAUUGGCUUCUGCACUCUAUGAUUUAUUUAACUCCCAUCUAAUUAAAUAAAUUUAAAUUAUAAUAUUCUAUUAGAGCAGGUUUGUCUAAUUUCUUAAUUUUCUAACUUUUUAUCUGAAUGUCUAAUUUAACGAUCCGGUCCGAUGUUGCCGCUCUCUUUCAAUUCAAUUCAAAUUUUAAAGAAGUGAUUUCAAUUUCAAGUGACAACUAGAUGUCACAGUCAAAUAUCUGUUGUAUUUGAAGGGGAGUAUUAGAAAUCUCACAUUAUUAAAGAAUAAGAGAUAACAAUAAUUCAUAAAGAUGGACCAAAGUUACUAGUUCUUGUGAUUUUAGUAUUAGUUGGACCAAACACAAAUCCUUGGGUUUUUUUUUUUUUUUUUUUUUUUGUCUUAGGUUGGUAUAUUUUUCAUGGUAUGCUCCAUAAAGGAAUUGGCGAGGCUUAAGACUUUGUUGUCUUCUAGAUGAUUUAGCAAGCUUAGUGCAUCAUUCAUCAAUAUAUACAUUGUGAAUCAAUAUUUUUUAUUACAAAAUACGUACUAUAAAACUAAAAAAGAUAAAAUAAGCAGAGUUUGAAAAAUUACAUAUAUUUAGUAUUUUUAAUUUUAAAACAUGUAAGAUAUGUUAUAUAUUAUAUUUUAAGAUUUUAUUGAUAUUUUUAUUAUUUUAAAAUUUAAAAUAUUUCUUUGAAUACCUUAUGUCUUUCCAGCUUUAUCUAUUGUUAAUGCAUUUUAAAUACAAAUUAUUUUAAUUUAUUAUGAAUGAAAUAUCUCAAUAUAGAAAAGUUUGCCCCCUAAAAUCUUUUUUUCUGGCUCCAAUUUAUUUUAAUUUGUGGAAAAUGAAAGAGAAAACUUUAAAAAUAUUUAUAUUAUUACUUAGCAAUCAAUUAGUUGCUACAACAGAAUAAUACAGGACGAGGGAUCUGUACUUUAUACUAAUAAUUUAAUACCUGUAUUGAUUAUACUAUUAAAAGCAUAAGUUAACUUUUUACUAAAUCUUCUUUCUAUAACAUUUAGUUAUGGAAUUCAUAACUAACCUCAUUUAUCUCUUUUACUUUUUGCCACGCAGCAGUUAUUUUAUUUGUCUAUUUUACUUCUUGUAACACCCAUAACUUUUUAUUAUUAUUUUAUUUUAUUUCAAAUUAUUUAAGGUAUUAUUUUUAUUUUCUUUUGAUUUCAUAACUAAACUCAUUUAUCCAACCAGAUGUGGUUGAACUAGUCCAUCUUUGUUAUUCUUAUAGCUUAAUGGAUUGAGAUUUACAUUACUAUAUAUUCUACGGUUUGAAAAAAAAAAUAAAAAAUUAAAUAGUUGGCCUAAUUUGAGCUAAGGUUGAGCAUGGAUUUCGGUAAUUCACGCCUGAAUCAAAUAAUUAUACCAGAAAAUAUAAAAAUUGAAAUAAUCAAAAUUUUUUAUAACCGAAUUGAACUGAUCCGAAUUUUUACUAUUACGGUAUAGUACUGAUUCUUUAGUAAAAAAUUUAUACUAUAACCGUACCAGAACCGAUCCGUAUUGUACUGAUCCAAACCAAACCGUAGAACUGAAUUUUUUACAUACAUUUACUAAUAAUUAUUUAUAUUAUAUAAAUAAUUCCUAUUAAAAAUAACUAUAAUAUUAGAAAAUAUUUUAUACUCUAUAAAAAAUUAUUUUAUAUUUAUGAUUUUAUAUAAUUCAAGCAAUUAUUAUUGAAAUAAGGAAAAAAUUUAUUUUCUUUACAUAAUAAGAAAAGGAAAGGAACAUAAAAAAGAGUCAAUUUUGCUUCGCGUUCAAUAAUUGACAAUAAAUAAAAAGAUAUUUAUUUUCAUCUAAAACUCUUCUUUUUAUACUUCUCAUAUACUAACAAAUAAAAAAUAAAUAAAAAACAAAGCCCUCUUUUGUAUCACCUUUUUUAUAUGUAUAAAUAAUCAUUCAAAGAUUUUCACUAUCCAAUUUUCUGUUUCCUACAGGUAAGAACACUUCUCUAUUUUUACUUUUGUUUUUACUUCUAAUUUGUCUCUUACUUUUGUUUUUAUUUCUAAAUUUCAAUGCUUUAUAUUAUUUCUUUAAUAUUGUCUAUGAGUAAGCAAAGUCUGGUAUUUUGGUUAUAUAUGGAUUUCUAUUUCUGUUUCAUUUUUUUUUUUAGUUGAAAUUUUGAAGAUUGUUUCAAAUUGCGUUUAUGUUUGUCGGUUUGUCAACUUUCACUAUUUUAGAUUGUUUAUUUGAAUUUUCUAACUAAAUUCUUUAGCUACAUUUAUUAAUAAUUAUUUAUAUAUAAAAACAAUACCUAUUAAAAAUAAAUAUAAUAUUAUAAUAUACUUUAUACUCUAUAAAAAAUAUAAGUUAUAUAUAUUAAUAUAUUAUAUAAUGUAGUAAUACUAGUAUACAUACUACAAUACUAAAUUUGUAAUUUACUAUCUACUAACUUAAAUCCUAAUACUUUUUUUACUUACCACAUACUACAACAGCCACCGCCGCACCUAUAUUGUUUUGGACUUAUAUUUUAGUGCUACAUAAAGUUUGUAAAUUUAUUCUUUUUAAUGAUUGUUGUCUGCAAAAUAUUUUUACGGUAGCAGUAUCAAAUACAUUUGAACAUUGAAUGAAUUAUUAUACUUGCAAGUGACUGAAUUGCAAAACAGAUUGUUUAAGAAUGUGAUUAUAAUUCUAAUUCAGAUUUUCAUGCUUUUUUUUUAGGUUGGUAAUUAUAUUUUCUCUAAACGUAUUUGAUUAAAUAUGAGAUUUAAAGUAAUGCUUUUUUAAUUUUUUAGAACUGAAAAUAGCACCGAACUGAAUUGUAUUCAACCGUAAAAAUUAAAAUAAUACUGUACGGGUGCAUUUACAUUUGGUACGGUAUUCAUACCUUCAAUUUUAAAAAAACUGAGAUUUUGUAUGGUGCUGAUGAUUUAUAGAUAAUCGAAUUAGACCGAUUCAUGCUCAGCUCUAAUUUGGGCAGGGUCAUUACAUGCCAACGCGCUGAAGGAGAGAGAUUCCGUGAUUGGAAGUUUUAGUCACUAAAACUUUGGCUCCUCUAUUGACAGCCCACAACCACUGUCUGCCGUCACUGUUGCUAUCGCUGAAUUCAUCGACAACUCUUCUACCCUCUUUCUCUUCCCUAGCUGCAGCCUCGAACAACAACCUUCCUUCCUCUCCCUACUAGUCGUUUCCUUUUAUUCUUCUUCUUGUUUCACUUACCCCUAGUUAUUUACCCUUAAACCACCAACUUGCUUUAUCCUUUCAAUAAAGCCACUAAUUUUUUAUAUUUGGGAUAGAUUAGAAUCAUUAAAAUAUAUUUUUUUAAGUUUUGCGUGAUAUUUUUGCAUCUCAAUCCAAUAUUUAAAAUCAAACUUUUAUUUUAACCUCCUUUAUAUAAAUAAAUAUUAGUUUAAUCCUUUGGUUAAUUUACUAAGUCAAAUACAUUAAAAUCUAAAUACUCAAAUUAUUACUAUUACAUAACACUAUAAAUACUAAACUAAAUCCGUUAUUAAGCCCUGUAGUUUUAUAUUAUUUAUUUAAAUAAUAAAACUUACAUAAAUCAAAUAAAUAAAGCCAAUAAAUAUCACAUUAUUAUUAAUAAUAAAGUUAAAUCUUUAAAUAGCACCUUUAAUUAUAGGUCACUUUAUUCAAAAUCAUAAUCAUAUGCUCAUUACUAGAAUAUAUUAUAUGUGUAUUACUUGAAUAAUAUGAUAUCAUUAUUAUCAUUAUUAUUCUGCCUCUAAUUUAUAUGUGCUAAUCUAUUAUUUAUUUUCAAGGAUUAAAUCGUAUAUAUUAAUCCUAAAGAAACUUAGAAUGUUAUAUAUUAUAUAGGUCACACUUAUAAAUUUAAUUUAACAAUAUAUAUAUAUAUCUCAAUAUUAGUAAAAUAUAAAGAUUGGAUAUUCCUUCCCCAUUUCUAAUGAGAAACUUCAUCCACUUGUAAUGGGAAAAAUAAAUAUUAUGUGAUUCUUAAGGAUUUAAGGCCCAGUUAUCACGAAUCAAGAAGGAGCCAUGAGACCUAAGGCUUGGUCUUGGUCUUGUCCUCUAUUGACCAAUCAUUCACCCCAAUUUAAGCACUUGGCACGAGCCAUGGGACAUAAAGCUUGGUCUUGGUUUUGUCCUCUAUUCAUCAAUCAUUCACCCCAAUUUAAGUACUUGGCACGAGCCAUGAGACAUAAGGCUUGGUAGUGGUCUUGUCCUCUAUUUAUCAAUCAUUUCCCCCAAUUUAAGCACUUCGCACGUUAUUAUUUGAAAGAAAGAAAAAAAUAAAUUGUACGUUUUCGUGUAAGAAAUAACAACCAAGUAUUUAAGGGUGACCUGAUCCAUAGAGAUAACAGCUCUACAAGUAUCUUCUGCUUUAUUGAUAUGUACAAAAAAUUAUUUUCAAAUUUUUAAUGUAAUAUAUUAAUAAAAUAAAAUAAAAUAUGUGAUUACAAUUAUGAAAAGAAAAUUUAUUGUUAAAACAUUUUAAUUUUUAAAAAUCUAAAUAUAUUUAUUACAAUUAACAUGUUAUUUGAAUUCAAUAAUAUAAAUUUAGAAUUUAAGUUCAUAAUUUCUUUUUUUGACCAUUAAAUCAUAUAUUCAAUGAUUUGAUGAAAUCGAUUUAAUAGUCAAAUAAUAAAAUUAGGAAUUGUUAAAUUUUAAAUUUUUUUUAUCAAAUACGAGCAGCAUAAUAAUGAUAAUUAAAUACAUUUUUUCUUCAUGAUUUAUAAUUAUAUAUCUUUUUGUCUUAAAAACACAUACUAGUAGUUAUAAACUAAUGAAACUAUAUGGUAUUUUUUUGUACUUAUUUUUUUAUUUUAUUGAAUUGUGAAGUAUAAUAAUAUGAGAUUUUAUUGGGUAAAUAGUUCUAUUGAUACUAAGAUUUUGGUCUAUGUUUUUAGUUGGUAUCAAUAUUUUAAGUUUUCUCUUUUUCAUACCAAAAUUUUAAUUUCCAUUAUAGACAAUGGUGUCUAUUCAAAAUCUGUUUAAUUUCUUAUGAUGUAAAGGGCGGAGCUCCACAUCAGCAUCCCAAGCAUUUCAAUCUAACUUCUAAUGGUGCCAUUCUCAAUUAUUAUUUCAUUUUAUUUUUCAAAUUACUUUUAUAAAGAACAAGUAAAUUGAUUGAUAUAAUUUUUUUCAAAAGCAAUGAAAGAAAUAGUUUAUAAAAAAUUUUAAAAAUUAAUAUUUUAAAUAAAAAAAUUAUAGAUCUGCUUUUCUAAUACCCAACAGCAAAAUCAGACAUACCCUAAAUGUCCUGCAUAAACUUUGAUGGAUAAAAAAAAGAUGAAUAAAUAUCAGAAGAUAAAUAAAUAACAAGGUGGAACAUAUAAGGUUUUAAAUAUAUUAUGUACUAAAAAAUAUAAUCCUUAAUUAUUUCAUUCACUUAUCAAAUAAAGUUAUCUUCAAGCAAAAUUAUGACUAAUAAAUCCAAAAUCAAAAUAAAAUCAAACAUAAUAAUACAUAAUAAUAGAUUUAUCCUACUAACUAGCAAUUCUGGUUGCAAUGGCAUUUUUUACCCGGUGUAAUUCUAGUCAUACAUAUGUAGACAAUAUGCCCCAAAAGACAACCACUUAGUAUACAUCUUAAGCAAUACAUAUAUAUUCCAUGUUGUCCAAAAGACAGUAUAUUUUAUUUGACACCUAAUAUUUAAGGUGUAAUAUCUUAGAUCACAUAAAUAAAUAUAUACACAUUUAUCCGGUUAAAAAAGAUUAUAUGCAUAUAUUAAGAAAAACUAAAAGUAUCAUUCUUCAAUUCCAAUUUCUAUAGAGAAUAAUUAAAUUAUAAAUCACCUUUACAUAAAUGAUUUUUAAGAAAAACAUUUCAUGAAAUCAUAAGUAUAUAAAUAGUAGAGUAAAAAAAAUAUAAUGUCAUAAUUUUAUCAACUCCCCUAAGAUACAGGACUCUUAAUCGAAUCCUCAAUCGAACUAUAAUCUUGCAUAAUCUGCUAACUUCAAACAGUUAUUUAAGCAUUUAACUCUAUAAAUCACGUACAGAUAUAAUCUGGAAAUAAUUGUAACCUUUUUUUGCUAACAAUGCUUAUCUAAUCUCUAGUAUCUAAUAUCUAAUAUCUCCUUCUUGGCAAUCAUUAAUUUUUAUAAUUAACUUAGUCAAUUAUCUUAAUAACUAAUCCACAUUAUCCACUAUUAGACUUCAACUUUUAAUUAAUAGGAGUAUUAACAAUAAUAAUAAUAAUAAUAAUAUCACAUUAUCGUAACAUCAAUUAUCAACCAAUAUUUAUAUAUAAUUAAAUACCUCAAUUCCUAACUAUAAGAUCUAUAGUUAUUUAUUUAAUUAUAUAUAAUUAUUGGUUGAUAAUUGAUGAUAUGAUAAAGUGAUUUGUUACUAAAAUUUUUAAUACUCUUACUAAUUAAAUGGUGAAGAUUAAUCGGUGGAUUAGGUGGUAUACCAAGUAACGGAUUGGACUCUAAGACUAUCAUGACAGAAGAAAGUGCAGCGGAGUGGGCUGUAGACAUGGCAAGGAAUGACAGGGGUACACCAAGUAGAGGAUCCUGCAUGGUUGGAGGGGGGCGGGUUUGGCCUCCUAGAUUUUCUUUUUAAAAUAAGAUUUGAUCGGAUAAUAUCUGCUAUAUUUAUUUUAUAUAUUUUAUAUUAAAAUUAUAUUUUUAUUAAUUUUUUAAAUAUAUUUAUUUAAUAUAUUAAUUAUUAUUAUAACUUUUUAAAAGAAUAAAAUCUAGAUUUAAAUUAUUUUUAUUUUUUUAAAGUUAUAUUUAUUUGUUUAUAAUUUAUAAAUAGAAUAUAUAUUUAUAUAUUUUAUGUAUAAUUCAUAAUAAAUUAUAAGACGGAAAGGGGCAGAGUGGCUUAAACCCAUUUCUCCCCGUCAUUAGUAGCAGAGCAGAUAUUUCCCGCUCCAGUAAGAUCAGGUUAUGAGUUUAUUCACAGGUACGGAGCAAAUUGCCAUCUUUAAGCCCCUCUGGAUGGAUCUUUCAAAUCAAUACCGAUGCUGCUCUUGCAAAACCAACUCAAGGUCUCUCUGGUCUUGGUCUUAUGGUUCGUGACAGUCCAGGGAAAUUUUUAGCAGCUGGUUCUCAUCAUAUAACUCAGCUCCUUCCAGUUGAUAUUGUUGAAGCAAUGGCUGUAAAGGAAGGCAUUAUUUUAGCUGCUCAUGUUAACUGCUUAUCAGCGAUUGUUGCAUCUGACUCGUCUGAGAUCGUUAAGCUGAUACACUCGGAUAUCCCGAUACUGGCUGAAUUGGAUCUAUUAUCUCUGAAGUGAAGGAAUUGCUGGAUGCCCACCCCAAUUCUGUAGCUCACCACCUUGCUAAGCUGGGCCUAUCCUAUUCUUCAAACAGAACCUGUAUUGUUGGCGAUCCUGCUUGCAUUCAAUACGCUGUGCAACAUGAUUUCCAGCUCUCUUUGGAAUGUUUUCCAAUUCAAAAAGAAUAAUAAAUGAUUUUUUUUAUAUAUUUAUUUAAUCUCCUUGAUUUUAAUCAUCGAAUUCUUGACAUGGGCCGUCUCUUUAAUUAUCAGCAAUAUAUACUUAGAGGUGGCAAAUGGAUAGUAUGGAUAGGCUUGAGUUGAAUAUCAAGAGAAUGAUCUUAAAUAACCCAUUGAUUUAUAUAUAUGAUCCAUUUAAAGUUUAUAUGGGUAUUUAGAUUUAUAUAAUUUANNNNNNNNNNNNNNNNNNNNNNNNNNNNNNNNNNNNNNNNNNNNNNNNNNNNNNNNNNNNNNNNNNNNNNNNNNNNNNNNNNNNNNNNNNNNNNNNNNNNNNNNNNNNNNNNNNNNNNNNNNNNNNNNNNNNNNNNNNNNNNNNNNNNNNNNNNNNNNNNNNNNNNNNNNNNNNNNNNNNNNNNNNNNNNNNNNNNNNNNNNNNNNNNNNNNNNNNNNNNNNNNNNNNNNNNNNNNNNNNNNNNNNNNNNNNNNNNNNNNNNNNNNNNNNNNNNNNNNNNNNNNNNNNNNNNNNNNNNNNNNNNNNNNNNNNNNNNNNNNNNNNNNNNNNNNNNNNNNNNNNNNNNNNNNNNNNNNNNNNNNNNNNNNNNNNNNNNNNNNNNNNNNNNNNNNNNNNNNNNNNNNNNNNNNNNNNNNNNNNNNNNNNNNNNNNNNNNNNNNNNNNNNNNNNNNNNNNNNNNNNNNNNNNNNNNNNNNNNNNNNNNNNNNNNNNNNNNNNNNNNNNNNNNNNNNNNNNNNNNNNNNNNNNNNNNNNNNNNNNNNNNNNNNNNNNNNNNNNNNNNNNNNNNNNNNNNNNNNNNNNNNNNNNNNNNNNNNNNNNNNNNNNNNNNNNNNNNNNNNNNNNNNNNNNNNNNNNNNNNNNNNNNNNNNNNNNNNNNNNNNNNNNNNNNNNNNNNNNNNNNNNNNNNNNNNNNNNNNNNNNNNNNNNNNNNNNNNNNNNNNNNNNNNNNNNNNNNNNNNNNNNNNNNNNNNNNNNNNNNNNNNNNNNNNNNNNNNNNNNNNNNNNNNNNNNNNNNNNNNNNNNNNNNNNNNNNNNNNNNNNNNNNNNNNNNNNNNNNNNNNNNNNNNNNNNNNNNNNNNNNNNNNNNNNNNNNNNNNNNNNNNNNNNNNNNNNNNNNNNNNNNNNNNNNNNNNNNNNNNNNNNNNNNNNNNNNNNNNNNNNNNNNNNNNNNNNNNNNNNNNNNNNNNNNNNNNNNNNNNNNNNNNNNNNNNNNNNNNNNNNNNNNNNNNNNNNNNNNNNNNNNNNNNNNNNNNNNNNNNNNNNNNNNNNNNNNNNNNNNNNNNNNNNNNNNNNNNNNNNNNNNNNNNNNNNNNNNNNNNNNNNNNNNNNNNNNNNNNNNNNNNNNNNNNNNNNNNNNNNNNNNNNNNNNNNNNNNNNNNNNNNNNNNNNNNNNNNNNNNNNNNNNNNNNNNNNNNNNNNNNNNNNNNNNNNNNNNNNNNNNNNNNNNNNNNNNNNNNNNNNNNNNNNNNNNNNNNNNNNNNNNNNNNNNNNNNNNNNNNNNNNNNNNNNNNNNNNNNNNNNNNNNNNNNNNNNNNNNNNNNNNNNNNNNNNNNNNNNNNNNNNNNNNNNNNNNNNNNNNNNNNNNNNNNNNNNNNNNNNNNNNNNNNNNNNNNNNNNNNNNNNNNNNNNNNNNNNNNNCUGAAAAGAAUCUUUACAAGAAGUAGAGCAGUUAAACAAGGAGAGCAUCAUUCUAUUAUUCUUCUCUCUGUAAAUUCUCUAUAGUUCGUCUUCUACAACAUUUAGUUAGUUUUGCAUUAUUCUUUCAAAGAUCAUAUAAGUUUUUCAGGACGUGGAGAGUGAGGAUCAAUCUUCUUCAUCCCUUGAAGAACUUCUGGAUUUUAAGAGAGCUUUAAUUCUUUGUUUUGUAUUUCUUAUAUCUUUCUAUUUAAUUACAAGAACCGUUGAAUUAAAUAUGUCAGGCUAAGUUCCAUAAGUGUUUAGUUUGACUUUCUACUUAUGUAUGAAUCUUAUAUAUUAUGAGUUUAAAAAAUAAAUUCUUUACCUUCAUACAUGUAUUAGUUUCAUCUACUAUUGUUGAUUGACCAUUAAAUCAAUUUUAAUAGUAAUAAUGUGUUAUGAAAAUCUUUAGGUUAAAAGUAUUAGAAAUAUCAUUUUUACUUUAAUCUAUGUUGGUAUAAGAAACCUAGAUUGCAUCAUUAGCUUGAGUGACUUAGGGAAAAGGUACAUUACCAUCUCAUUCAUUAGAUUUGGACCUAAAGGAAAAUAAAGGGAUUACUAAGUAUAAGCUAGACUAAACACUAAUUUAUCAUAUACAUUAAAUAAUUUAUUUACAUAUUUAUUUUCUAUUUUAUUUAAUUUCUUUUAUAAACCUCCAAAACUAUUAUCAAAACAUUGGCUUAGAGUGUUUAGAUUUAUAUUUAGAUAAUUUUGUAUGAUAGUUGGUCUUUAUAAUAUAUGCUCUACGGGUGAUUCAUCAACUCAAAAUACCUACAACUUGAGAUCAGCUGUUAAAAAGGCAGAAGGAGACCAAGAAGUAGAGAGUGAGUUUGUACCUCUAAGAGAAAAAUAAUUUGAAGAAAAGCUAGAACAAGGAUUUGAAGAAGAGAUUGAAAUAAUGGCUAAUGACCAAAAGAGAAGUUGCAGCUUAAAGGCAAAUGGCUAUGAAAGAUUAUGCUAAUCCCAUAACUGGUAACACUACUUCAUGCAUAAUUUUAAGUGAUGCAUUUAAGAAUUAUAAACUUAAAAACAUUCAUUUUAAAAUUGAUUCCUUCAUUCUAUGGUAUGCCUAGUGAAGGUGAAUUAAUAUUUGUUUAGAAAUUUUAUGCUAUAGUUCAUAUAUUCCAUUAUCUAGACUAAAUAAAUACGAACUAAGCAUGAGAUGUUUUCCUUACUCAUUAAAAGAGAAAGCAAAGACUUGGUUAAUGACCUUGCUUUCUAAUUCUCUGAGAAUUUGAGAUGAAGUUUAUCAAAAAUUUAUGAGUAAAUUUUACUCAUCAAAAUACCAAAGAGUUAAGGGCUGAAAUUUCCAACUUUUAUCAAAAGGAUACUGAAUCCUUUCAUAAAGCAUGAGAUCGCUUCAAAUCACUUUUACUGCAAUGCCCACACCAUGGAUACCCACUUCCUGUGACUGACAAAUUAUUCUAUGAUGGUUUAACAUAACAAUAUCAAUAUAUGGUUGAUAAUGUAGCUGGGAGUGCUAUGUUAGAAAAAACUGUUGAUGAGGUUUAUGAUAUCUUUGAGAUGUUAGGAGCCAAUUCACAAUAAAAGAGUGUGAAAACAAAAAGAUUAGGAGGGAAUGAAGUUGUGUCUAAUAAUGAGAUGGCUAUACAAAUAGCUGAAUUAACUAAAUAAGUUAAAGAUACUUACUUCAGUUAGGAAUGUACCAAGUAUUGAGGUAUGUGGUGUUUAUGGUCAUGGUGCUAAUGUUUACUCAUCUUAUGAGAUUUAUGCAGAAGUAAUUAUGAACAAGUUAAUGAUAGNNNAAAAUAAAUUACUGAUUUUUCUAAACUAAUUUGUAGAAAUAGUGAAACCAGGUCGAAUCCCAAGGGAACCAGUGUGGAUAGUUUCUCAAAGUAAAAUAAAAGGAGGGAUUUUAAAUGUUUGAAUCAAAAUUAUAAAUAAAUAGAAAAUAAUGAAGGCUGAAUAUUAGAGUAAAUAAAAAUCAAUUUUAACAAACUUUCAAUUCAAGAGUGCUAAUUUCAUCUAAUUAUAAUCAUGAUCAUGAGCUAAAAUAUCAAUUCUUCUAUUUAAGUACUUAGUCUACUUAUUCGAAGAAGCUGCAAUAAGUAUAAUUCUCCUAAUAUAAUUGACUCAAAUCCAACAUCCAAAUCAAAACUCACCAUUGGUCAACUAGGCACGAUAGCAUUCCAUAUCAACUUAAUGAUAGCACUAAGAACAAUGAGAAUGACUAAACCAACAUUAAUUAAUUGAGAUAACUGCAAUUGAAUUAACCAUAUUCCUUUAUUUCCCUAGAGUCUAUCAUGCAAGCUAAACAAUUCGAAUAAGCCGCAAUCACACACACAUGAGUCAUCUCCUUGCUACUUGUGUCAAUCGUUCAUGACAAUUACGGAUCACAAACUCAAAGUUUAGCAAUAGAAAAAUCAAUAUCAAAGUCGAGUCGUCAGUUCAAUCACUAACAUUUUAUCCGAAUCCAAGCUUCUAAUUUCCACUUCUAAAUUAGAUUGUGCAUCUAAUUCUUGCUCAUCACUAAUAUUUUCUUUUGCAAAUACUUCCUGCACAAUUGGAUUAAUUACAUCAAUAUGGCAAAGAGAAUGUAAAUUAUUAGGAUAUUUCAUUAUAACAAAAAUAUUAAAUUUAACAAUCUCUCCAUCAAACUCUACGGAGAGAGUACCCUUAUCUACAUUAAUCUUUGUCUUAGCAGUUUUCAUGAAUGGUCGUCCUAAUAAAAUCGAAGCUGAUUUUAAUAAGGAAUCGAUCUAUUUCCAAAAUGUAAAAGUCGACAGAAAAUAUAAGCUCAUUAACCUGCACCAAAACAUCUUCAACAACUCCAAGGAGAUGAAUAUAAGAGUGAUCAGUUAAUUGAAUCAUUACACCAGUCUUUUGCAAGUUAUUUAGUUUCAACUCUUUAUAGAUAGAAAAUGGCAUGACAUUAAUGGAAGCUCCUAAAUCUAACAUGGCAUAGCUUAAUUUUCGUAUUACUAAUAACACAAGGUAAUGAAAACAUACUUGGAUCCUUGUAUUUUUCUGGCAUAUUCUUUUAUAAGAUGGCCGACACAUUCUUACUUACCACCACUUUCUCCUUCUCCUUCAUCCUUCUUUUGUUUGUGCACAAUUCCUUCAAGAACUUUACUUAUUUAGGAAUUUUCUUGAUAGCAUCCAACAAUGGAAUAUUUAUCUCCAUAUUUCUAAAUAUAUCUAAGAUCUCCUUUUCUUGCUCAUCUUCUUUUGGCUUAGCUAAUCUGCUAGAAAAAGGAGGUAAUGGAGUGUGAAAUUAAAGAGAUAGAGGAGGAUCGAAUUUUACCCCACGUGAUGCUUUAGAGGAAGCUUCUUCUUCCUUUUCCUUGCUCGGUUCACUUUUCUUAAGUGGAAUCGACCCUAAAGGAAUCUCCUUUCCAUUUCUUAGAAAAAUUGCACUAACAUUCUCCUUUGGAUUUAUCUCUGGUUAUGAAGGUAGUUUUCCAGAAUUUUGAGCCUCCAAUUUACUAACCGAUAUAGCCAAUUGAGUAAUUUGAUUGCCUAAAUUCUAAAUGUUUGACCUUGUUUCCUGUUGAAAUUGAAGAGUUAGUUAGCAAGAUUUUUAACAAUAUCUUACAAAGACAUACCUGAAUUUGAAGCUUGAGGUUUUUGGAGAACUUGAGGUAGUCUAAUGAAAUUCUGGGAAGGAUAAUUUUGUUGUCCUUCUUAGUUUCCAUAGCUCAAAUUCUGGUGAUGUCUCCAUCCAGGAUUAUAAUGAUUGGAAAAAGGGUCAUACUUCCUUUGAGGUUGACCGGUAAAUCUACCUAGAGCAUUAGCCUCUUGCAUCGAGUCUUGUUGCAAUGUUGGGCACAUAUCGGUGGGAUAUCCUUGAACUGAGCAUAUUCCGUAAACUUUUACUAUUUGCAAUUGCCCUACAAUCAUUUGACGAACCAAAGCAGUUAAAUCAGAAAUUUAAUUUUUAAAAUUUUUAGUGCUUACGUCAUUAACUCGCCUUGUAGCUCCAUCAGCUCUUAUACCAAAUUGCUGAGAAUUUUCAGCCAUGUUUGAAAUCAAUUGCUUGGCUUCUUCAGGUGUCUUGUCUACCAAAGCUCCACCACUUGCUGCAUCAAUCAUACUCCUAUCCAUUGACAAUAAACCUUCAUAGAAGUAUUGGAUUAAGAGUUGCUGAGAAAUUUAAUGAUAGGGACAGCUAGCACACAGUUGCUUGAACCUUUCUCAAUACUCAUACAAUGUUUCUCCAGUGAACUAUGUUAUGCCACAAAUUUCUUUUCUGAUGUUGGCAGCUCUUGUUGCAGGAAAAAACUUAUCUAAGAACAAUCUUUUCAUCUUAUUGCAUGUUGUUAUUGAAUCAGAGGGUAGAUAAUAGAGCCAAUCUUUUGCUUUAUCCUUCAAAGAAAAGGAAAAAGCUCUAAGAUUUAUUUGCUCUUCUGCCACAGCAUGUGGCUUCAUUCAAAAGUAUACAAUAUGGAAAUUUUUCAAGUGUUUAUGAGGAUCUUCACCUGCACAUCCAUAAAAAGAAGGGAGUAAGUGAAUUAAGUCAGAUUUUAAUUCAAAAUCAACUGCAAUAUUAGAAAAUGUAAUGCAUAAAGGUUGUUGAUUCAAAUCUGGCACGGCUAGCUCUUUGAGAGUUCUGUUCUCCAUAUUUUCUACAACUUCAUGAAAAAUAGAUGUGUCACCAAUAGCCAAAUCUAUUUCCAACUCCUCUGUGAGACAACUUUUUCUUUGUCUAGUCUCCUUUCUUAAUUGACGCGAUGUCUUCUCAAUUUCAGGAUUAAACUGCAAAUCAAUAUCUUGAGAAGAACGAGUAAUAAAUAAAUAAGUUAAUCAAUGAGAAACUAAAAUAGGUUCUCCGGCAACGGCGCCAAAUUUGAAUGGGUUGUCGAAGCCCUUCAAAAUAAAUUACUGAUUUUCCUAAACUAACUUGUAGAAAUAGUGAAACCAGGUCGAAUCCCAAGGGAACCAAUGUGGAUAGCUUCUCAAAGUAAAAUAAAAGGUGGGAUUUUGAAUGUUUGAAUCAAAAUUAUAAAUAAACAGAAAAUAAUGAAGACUGAAUAUUAGAGUAAAAAAAUCAAUCUUAACAAAUUUCCAAUUCAAGAGUGCUAAUUCCAUCCAAUUGUAAUCAUAAUCAUAGGCUAAAAUAUCAAUUCUUCUAUUCAAAUACUUAGUCUACUUAUUCAAAAAAGCCGCAAUAAGUGUAAUUCUCCUAAUAUAAUUUACUCAAACCCAACAUCCAAAUCAAAACUUACCAUUGGUUAACUGGGCAUGAUAGCGUUUCAUAUCAACUUAAUGAUAGCACUAAGAACAAUGAGAAUGACUAAACCAACAUUAAUUAAUUGAAAUAACUGCAAUUGAAUUAACCAUAUUCCUGUAUUUCCCUAGAGCCUAUCAUGCAAGCUAUGUAAUUCGAAUAAGCCGUAAUCACACACACAUGAGCCAGCUCCUUGCUACUUGUGUCAAUCGUUUAUGACAAUUACGGAUCACAAACUCAAAAGUUUAGCAAUAGAAAAAUCAAUAUCAAAAUUGAGUCGUCAAUUCAAUCAAUAUCAAUAAUUCAUAAAUAAUAAGAAUAAGAAAUAAAGAAUACUUGAAUUGAAGAAGAAUUCUGUUAAACACAAAGCCUCACAAAAUCAUAAUUGGAAUUUAUUCAUUCUUGAAUUAGAAACUAAAAACUUUGCCACUCAUGGUGGAGUAAGAAUUCACAAGAAUUGCAGAGAGUAGAAGAAGGAUAAGAAUACGAAUAAUAAUCCCAAAGUACUCAGAGUAAUCUAAAUAUAUUAAAAUUCUAAAUACAUGGGAGAAAGUUUUCUUUAUCCAGCACUUCCAAAAAUAGAGAAAAUUAUCUAAAGAUGGGUCCACCAUGAAUUUAUCUUGAAAAAUUUGAAGCUUUCUUCUGCAGGUUCCGGUAGCUCAUGUAAGACGUGGUCACGCCUUAUUGAAAAUAAUCUUUUGUCCAAAUUUUUGCUCUUCCUCCAAAAGACUUAGUUUCUGACAAGUGAUGCCUUAAAAUAUGUCUUUAGGCUGAAUUUCACUCAAUUCUUGAUAUUUCACCGUGUAGAUCAGAAUAAAUACAAUUUUCACAAUUAAGCACAUAUCUAAUCAAAACGUAAGGGAAUUAAAUUCAAUAAGUAUAACUAUUUAUGACCUAUCAGUGAUUUAGAAAAAAGGCACAUCACUAUCUCAUUCAUUAGAUUUGGACUUAAAUGGCAAUAAGGGAUUACUAAGUAUAAGCUAUACUAAAUACUAAUUUAUCAUAUAGUUUACAUUAAACAUUUCAUUUGCAUAUUUAUUUAAUUUCUUCCAUAAACUUUCAAAACAUUUGCUUAGAGUGUUCAGAUUUAAUUUUAGGUGUUUUGUGUGAUAAUUAAUUUUUAUAAUAUAUGCUUUACAGUUUUUUUGUAAGAUCGACCUCUGAUAAAUUUACUCAUACUAUCAUUCAGUUCGUACACUUACGAAUACUAUAUUUGAAACAUCAGUCACAUUAUUCAAAAUCAUAAAUCAUAUGCCCAUUACUUGAAUAUAUGAAAUGCGUAUUACUUGAUUAAGAUGAGAUUAUUAUUAUUAUUAUUAUUAUUAUUAUUCCUCUAAUUUAUAUGUACUAAUUUAUUAUUUAUUUUUAGUAUUAAAUUGUACAAAAUAUCUAUAUAUUAAGUUGUAGAAAACUCGAGAUGUCAAAUACUAUAUGAGUUGCAUUUAUAAAUUUAAUUUGAUGAUAUAUAUAUGUUUCAAUAUAAAUAACUAUUAAGUUUGAAUUUUCCUCCCUGUUUGUCAUGAAAAACUGUCCACUUGCAAUGGCAAAAAUAAUAUUAUGUGAUUCUUAAGGAUUUAACGCCCAGUUAUCAAGAAUCAAGAGAGAGCCAUGACACAUAAGGCUUGAUCUUGGUCUUGUCCUCUACUGACCAAUCAUUCACCCCAACUGAGACAUAGGGCUUGAUACUGGUCCCGUCCUCUAUUUAUCAAUCAUAUCCCUCAAUUGAAGCACGUUGUUAUUUCGAAGAAAGAAAAAUUGUACGAUUUUGUGCAAGAAUUUACAACCAAGUAUUUAAGGGUGGCCUGAUCUAUUUAGACAACAGUCUGCCCCACCGAGAAAUACUAUCACCAAAAAGUGUAGAUUCUAGUCAUUUAUAUACAGAUAAAUGCCUCAAAAGGCAACCACUUAAUGUAUACACUGAGCUAUAUGCAUUUUCAUAAAAAAUAAUAUAUUUUAUUUGACAUCUCAUAUUUAAAAUGUGAUAUUUUAGAUCAUAUAAAUAAAUAUAUGUAUAUUUAUCCAGCUAAAGAAAAUUAUAUUUAUAUAUAAAAUAUUAAAAAUAUUAUUCUUCAUUUUCAGUUUUUACAAAGAAUAAUUAAAUUAAAAUCACCUUUAAAUAAAUAUUUUUUAUGAGAAACAAUUUAAAAGAUCAUAAUUAUAUAAAUAACAAAGUAAAGAAAAUACAAUAUUAUAAUUUUAUCCACUUUCCCCACAUGCAAGACUUUUAACCGAGUCAUCAACCAAACUAUAAGUUUACACAACCUGCUAACUUUAAAUUGUUAUUUAAACAUUUAACUCUAUUUUUAAUAAUAAUUUUAAUAUUUUUUUGCUAACAAUCCUUAUACAACUUCUAUUAUCUAUAUAAUAUCUCAUUCUUGACAAUCAUUAAUUUUUAUAAUUAACAUAAUCAUCAUCUUAAUAACUAAUCCACCUUAUCCACUAAUUACACUUCAAUUUAAUUAAUAGGAGUAUUAAAGAUAUUAAUUAUAAUAUCACAUUAACAUAUCAUUAAUUAUCAACCAAUAAUUAUAUAUAAUUAAAUAUCUCACUUACUUACAAUAAGUUUUAUAAUUUAUAUACCAUAUUCUAAACUAAUUAUCAUAAUUUAAUAAUAAAAUUCAUAACGUAGUUAAUAUUUAUUUUUCUUAUGUUCUCCAUCUGCCCACCAAUAGAUUUUAGUCCAUUUAAUCUAUAAAAGUAAUAAAUUAAUUAAUUCCUUAAUAUAAGUACUAACUAAUAUAUCUUCAAAAAUGUUAUAAUCUUUAAUUAAUAAUUAUCUAUUUAUUCUACUGAAAUUUAUAUUAACUAUGUAAAAAUUAAACAAUAUGCGUAUAUGUUAGCGGACUCGGCAUUGGUCAUUGGAGUCUGAUCGAUUAUCCAAUGAAUCUAAUAGACUCGUAAUGAUACAUAGAUCACGAAUCCAAUGUGAUCAUUUUUUCAAGUUACCAAUCAAUUUUGAAAUAGUCAAACAGUUUUAGCUAUCAAUUUUUCAAGAAAGUCAUAUCACUAUAUAACUGGUGUAAAUAGAAAAUUUAUAAGGAGAAUUUAUUGUUCUCUAGUUACCCAGAGCACGUCACAAUUAGACGAAAUCCGUUACAAAUCAAACUAGCUUUGUUUUCUCUCUCUACUGCGUCUUAUAAUCCCCAGUCAAAGUAGAGGCCGCCAUAGUCAUCACUUGAAAGCUCACUACAAGAUGAGUUCAAUGCCACUAGUUCUAAUAACUGGCCUACUAAAGGAAUGAGAUCCGCUAGUUGGAAUUUUUAAUGUUCUAAACUUACUCCUCCAUACGCUGCCCACAAUCGCCAAGUGGUAACAACAAGGUCACUCAGUGACUGUGGGCAGCAUAUGGAGGAGUAAGUUUAGGACACUAAAACUUCCAACUGGUAGAUCUCUCUCCUUUAGUCGGGCCAGCGACUGGAACUAGUGGCAUUGAACUCAUCUUGUCAUGGGCUUUCAAGUGAUGAUCAUGUUAGCCUUUACUUUGAUCGGAGAUGACGAGACUCAAUGGAGAAAGAAAACGAAGCUAGUUUGAAUUUUAACAGAUUUCAUCCAAUUCUGAUGUGCUUUGGUAAUGAAAGAACAAUAAAAUCUCCUCCUCAUAAACUUUCUAUUUACACCAGUUUUAUAGUGGUCGGACCCCUUUAACAAAUUGAUGGCAAAAAAUGUUUGACUAUUUCAGAGUUGAUCGGUAACUUGAAUGAAGGAUCACACAUUUGAUUCGUAAUCUAUGUAUCAUUACAAGUCUAUUAGUAUUAUCGAAUAAUCAAUCGGACUCCGACGACCAGCGCUGUAUCCACUAACAUAUAGUAUAUGAAUUAUAAAACUUAUAACAAGGAAUUAAAGUAUUUAGUUAUAUAUAAUUAUUAAUUGAUAAUCAAUUAUAUUGUUAAUAUUGUUAAACUCCUAUUAAUUAAAUGAGUUGAAGACUAAUUAAUGUAUAAGGUGGUACAUCGAGUAGCGGACUAGACUCUAAGACUAUCAUGAUAGAAGAAAGUAUGAAGAAAGUGUAGUGGACUCGGCUCUAGACUACCUUGCUGAAUUUAUGUGAUUCUUAAGGAUUUAAGCCAGUUAUCAAGACUCAAGAGGGAGCCAUGUAACAAUGAGUCUUGGUCUUGUCCACUAUUUAUCAAUCAUCCAUCCUCGAUCACCCUAUGUGCAGAAAUUACAUAAUUAAAUUUAUAAUUUCAUAUUUUUUGACAAUUUUAUUUAAUUAAAGUUUUUUAGUUAAAUAUCUUAAAUCUAGUUCUUUUACAUUUAAAAUAGUUGUUUGAGAGUUCAUUUAUAUAGUUCAAAAAAACGGAACACCAACCCAAUCUCAAUGAAAGUACAAGCAAGGCAACUACAUCAACAACUUCUAUUCCUGACGUGAACGGCCGCUUUCUUGAAACUAAUUCAUAGGCGCUUUCAGUUAGUUAUACUUUUUUUUCUAACUAUAUAAACAAAUAUAACAAGCGUUUGAUACAAAGCAUCAACCUACGGAAAAAUGAAUUGAUUGACUAUUGAGUAAAUUUCAUUAACACUUACAUAAAGAUAUAAAUGGUUUUAAUUAUGAAACAGCCCCAAAAUGGCAUUGCAGAACGUUUUUACACUAUUUUUCUAAUUAAAAAUAAAAAUUUUAAUAUUGCCAAUAAAUAAAAUUAUAUUAAUUAUGUAAAAAUAAUUAAGUAUCUGAAUUUAUAUUAAAAUAAUUAAGAUUACAGAUGUUUUGGUUUUCUUGACUUUCGAUAUGGUGCUUAUAAUUGACUAGAACGGGAAAGCUUGCACACUUUGCAGGAUGCAGUUUUUGGCAAACUCUCGGCUCUUUUUAUCUCAUUUGCUAUUUUCUCCAUUUUUUUUUUUUUUGUUACACGAUGUAAUAAUCUUCACUAUAACCUCUCUCCCAUUUACAAGGCGAAGCAUAUGGUUGCUCGGCUGGUUAUAAUGAAAAUAAUAAUUCAUUAUUUUUAACAAUAAGGCAUGAAGAUUUCUUGAUUUAUCAUGCUAUUGCUCUAGGAUUAUAUACAACUACAUUGAAAAAAAAAAAAUUGCUACUUUAAACCGAGCGUAAAUAUUAAAUUGCUACUAUGGAUUGUCGUUAAUUAUUAAAAUUCACUGAGGAAGAUGAAUUUUGCGACUGCUAUCUCAGAAUCGCCGCAUGGAAAAGAGCCAUUGUAACUUUAAAAAUUGCAGCAGCAAUUCAGCAAGCGCGUUCAAUAUUGAGCAAGCGCAACCACUAUUCUUCAGUUGUGACUGCAACAGCUCUGACAAUGUGUUUUUGCACUAGCUUGAGCUAAGAAAAAGAAGAUUGGUAAGAGUUACGUGAGUAAUGGUUCUUUGGUAGUUUGGAAAUAUAAAUACUUCCUAGAAUAUUUAUGAAUGAUGAACAACCUCACAUUACAUAAUUUAUUAAUCCUUUAAUUCUCACAUUUGUGUAUCAUUUUUAUCUUUAUGUAAGGAUUUGAGUGUGACCUACAAAUACUUAAAAAAAAGUUUGAGAGUUAGCCCGGGUAAAAUAACUCUUGUGAAGUUUGAUGUGAGCCUAGACACUAAUUUUGGAAAUGAGCUUGAAAAAAGUUCUCAUGUAUAGGUUUGAGUGUGAGCUUGUAAAAUACUUGAGUUCAAUCUUUCAACCGUAAAAAGAAUCAGCAAUAGUAAAAUACCAAUUGAAAAUUGAGGAGUAUAUGUAGGGUUAGUUAAUAUCUAAACUAUUAUAACUCUUUGGUAUUGAUUUUUCUUCCCUUUUUAUCUAAUCUCUUGAGCAAAUUUUAAUUACCUAUCAAUUUUUUAAACACCAAUUCAACCCUUCUUCUUGGUGCAUCUAGGUCAAACAUGAAAUAAGGAUACUAAAGUUAUUUGCGUUAAAAUAAAAGGACACUAAAGAUACCACUAAUAAUAAGAAUUUGAUUCCAAUAUCCAAAAUAAGCUUAAUAGUAAUCUAUUUUACAUAUUAUUUUUAUUCUUUAUUUGUAUUUCAUACUAAUAAUUAAAAACUAAAAUUCAAGCUAAUUUCAGUCACUAAUAAAUUUUUAUUGAGCCAAAUAUAGACAGUAACAUGUUCGAAUCGGCUUUUGUAAUUUUCACUCAAAAUACAGAAUAUCCUAAUAUAGAAGGUGAUACUCAUGUAUGCUUCUAUAGAUGCUAGGAUAGUUAUUAUAUUUAUUUUUAAUAUAUAAAUUAAUAUUAAUAGAAGAUAUUUAACAUAUAUAUUGUUAGAAAUUAUAAUAAUUUAGAUAAAAAUGGAUAAGAUAAUUAUUAUAUAAGAUAUAAUAAGUUUAGUUAUAAAAUAUGAAUAUAAAAUUAAUUUAUAAAUACAAUAUAUAAUUUAUUAAUAGAAUAUGUAAUUAAAUGCUGUAUAAAGUUCAAGUAUUAAAUUAAUUUUGUUAAUAGUUUCAAGUCCUUAAUUUAUAAAAGGUACAAAAUAACUUCUUAUGCAGGUAAUAAUUUCUGCCACUUUGACUAGGUUUGGAAGGAUCAUAUAAUAGUAUUACUAUAGUCAUCUAGAAUAUAUGAUAUUUGAAGAAUGAAAAUCUAUAAAAUAGGACUAGUUCUAUAUAUUUUUAAAUUAUUUAAAAAAACAUAUUAAUUGCUUAAAAGUAAUUUGAUUAAUUAAAGUACUCGUUAAAUAAGGAGUCCUCAUUUAGAUUUACUUGUAGGUUUAUGCUCUAGCAAUGGAGCCAGACGGUUCCCGUUUAUAAUUCUGAUUCUUGCUAGUUCUAAUCAAUUUUUAGAAAAUAAAAAAUUAAUUAAAAUAAAUUAUUUUUUAUAAAUUUGAGUUAUAUUUAAUAGUUUUGGUUCCAGCUAAGGAGAAAUUGAUCAUAAAGUAAUUUCCUAAUUUUAACCUGGUUUCAAUUUUCUUUUAGACAAUCUAAUUCCAUUUAUUUAAUUUAUAAAUUUUUUAUCUAAAUAUUAAAAAUUAAUAUAAAUAAUAUUAAAAUUUAUAAAAUAUAAAAAUAAAUAAAUAAAAUUAUCCUCAAAUUCAGUUCAAUUUAGGAAAGAAAUAAAUAAAUUUACCUUUGGUAUUUUUUGCAUUGUGUCAACCAACUAAGAAUUCUUUUUACAUUCUUUUCUCUAUUAUUUCUUUUAGUGUUUAGUGUUGCAACCUUUUUUUGUUUCCAAUUUAAGGUUCUUGAUUUGAUAUAUUUAUACAUCGGUACAUUAGCAUAUUAAUAGCUUUUCAAUCAAUAGAUAAAAGAAGUUUUAUAUUUAUACAGUUUAAUUAAUAUUUAUAAUUUUUUUUUAUUUUUAUGUGUUUGGAAGAAAAUGAAAAAAUAUAAUUAAUAUGAUAAACUAUGAUUAAUUUAUUUAUAUUAUAAAUAACUAAUAUGUAUACGGAUGAUUUCCUUAAUCAUUGUUUUACUAUUAGAAUACAUUAUUUUAAUAUUUAAAAUAAUUUUUACAGAUAAUAUUAUAGUAUUCAUAGCCAUAGCAGUUAGUUAGCCUUUCUCGAUUUGGUGACCACAGAAAGAAAUGUCAUCUAUCAAUAUUUCAAAUUUCAUGUGAAUUUCCAACUGUUCUAAUGGACCACUGUACAAAUUCAAAAUUCUUAAAUAUGCAAAACGUGUGAAUUGAUAUUAAGUGAAAGUUAGAAAUAAAGGUCGAUAAAUUGAUAAUAUAUUUAUACAUCGAUACAUUAGCAUAUUAAUAGCUCUUCAAUCAAUAGAUAAAAGAAGUUUUAUAUUUCUACAGUUUAAUUAAUAUAUAUAUAUAUAAUUAUUAUUUUUAUUUUUAUGUGUUUGGAAGAAAAUGAAAAAAUAAAAUUAGUAUGAUAAACUAUAAAAUUAGUUUGAAAGGGACGUUUUUUCAUAAAAUUUCAGGUUGAAAUAAUUGUUCAGCAAGAGAUUGUCAACCCUACCAUGAAAAAGCUGAUGAUGGAGCUUGUUCUAACUCGUGCAUUUUGCUCCAUCUGUUUUAUAGAAAAUAUAUUCUUGAAAAGUAUUAUCACGAUCCGAUUUGUGGGCCUGUGACCGGAAUUAGGGAAUGGGUAGACGUAAGGUCACCAAAUUCUAUAGUAAACAUGACCAUUCACUAACUUAACCAAAUCUCAAUCCAAUAGCACUUAGUUUUUUUAAUUUCUUUUUUGUUUUUGGCCAUUUUCUGAAAACAAUGAUAUUUUACGUUUAAUAAUAGAAAAUAUCCAUUUUCUAUUCAUUGGUGAUAUUUAAAAUAUUUUGCAAAAAACUAAUUAUAUAUAUAUAUAUAUAUAUAUAUAUAUAUAUAUAUAUAUAUAUAUAUAUAUAUAUAUAUAUAUAUAUAUAACCUUUCAUAUAUUUUAUUUUUUUGAAAAAACAAAGAAAAUAUUUUGUUGUUGAAAUCAAGUUGUUGCAAGUAAUAAUGGAAGCUGAGAUACUCGAAGUUGAAUGGGCAAGAGGCCGAUACGAUCAACUCAACUUGAUCGAUGAAACCAGAACGAAGGCCAUGUAUCACACACACUGUACCAAUAAAGGCUUUCUCGAGCUUUCGACAAGCAUGUCAAGCCUCGACCUUUAAAGAUGGGUCAUUUAAUCCUUAAAAAGAGAAAACCGGUAAUUCUGAACCGUUUAGAUAAAUUCCGACCAAACUAGAAAGGCUGGUAUCUAGUUGAGAAGAUCUUCUCUAAAGGAGCAACAAUAUUAUUAGACUUCGAGGGCAAUGAAUUUAGUCAACCAAUCAAUAUAGACAGGCUCAAGCAAUAUUACAUAUAAUAAAAGAAUAAUAAUAGAAUAAAAAAAUGAAUGAAAUGAAUAAGCCUGUUGGAUUGAGAAUGCGUAAAAAGCAGUCCAAGCAAAAGUUAUAGCGGUUCGAUUAGGUGAAAACCAAGAGGCACCUUAGGAAAAAAUAAGAACCAAAUAAAAGAAAAAAGAGUGCUUGGUUGGUUAGAGAACCUAAAAGGACUAACGAAUCGCGAGAGUUGGACUGUUUUCAGUAUGUUUUAAGAUGUACUUCGGUUAAACUGAUUAAUGGUGUAAUACUCAAAAUUUUUCUUUUAAUAAUAAUAAUAGUAUUAGUAAUAAUUAAUAACGAGUUUUUAUUUAAAUUUAUUUUAUUUUAUGUUUAUUUGAUUUAAUUGGGAUGAUUAAAAUAGAAUUUUAAUUCUAGACAAACUAAGGGAGUAUUUUCUAUAUCUAAUUAGUUUGAUUUUUAAGAAAUUAAUUAAGUAAAUUUUUUGAAAAAUAAAUUAUAUUUUUUGUCAUUUAAUUUUUUUCCAAUAUGAAUAUAUGAAUUAAUUUCUAUAUUUGAAAGUCGUGAAAGGAAUAGUAAAUAAUAUUUUUGUAAAGAAUUUAUUGGGGAAUGAUAAAUUUUAAUUAGCAAGUUGUGUUAAUUUUUAAUUGAAAAAUAGUUAGCAAAUUGAUUAAUUAAGUUAAUUAAGUGUUAAGAUUAAAUUGAUAAUUAAUUUUGAAAUAAGGGUUAAAAAUAUAAUUUUAUUAAUAUUGGGAUUUUAAUGAAAAUUUGUAUGGUUGAUAUUUUUGUAAUUAAAAGUGUCGGCAGAGGCAUUUUAAUAACUUUUCACAUUUAAAAUUUUAAUAAUUUUUCACAUUUAAAAGCAAUAGUAAACAAGAAAUUCCAUAUUUUCAAUAAUUCUAAUUUGGCUCAAAUUAAAUAGUUAGGGGCUUAAUUGAAAAACUAAAGAAAAGUCUAAAAGUUAAUCGGAAAUUUUGCAGGGUGAAAUUGUUAGUGAUUAAAAGUUGAGGGAUUAAAUAGUAAAAAAAAAGUUCAGGGACCAAAAGUCGAUAUAGAGAAAAAGAAAAAGAGAAGGAGAUCGGGGAGAGAGGAGAUCGAGCGGGGGAGGCUGCGCGGUCGUCGAUGGUCGACCAUCUGGGUGCGGCAGAACUGGCCGAUGAAGCGGCUAGCGUCAGCGAGCAAGGCAGCAGCACCGCAAUAAUUUGGUUAACCUUUCUCGAUUUGGUGACCACAUAAAGAAAUGCCAUCUAUCAAUAUUUCAAACUUCAUGUGAAUUUUUAACUUUUCUAAUGGGCCACUGGACAAAUUCGAGAUUCUUAAAUAUACAAAACGUUUGAAUUGAUAUUAAGUGAAAGUUAAUAAUAAAGGUUGAUAAAUUGAUAAUAAAAAUAUUAGAUAAUAAUACUAACUUAGAAUUAUAAUUGAAUGUAGCUUAUUUUUAAUUAUAAAAAAUAAUAAUAUAAAUAACUAUUAAAUUUUAUAUUUAGUUUUAUUUUAAUGAUAAAUUUUUUAUAUUAAUUUUAGUUACUAAUACAACAUAUUAAUUUUUACUUAUAAAAAUAACUAAACUAAACUUUAAUCCAAAUAAACUAAAAUUUCAUAAUUAAAUAAAUAAAUAAAAAUAUUAUAUUAUUUUUAUAUGACUAUGUUUAUAUAUAUUAAAAUUAUAUUUUAUAUAUCAAAAUUAUAUGGUGCAUUGAUGCCUUCAUGGCUCGUGGUCCAACUCCGGGCAAUGUAUGUGAUUUUUAAGUGGGUUUCUUCCCCACUACGAGUGGUUCACAUCGGCUCACUGUCAGAACAUGUUUACAGUAUGCAUGUUUAUAUUAGCAUCAAAGCUUGAAAGGCACGUUUUUUCAUAAAAUCUUCAGCAAAAGUUUGCCAACCCGACCAUGAAAAAUAUAUUAUGCGCUUUUGUAACUCGUGCAUUUUGUCUGUUUUAUAGAAAAUAUAUUCUAGAAAAGCAUUUUCAAUUUCUUUUUUGUUUUUAGUACAUUUUAAAAAGUUUAUGAAAAGAAUUUUGGGGUCAAAAAACAUUCAGCCAUUUUCUAAAAACAAUGAUAUUUCGUUUAAAAAUAGAAAACAGCCAUUUUCUAUUGGUGAUAUUUAAAAUAUUUUUCAAAAAACUAAUUAUAUAUAUAUAUAUAUCCUUUCAUAUAUUAAUUACCCUAAAUCACUUCCGAUGAUCUUUAACGACCUCUAAUAAUACGCAGCUUAUGUUAGUCCUGAGACAGUUAUUAAAAAUAUACUUAAUAAUUUAACAUCUUUUUAUAUUCAUGCACUUGAAAUUAAAUAAAAUUUAUAAUUAUAAAAAUUUUAUAAUUUAAUGAAGGUUUGAAUACUAAUUUUUUUUUUUACUUUAAUAUUUAUUUUUAUUGAUGAAAUAAUAGCAACUAGAAAUAAGGCACGCUAAUAUCUUGUCAUAAUAUACAAAUAUGAUUAAUAAGACAAAAAAUAAUACAAUAAGAUAAAAAAUAGCAUGACAUAUAUUUUUAAAAUAUAUAUACAAAUAUUAUUAUAUAGAGAAAGAUUUUUUAAGAUAAAAUUUUAAAAUGUAUAACUUAUUACGAUAUAAAAUUUAUUUUUAUUUAUAACUAGUUCAAAUUAAGAUCGAAUCUUUUUAAUAAAUUUUCAUCUUAAAAGAUAUCUAUAUGGUACUUUUUUUAAUAAUGAAUUAAAAUUUUAAUACAUUUUUGUUACAAAGUGUAAAACUUAUUGAUUAUAUAUGUAAUUUACUUUCUAGGUGUGCCAGAUCGGUAUUAUUAAAAUUAAAAUGUAGCAACUAUUUAAUUAUAAAUAAAAAAUGUGAUAUUUUUUUAUUAUAAAGUGUAAAAUUUAGAGACCGCCAAUAUAAUUUAUUUGAUCAACGUGAGCCUAUAUCUUUCUUAAACAUGAUCGGUUUGAGCUAUACGAUGUAGAAUAGAAAUACGAGCUUGAAGACAUCCUCUACCUUUUGAAAUAGUACGAGAGCUUUAGGCUCAAGAUGGAUCUAGGAAUUUAUUUUCUGUUUAAAAAGCUUAAAUGUAUUGAGAAAAAAUAGAUAAAGUGACAUCUUAUAUUCUAAAGAAACUGGGUUGGAAUUGGGUUAGGCUAGGUUUUAGGAUAGUAAUUUGGUUUAAAUGGUUUUAUGAUUAGGAUACAAAUUUGUCAAUUUUUUAAAAUAUGUAUCAGCCUAAUAUUAGGUGUAUUGUGGAAAUCGGGUUAGUUUCCACUGACAAAUAAGCUAUUAAAUAAACAAUAAGAAAAAAAACACCAGAACUUUAACGAGGUUCGGCAAAAAUUAUACUUAUUUCCUCGGGCACUACCAAAAUAAUAUUUCUUAAUUCAAUAGAAUUACAAAGAAUUAUUAAUAAGAAGAAAAAGAAGAGAAAUACAAUUUAGCCUAUAGAAAUAUAAGGCCCAUUAUUUUUCUUGACACUUAGAAAAUGAGAAAAGACCCACUAUAUAUAGCAUUUGGACUACUUCUUCCUUUUCUUAGCUUUUCAAUGUAGGAUAAAUAAGCCAAAAAUAACAAAUCUCCACCUUGGAGACUUCCUAAGCCCAAUCAAACAUUCUUUGUUUUCUCUCAUCACAAAUUUAGCAAUGCCUCCAAAUGUGCUUGAAGUGCCUAUCUUCAAAUUUUCAAAACAUUUAUCAAGUUCAAACAAUGUUGGAGCUUAAAACCAGUUACUACUUUCGUAGUCAUAUCUACAGGAUUUUCAGCAGUUGGGAUCUUCUGAAGAAGUAUCUCACCUUCUUCAAGAAUUUCUCUCGAACAUCAAUAUGCUUUCUCCUUGAAUGAUAGACUUGGUUUUUAGCUAAACAGAUAGCACUCUGACUAUCACAAUGCACUUUGACGUGCUUUUGAUCAAUUCUCAAGUCUUUCACCAAUCCCUGAAGCCAAAUUGCCUCCUUUACAGCUUCUGCAACUGCCAUAUACUCUGCCUCUAUUGUAGACAAAGCAACCGUUGACUGAAAAGUAGACUUCUAACUAACUAGUACUUUUGCAAGUGUAAACACAUAACCAGUAGUUGACCGACAUUUAUCCAAAUCACCUGCGUAGUUAGAAUCAUAAUAUCCAACCACACUCAGACCAAACUUCUCAUCCUGCUCAAACAUUAAUCCAACAUCCACAGUAUUCUGAAUAUACCUGAGGAUCCAUUUCACAGCUUGCCAAUAUCCUUUUCCAGGAUCAUGCAUAUACCUACUCACAACUCUGACUGCUUGUGAAAUGUCAGGUCUUCAUUAUUCCUUGGAGAUUGAGAAGCACUGAUUUUAAAAUGAGAAGAAAGUGGUGUACUGACAGGCUUUGUUGUUUCAUCAAUUCCAAACCGCUUUAGUACCUUUGUCAGAUAUUUCUUCUGAGUUAAACAAAGUCUCCCCAAUUUUUUGUCUCUGCUUAUCUCCAUACCAAGAAUCUUUCUUGCUUCACCUAAAUCCUUCAUUUCAAAAUCUUGAUUUAGUUGAGCCUUUAACUGUUUUAUUUCUCCUAUAUUCUUUGAUGCAAUAAGCAUAUCAUCAACAUAAAGGAGAAGAUAGAUAAAGGAUCCAUCAUAUAGCCUUUUCAAGAAUACACAAUGAUCAUAUUUGCUUCUUUUGUACUUUUGCCUCAUCAUAAACUUAUCAAAUCGUUUGUACUACUGCCUCAGUGACUGUUUCAAAUCAUACAACGAUCUGUUCAAUUUGCACACCAAAUUUUCUAUUCCAGCAACCCUAAAUCAUUCAGGCUGAUCCAUGUAGAUUUUCUCUUCCAGAUUACCAUGCAAGAAUGCAUUUUUUACAUCCAUUUGAAAUAGUUCCAAAUUCAAUUGUGCUGCUAAGGUCAACAAUAUUCUAAUGGAGGAAUGCUUCACCACUAGAGAAAAAACUUCAUUGUAGUCAAUCCCUUCCUUCUGAGCAUAGCCCUUAGCUAUCAAUCUUGUCUUGUAGCGAACAUCAUUCUUGUUAGGAAAUCCAUCUAUCUUUGCAAAUACACAUUUGCAACCAAUUAUCUUCUUUCCUUUAUAUAGACUAGCUAGCUUCCACGUCUGAUUUUUCUCAAGGGAUUGCAUUUCUUCCUCCAUAGCCAUUUUCCACUUAUCUGCCUCAGAGCUCUGUACAGCUUCAAUAUAAGUGGCCGGAACAUUGACAUUUGAAGACACAAAGGUUACAAAAUCUUCAAAAUGAGCAGGUUUUCUAGUGUUCCUCUUUGGCUUACUCAAUGCAAUUGACUCAUGUUGCCGUGAAGGUUCUUGUGCUAGAACCUUUACUUCAUCACCUGAUUCAUCUUCUAACUCCUCAUCUUCUAUAGGAGUAGAUUUAUCAAAUUGAUCUAUUGUUGGUUCAAUACUUCUACUACUAUCAAAUUGCACCUGUUUAGGAGAAGGCUCCACCUGCUGUGAAGCUCCAUUUGUUUCCUGCUCUUCUACUUUUUUUACCAUAGUAGAUUCUUCAAAAAUAACAUCUCUACUGAAGAUUAUCUUAUUUGAAUUUGGGCACCAUAGGCGAUAUCCUUUUACACCUGAUGAUAUCCCAUAAAAAUUGCUUUUUUUGCUCUCGGAUCCAACUUUGAUUCCUUAACAUGAUAAUAUGCAAUGGAACUAAAAACAUGUAAGGAAUUAUAAUCUUUAGCAGGUUUUCCAUACCAUACCUCUAAAAGUAUUUUACCGUUGAUAGCAGUUGAUGGCAAACGAUUAAUGAGAUGACACGCGUAUGUUACAGCCUCAGCCCAAAACUAUCUGCCUAACCCAGCAUUGGACAACAUACAUCGAACUUUCUCCAGUAGAGUCCGGUUCAUUCUUUAUGCCACCCCAUUCUGUUGUGGUAUAAUUCUAAUAAUGAAAUGUCUCACAAUACCUUCAUCUUGGCAGACUUUCAUAAAAGGAUCACUUGUAUACUCUCUUCCAUUAUCUGUUCGGAGACAUUUGAUCUUUCUGCCCGUCUGAGUUUCUACCAUCUUUUUUCAGGUGAGAAAAACUCCUAACACUUCAUCCUUUGUCUUCAUAGUGUACACCCACACUCUCUAGGAAAAAUCAUCAAUGAAGGAAACAUAAUAAUGUUUGCCUCCCAUUGAAGCUGUCUUGGAGGGUCCCCAUACAUCUGAGUGAAUAUAAUCCAGAAUACCCUUAGUAUUAUGGAUUGCAGUACCAAACUUCACUCUUGUUUGUUUCCCCUUGACACAAUGUUUAUAGAAAUUCAAUUCGCAGAUUUUCAUUUCCUGCAAUAAUCCUUGAUUUGCCAGAAGUUUCAAGAAUUUUUCGCCUGCAUGUCCUAAGCGCAUAUGCCACAAACUGGUUGCUUCUAGUUCCUGAUUAUAAUUAGAAACUACAGCUGUUGUACCAAUAACUGGAUUACCAAGAUAGUAAUACAAGUUAUUGUUUUGCUAAACACCUUUCAUCACAACAAGUGCCCUACAGAUAAAAGUUUCAUUCUUAAUGACAAUAGUGAAGCCCUUUCUUGCCCAAACUCCUAAAGAAAUAAGGUUUCUUAUCAAACUCCGCACAUAUCUAACAUCAGUCAGAAUUCUAAUUUAUCCAUCAUGAUUCUUCAACCGAACUGAACCAAUUCCAGCAGUUUUGCAAGUGUUGUCAUUUGCUAUGUAGACAACUCCACCCUCUGUUUUUUUGAAAUCAGAAAACCACUCCCAAUUGAGACACAUAUGGUGGCUACAACCUGAAUCCAGAAUCCAAGCUCCCAAAUUGCUGGUUGAUGGCAUCAUUAUUAAUGAAAGAUCAGAAUCACAUUCAGUUACAUUUGUUUCUGCAACAACUUUUCCUUUGGCUUUUUCUUUUAGCUUCGGACAGUCUUUUUUCCAAUGCCCCUUUUCCCGGCAAAAAGCACAUUGGUCUUUACCAACUCUGGACUUCGAUCUUCCCUUCUUCCAUUUACUUCUUUUCUCCGAAUAGCCUCUCACUACCAAAGCUUUCGCUACACCACUAUAGCUACCCUUUUUAUCUUUUCUUCGUAAUUCAUAACUAUAUAAAGCAGCACAAACCUCACUGAGAGACACCUCAGCCUUCCCAUGGAGUAAAAUAGUCUCAAGAAAUUCAAAUUCUUCUAGAAGAGAUCCCAACAACAUCAAGGCCAAAUCUUCAUCUUCAAAUGUCACAUCUAAAUUCAUCAAGUCAGCAACAAGCUAAUUGAAGUUUGUUAUGUGAUCAUUCAUUAUGGUACUAGGAACAUAUGUGAAUCUAAACAAUCUUUUCUUCAUAUGGAGUUUAUUUUGACUGCUUUUUUUCAGAAAUUUUUCCUCCAGUGUUUUCCACAAUUUACUAGCAGAAGUUUCUUUACAGAAUGCAUAUUUCUGCUCUCUGGACAAGCACAAUCGAAUUGUAUCACAUACCAAUCGAUUAAUUAUUUUUCACUACUUCUCCUCCAUACAGUUUGGUUUCUCAUAUUCAAUGGCAAUAUCUAAACCUUGCUGGAAUAAGGCAUCUAGAACUUCACCUUGCCACAUACCGAAAUGACCGGUACCAUCAAAUAUCUCCACCACAAUUCUGGAAUUCGCCACUGCAUUUCUCACUGAAAUUGACGAAUUUGGUGCUACUACUAUGGUUGGUGUAGAGGUAUUUUCACCGUCAACCAUUUCUGCUUCAAUCUAUAUUUAAUAGCUUUCAAAUAUAAUGCGGAAUGACUCAGAUUCUUUUAUGAUAUGAAAGAUCAAUUUAAACUGCAACCACUCAGCAACCUGGCUCUGAUACCAAUUGUUGUGGAAAUCGGGUUAGUUUCCAUCGACAAAUAAGCUAUUAAAUAAACAAUAAGAAAAAAAACACCAGAACUUUAAUGAGGUUCAGCAAAAAUUAUGCUUACUUCCUCGGGCACUACCAAAAUAAUAUUUUUUAAUUCAAUAGAAUUACAAAGAAUUAUUAAUAAGAAGAGAAAGAAGAGAAAUACAAUUUAGGCCAUAGAAAUAUAAGGCCCAUUGUUUUUCUUAACACUUAGAAAAGGAGAGAAGGCCCACUAUAUAUAUAACCUUGGAACUACUUCUUUUUUUUUAGCUUUUCAAUGUGGAAUAAAGGAGCCAAAAAUAACAAAGUGUUGAUCGGUCCAAAUUGUAUAUAUAUAUUUAAGAGUAUUUUAGAGCUUUAAUGGUAUAUUUCGAUAUAUAAUAUGGUGAAAACAUGUGUUCUUACCUCACUUUAGUUUUCUUAUCUAAUUUUAGGAAAUAAUUAUGAAAGAUGAGAAUUUAAGCUAAAAACGCACUAAUGGGCUUUAAUUGGACUGUGGCUGUAAAAGGCUCGAAAUCAGACACGUAGGCUAUCAAUAGGUUGGGUCUAGUCGAAUUCAUUAAGGCCUAAGAAGGAGGAUUUAAGUAAUUGUGAUGUAAUUAUUAGAUAAUUAUCUUUUAAGUUAUUUACUUUAUUUAGGACAGUAAGGGAUCACUAUAGUAGUCAUGUGCUGAGAGAAGAACCCUAACAAGGGGAUCUUUAUAAAAAAUAGAGGUUAAUUAAAACGGGAGAGUUCAGCUACUACUAUUCUCUCUGAAGAAAGGGUUCUACUAGUCUCUGCAGAAAUUUCUAUAGUUCAUCAUCUUCUAUAUCUAACUAGUUUUGUUCCAUCAUUCUUCCAAGAAUCAAAGAAGCUUUCUAAAGACGUGGAGAGAGAGGAUCAAUCUUCUUCAUUCCUUGAAGGGCCUUUGAACUUUGAAGAAGUUUUAGUUUUUUAUUUUAUAUAUCUUAUGUCUUUCUAUUUAAUUACAAUGAUCGUCGAAUUAAGUAUGAUAGGUUAAGUUCUAUAAGUGUUUGGUUUGGCUUUUUACUUAUGUAUGAACCUUAUAUAUUAUGAGUUUAAUAAAUAAUUUCUUUACCUUCAUAUAUGCAUUAGUUUCGUCUAUUAUUAUUGGUUGAACAUCAUAUCAAUUUAGUAGUAAUAUUUGUUAUGAAAAUCUUUAUGUUAAAAGUAUUAGAAACAUCAUCUUUACUUUAAUCUAUAUUGGUAUAAGAAAUCUAAGUUGCAUCAUUAGCUUGAGUGACUUAGGGAAAAAAGGCAAAUUACCAUCUCAUUGUUAGAUUUGGACUUAAGGAAAAUAAGGGGAUUACUAAGUAUAAGCUAGACUAAAUGCUAUUUUAUCAUAUAGUUCAUAUUAAUCAUUCUAGUUGCAUAUUUAUUUUCUGGUUAUUUUAUUUCUUUUAUAAACUUUAAUAUCAUUGUCAAAACAUUAGCUCAGAGUGUAUAUUUAUUUUUAGUAUUUUGUGUGCUAAUUGGUCUUUAUAAUAUAUGUUCUACAAUUGUGAGAUCGACCUCGUGGUAAACUUGCCCAAACUAUCAUUCAGUUCGUACAUUUGCGAGUACUAAUUUAGACACAUCAAGUUUUUGGUAUCGUUACCGGGAAAUUGUGUCAAUAUUAUAUUUGAUUAAUUGUUGAGUAGUGUUUCUUGUGUUUUUGUAUGUUGCAUGUUAUUUAUUUCUGGUUUAUUUUUAAAUUAUGUUUUUAAGUUUUUAAAUCCAAAAUUUUUCCUUUGAUUUUGUAUGCCUAGCAGGAAAACGAGAUCAGGUGAUUCAUUAACUCAAAAUCCCUACAACUUGAGAUCAACUAUCAAAAAGGCAGAAGGAGACCAAGAGAUAGAGAAUGAAUUUGUACCUUCAAGAGAAGAAGAAUUUAAAGAAAAGCUAGAACAAGGGUUUGAAUGAGAAGUUAAGAUAAUGGUUAAUAACCAAAGAGAAGUUGCAGCUCAAAGGCAAAUGACUAUGAAGGACUAUGCUCGUCCUAUAAUUGGGUAACACUACUUCAUGUAUAGUUUUAAGUGAUGCAUCUAGGAAUUAUGAACUAAAGAACAUCUAUUUUAAUAUGCUUCCGUUAUUUUAUGGUAUAUCCAAUGAGGAUGCAGUGACAUUCAUUAUAGAGUUCUAUGCUAUAGUUCAUACAUUUCUAUUACCUCGACUUAAUGAAGACCAAUUAAAGAUGAGAUGUUUUCCUUACUCAUUAAAAGACAAAGCAAAGGCUUGGUUAAUGACCUUGCCUCCUAAUUCUUUUGGGAACUUGGGAUAAAGUUUAUAAAAAAUUUAUGAGUAAAUUUUACUCACGUCAAAAGACCAGAAAAUUAAGGGCUGAAAUUUUUAACUUUUAUCAAAAUGAUACUGAAUCCUUUCAUGAAGUAUGGGAUCGAUUCAAAUCACUUUUACAACAAUACCCACACCACAGAUACCCACUUCUUGUGACCAACCAAUCAUUCUAUAGUGGUCUAACACAAUAAUAUUAAUGUAUGGUUGAUAAUGCAGCUGGGGUGCUAUGUUAGAAAGAACUGUUGAUUAGAUUUAUGCCAUCUUUGAGGUGUUAUGAGCCAAUUGACGAUAAAAGAGUGUGAGAACAAAAAGAGUAGUAGUGAAUGAAAUUGUGUCUAAUAAUAAGAUAGCUAUGUAAAUAGCCGAAUUAACUAAACAAGUUAGGAUUCUUGCUUCAACUGAGAAUGUAAAAAGCAAUAAGGUAUGUGGUAUAUGUGGUGUUUAUGGUCAUGGUACUAACGCUUGUUUGUCUUAUGAGACUUGUGCAGGAGAUGAUUAUGAACAUGUUAAUUUUAUAGAAUCUUAUCAGCUUAGGCAACCUAGAAAUAACUCAUACUCCAACACUUAUAAUCCAGGAUGGAGGAAUCAUCCAAAUCUCUCCUGGAGAAAUAACGACCAUAACCAACCACAAAUACUGAGAAACUAAAACUAGUCCUAGUAUUAGAAUCAAGAGCCUCAAUACCCAAGGAAUCAAAAGCCUUCAUUCUCUAUCAAGGACAAGCCCUUCAAAGAAAGCCAAGUUUGAAGGAAAACUCGAAUUUUUUAUGACGGCUACUCAUGAUAGAAUGGAAAGGAAUGAGAAGAAAACUAAUUCCAUAGAAGCUUCAAUGAAGUGAUUGGAAAUUCAAAUUGGGCAAAUUGAUGAAGCAGUACAAGAAAAUAAGAAAGAAAAAUUGUCAAGUCAACCUGAGCAAGCUAAAAAGCAAUCACUGUUCUUAACGAUGGUGAGUUAUUUUAUAAUAAUAUUGAAAAUUAAUUGAGAAAGAUUCUUCUUACUCAUGUACAUCAAAAGAAGAUGGACUAGUUAAUGUAGAAAUAACUGAAGGAGGCUUACAAAAAGAAGGAAGAGUAUAGCUAAAUCUUAGGCAAAAAGAGAAAGACAAUGAAGCAUUUUUAGAACCUAAGUUUCAUAAGGCAUCUGAGCCUUAUAAGCCUCCUAUUCCGUUCCCAAACAGAUUGAAAGAAAGCAAACAUGAUAAGCAAUUUUCUGAAAUUUUUGAUAUGCUUUCUAAGGUUAAUAUUAAUUUGUCCUUGUUGGAUGUGAUUAGGAAUAUGCCAGCUUAUGCUAAAUUCUUUAAGGAACUUAAUUCCAAUAAGAGGAGAUAUGGGAACAAUAAACAAGUUACGGCAUCUGAAAUAGCAAGUGCAGUUCUCCAACAACAAUUACCUUCUAAGAUGAAAGACCCUGUGAGCUUUACCAUUGAUAUUACAAUAGGAGACAAAAAAGUUGUAAAACCAUGUUGGAUUUGGGAGCAAGUAUCAAUUUGAUGCCAUAUUCAAUAUAUGCACAACUUAGCUUAUGAGAAUUGAAGCCAACUACCAAGUCUCUGCAACUGGCUGAUAGGUCAAUUAAGUAUCCAAGAGAUAUAGUGGAAGAUUUGCUGAUUCAGGUAGGAAAACCGAUAAUCCCUACUGACUUUGUGGUUCUUGACAUGGAAGGUACAUCAGCAAGGGAUAAGAAACAAACAAUACUCCUUGGUAGACUUUUCAUAGCAACUACUAAGACAGUUAUUGACGUGCACAAUGGAAAGCUGACUAUGACAGUUUUGGUAGAGAUUGUAGAAUUUAAAGUGUUUAAUUCUUUAACUAUAUUUCCUAGCACUUCAAUUGAUGAGUUCAUAUGUUGAUUGUAUAGAUUAUUUUAUUUAUAAAACAUAUUUACAGGAUAAGGAUGAUAAGUUAGCAUGAAGAAAAUUUAAAGGAAGAAGUCUUAGACUUACAUAAUAGUUAGAUGAAGCUAUUCCAGUGUUACCUGAUGAAAAUACUAUUGAACCUUUAGAUUCACUUAUUGGAAUCAAAUCCAAAACUACUAAUGAACCACCUAAAGUUAAGCUUAAGGAGUUGCCUAACAUACUCAAAUAUGUCUUCUUAUAAGAAAGGAGUACGUACCCAAUGAUCAUAGCCUCUGAUACGUACCCAGUGAUCAUAGCCUCUGAUCUUUCUCUUACAGAGGUAGAGAUAAUUAUUAGAGAACUAAAAAGGCUUAAAAAACUAUUAAGUGAGGAAUUUCUGAUAUUAAGGAGAUUAGUCCAACAAUGUGUAUGCAUAAAAUUAUUUUAGAAGACAAUUCUAAAGCGGUUAGAGAUACACAACAAUGAUUUAAUCCUAACAUGAAAGAAGUUGUAAGAAAAGAAGUUCAGAAGUUAUUGGAUGAGGAUAUUAUAUACCCUAUAGCUGAUAAUAGUNNNNNNNNNNNNNNNNNNNNNNNNNNNNNNNNNNNNNNNNNNNNNNNNNNNNNNNNNNNNNNNNNNNNNNNNNNNNNNNNNNNNNNNNNNNNNNNNNNNNNNNNNNNNNNNNNNNNNNNNNNNNNNNNNNNNNNNNNNNNNNNNNNNNNNNNNNNNNNNNNNNNNNNNNNNNNNNNNNNNNNNNNNNNNNNNNNNNNNNNNNNNNNNNNNNNNNNNNNNNNNNNNNNNNNNNNNNNNNNNNNNNNNNNNNNNNNNNNNNNNNNNNNNNNNNNNNNNNNNNNNNNNNNNNNNNNNNNNNNNNNNNNNNNNNNNNNNNNNNNNNNNNNNNNNNNNNNNNNNNNNNNNNNNNNNNNNNNNNNNNNNNNNNUAUUCAUAUAGUGCCUAAAAAGUCAGACACAAUAGUUGUUAAGAAUGAAAAGGAGGAAUUAGUCCCCAUAAGAAUGACAACAGGAUGAAGGAUGUGUAUUGAUUAUAAAAAGUUAAACGCUGCAACAAAGAAUGAUCACUUUCCUCUUCCUUUUAUUGAUCAAAUAUUAGAGCGUUUAGCAGGAUAUAAAUUCUAUUAUUUUCUUGAUGGAUUUUUAAGAUAUUAUCAGGUACCCAUUGCUUUUGAAGAUCAAGAAAAGACAACUUUCACAUGUCCCUUUGGAACUUUUGCAUUUAGGAUGAUGCAUUUUGGGCUUUGCAACGCUCCAGCAACAUUCUAAAGAUAUAUGCUUUCUAUUUUCUCUGACAUGUUGAAGACUGAAUCGAGGUAUUUAUGGAUGAUUUUUCAGUUUUUAGUUCUUCAUUUGAUGCAUGUUUAAGAAAUCUGACUCGUAUUCUCGAGGUCUAAUUCACUCUUCCACUGCUGUAAACGAGCCAAAACAACAAGCAUGGUACCAGUAAUUAAGAAAUCGAGCCAUGAAAAAGAUUCAACAAGAGUUUAUUUUUUAGCCAUCUAACUAAUGAUUUAAGAUAAAUAUUAAAUUUUAAUGGAGCUCUUUUAUUUUUCAAACCAUAAAUUAUAUAUUAAAGAAAAUAAAUAAAUAAGAUAAAAAGUAAUUUUGUAAUUUUACUGAAAACUAAUGGCAAUAUAACUAAAAACUAGACAAAAAAACCUAGCAUAAUAUGAAAAAAAGAGAGAUUUUAAAAAUUGAGGUCUUGAUUAAAGUAAUAUUGUAGACUUCAAGAUAAAAAUAGUAUUAGGGAUAAAUUAGAUUGGAGGUACCAAAUUAUGUAUUUUGUAACAAAAAUUUAUUAAAUUUUUAAUAUAAUUAAAUGAUCACUAAAUUUUAAUUUUAAUAACACCGAUAAAUUUUUUCGACAAGUGCGAGGAUUACAUGAGCAGUCACCAAACUUUACACUUUGUAACAAAAAAUAUUAAAAUUCUGAUUUUAAAAGAUACAUGACCGGUGCUUUUCUUGUAACAAAUUAAAGGUUUAAUAUAUUUUUGUUACAAAAUAUAAAAUUUAGCGACUAUCCAUAUAAAUUUACUAUCUAAGUGUGAUGAAAAAUUUUACUAGUGUUAUUAAAAUUAAAGUUUAGCAACUAUUUAAUUAUAAAUCAAAUAUUUACUAUCUUUUUAUUAUAAAAUGUAAAAUGUAAUAAUCGUAAAUGUAAUUUACUGAUAAUAUUACCUAAAAAUUUAUUUAUAUACCAAAUGAAAGCAACUGCAACCUAAAAUCGAUAAUAUUGUUUAUACAUCAGUUAUGGUAAAAACAUCACAUUUAACAUCAUCCCUUUGCAAGGUUGGUUUCAGUAGAUUUCUUAAUUAAUCACAAUUUUUUUACAAACCAAGACUUUGUUAAAGCAGAAUUUGGGCAAGGUACCCAGUACAAAAACUGACCAACCAUAUCAACAAAAAAUGGAAAAUGAAUCGCUACAAGAACAAAAAUAAUAUAACACAUAAAACGCACGCGAUAAAGUCACUCUCUUGUAACAGUUGCCUUUGCCAAGUUGUCUGCAUAUUUUCAAUACUUAUAAAUUAGUCUAAUAUGUUUAAUUUGGAAGCAUGCAUGUGAUUAUGCCGGGUACAAAUUUGCAGGCAAACGUGGCUUUGCGAGUGCAACUAAUGGUUUGGCAAGUUCCAAACUAUUCUUAGACUCUGAAAGAUCAAUGCUUGUCUCAUUAGGGGGCACGCUCCAGCUAAACCCUUGAAGAAGCCUAGCAAAUAACAUAACAGUCAUUGCAGUUCCCAACAUGAUGCCUGGACAACCUCUUCGUCCUGUACUAAAUGAAAGCAAGUUCAAAUCAGGCUGCGUCAGCAUCACUUGACAUCCAUUUUUCUUGAAAUGACGCUCUGGUUUGAACAUGUGUGGUUCAUCCCAAAUCCGGGGAUUCCGGCCGAGGCCGACUCGGCUAAGCAAGACAUGGCUACUUUUUGGAAUAAAAUAGUUAGCAACAGUUGUAUCUGCUAGGGAGACAUGAGGAAGAUUGAAGAAGCCAAGAGGGUGGAGGCGAAACGCUUCUUUAGCACAUGCUUUUAUGUAAUUGAGCUGUGGAAAAUCUGACUCUUGGACUAGUCUCUCCCUUCCAACAACUCUAUCCAAUUCUUCUACUGCGUUCUCAAGAAGUUUCGGUUUGUUUAUCAUCUCUGCAAGUGCCCAUUCUAUAGCAUUUGAUGGAUUAUCCACUGCUGCCAGCAUUAUAUCCUGCAAAAAUUGAUAGGUGAUAUGUAGCUUUGUUGAAUCAGUUGGUGGGAACUAUAGUAAUUAAAUUGGAAGAUGCAAUAAAUUUGAAUCUUAACCAACAUAUUUAAUGUAUGCCGAACUGAAAAUGACGAACUAAGCUUCUUGCAAGAAAAGAACAUGCAAAUGGAAGUUUCCUUAAUUCCAUUUCAUCAUUCAGGCAGAAAAAUGUUAUAUUUGGGAUAUGUUGUAUAUAUUGGACAACUUUUAUGGGAGAGAAGAAAAAAAUUAUUGAAGAGAGGGAUAUACAUUAUAGAUAUAUAUUUCUAUAAUUAAAAUACACUUUAUCUUUUAACAAGAGAUAGCUUUCCACCCCUACCACACUACUAAUAUUAUAAGUUAUUUAUAAUAGCACUUAUAUGAAUUUUCCCUUACAAAUUUAAUUAGUGAUAUUCAUGACACUUAAUAAUCUAACCUUUCAUAUACUUAGAGCUUUAGCAUAACCAUAACUCUCUUUAACAACUAAUCACUCUUAAAACAAUAAUAGCAAAUAUUGAAGUUUACAUUUUCAAUAGUAUGCAUGUGAGAUAGAGUGAGAGAGACAGAGCUUACAGUAAUCUGAGCUUUAAUCUCUUCCAUUGACAGCAAAGAGUUGCCAUUGGCAUCUUCUAAAUUUAUGAAAACGUCAAGCAAGUCAUCCACUUCCUUCUUAGUGCCAUCCCUCCAUUGUUCGACCCUCGCUUCAAUUAUGGGAUCUUGAUAUUUUUUUAUGAUCCCAAUAGCAUCCUUCAUGACCUUCUCAUGACCAUCCAAGUCGAGCCCUCUCAAGCAUGGCAUAUAAUCAGACAAACAAAAUGCAUAGGUAUGAGCAAGGGCUGUUAAAAUCGCAUCAACAUGCUCUUUUUCCUCGACACCAGGCCCUCCGUCCUUCAUUCCCUCCCCGAAGAACCUUUUGUUAAACACCAUCUUCCUUAUUACAUUUCCACAAUAGUGCCGUCCAGUGAUUCUCACGUCAACUGAUCCACCUUCCUCGGCAGUCUUGCAUUGGUUAUACACAUAACGAACAAGGUGAUCAGCUUCUUCAAGUCUUUUUCCGUAAAACCACUUAUAUUUUUCCGCAGAAAGAACUUGCGUUACCAGCACUCUCUUCAUUUUCUUCCAUUGUUCUCCUAAGGGCACAAGAGUUGUUGUCAAAUAACCACUUGUAGUGAGAUCGGUGGACAUGGUUAACGGCCUGCUUGCAAAGACAGCAUCCUGUACUUUCAAGAAUUCACGGCUAAUCUCAGGAGAAGUGACAGGAAUCACAUGAACGUUUCCAAGACGGAUACAAGCAAUUUCAGUGUUCAUUUCUUUCAUGAGCUUGUGUAUCCAUCGAAAGGUCGGCUUAUUUGCUAGCAUCGUUGGCAGGCAUCCGACAAGAGGCCAAGGUUUUGGGCCAGGAGGUAGUGGGAGUUGCUUGGCGUUUUGGCUUUCUAGCUUUUGGAAUUUGGUCAAGUAAAUUAAGGCCAACGCCAAGAGAAGAACUAGGGAACAGGAGCUCAACAAUGUUCUGAGAAAGCCAAUGCCAAUUCCGGAAAAAAUCUGGAGUGCCAUGAAGAGAAGCUAGCCCAGUGCAAGAUAUUACAGAGGUAGCGUUCUGCAUGGCCACAAAACUGUCCAUCGACAUGCUGCUUCUAUUUAAUAGAACUGGAAAGCCUGCAUACUUUGCAGGAUGCUGUUUCUAGCAAACUCUCAGCUCUUUUAUCUCAUUUGCUUUUUUCUUUUCCUUCUUUUUUUGUUUACACAAUGUAAUAAUUAACUCUAUAACCUCUCCCAUUUAUAGGGCUGAAUCCAAAAUCUACGAUGUAAUUCAAUAUAGCAAUGCAAUAGAACGAUUUGUUACAUCUGAAUAAUAGAACGAUCCGUAUUUAUACUGUAUCUUAAUAACUCUACUGUACAUACCAUAUAUUGAGCUUUUAUUUAUACAUUUAUCCAAAUCAUAUAUUAACUAUAUAUUAAAUCUUCUUCUAUUCAUUUAUACAAACCAUUUACACAUUAUGGAAUUCAAGUUUAGUUUGGCCACACAACAUAUAUUAUUAUUAUUUAAGGUAUCAUUUUUAUUUCCUUUUGAUUUCAUAACUAACCUCAUUUAUGCAUUCAUGUAUAUACAUGUCUGAAAGAAUAUUUCAUAACUAUUAUUGUAAUCUGAUCGCGUUUGACAAGCAAUUAUAAAACAAUUAAAAUUAAGUUAAAACGAGCUAAAGACAUGGAAAAAUAACUGAUGAGAUGGGAUACAAGGGCUGUGCAGUGGCAACUUUAAGUCUCGAAAUUGUUUACCUAAAUUUAGUGCAUGUUAUCGCCUAUAUACUAAAAUGAUAAUAUUUAUUAAUUUUAAAUAAUAAAGUAUGUGUCAGAUCAUCUACCAAAGUGUAAACCACUCAUACAUGUAUGCCAUUCUUCUAUUAUACUAUACAGUUUACGGGCGAUAGAAUUUGGUGUUGUUAUACAGUACAGUUCUAUAAAAAAGAUAAAAAAAUUAAAUAGUUCAACGUAGUUUGAACAGAGCCGUUACAUGCUGAUGUCACCCAACCAUUUAAUCUGGCUCCUUCGUCCACCACUAGACCUGUUCAUGGGCCGGGCCUAGACGGGCUCGGGUCGGGCCUGACCAGGCCUGACUUGAUUUUGGACAAGCUCGAGCCCGCCCAGGCCCGAGAAUUUUUUGAUAUCUCUAAGCCCAAGCUCGAGCCUGAAAUUUUUUGAGGAGCCCAACCCGGCCCGACCAAUUAUUAAAUAUGUCCCAAAUUGUAGUUAUAUUUAGAUUUAGGAUUUUGUUUUGAUUAAUAUAUUAUUAAUAACAAUAAAACUGUAAAUAGAAGUAAUAAAUAGCUAAGUGGUAUUGGCAUUUAAUUAUAAGCUGAAGGUCACAGGUUCAAAUGCUAAAUAUGACAUUUUUUUUUACUAACUAAACUAGACGCCAGGGCGGGCUUAUACUAAAAAAUUGUUGUCCACGCCCGGCUUAAAGAGUGCGUGUCUGAGCGAGCUGGGCGGGUACCCAGGCCCAUGAACAGGUCUAUCCACCACCAACAACCACUGUCCACCUUCAUUGUUGCUAGGGCUAAGUUUGCCAGCAACUCUUCUACUCCCAACUAAUGUCCUGGCCUCCCUCUCUCUCUCUCUCUCUCUCUCUCUCUCUCCUAACCUUCCUUCCUCCCCCUACCCGUUUCCAUUUUAUUCUUCUCCCUUUUCGUUUUUUACUCACCCCUAGUUAUUUACCCUUAAACCCCUAACUUGUAUUUAUCCUUUCAAUUAAGCCACUAAUUUGUUAUAUUUGGGCUAAAUUAGUUACAAUUAUUAAAAUAUUUUGAUCUUGUGUGACACUUUUACAUCUAAAUCCCAUAUUUAAAUCAAACUUUUAUUUUAACCACAUUUUAUAUAAAUAAAUAUUAGUUUAAUCCAAGUACUUAGUUAAUUUACUCGAUCAAAUUCAUUAAAAUCUAAAUACUCAAAUAAUUACUAUUGUUAUAGUACUGUAAACACUAAAUUAAAUCCUUUAUUAAGUCCCAUAGUCUUAUAUUAUUUAUUUAAAUAAUACACCUUACCUAAAUCAAAUAAAUAAAUUCCACAAAUAUCUCGUUAUUAUUAAUACUAAAGAUAAACAAUUAAAUAGCACUUUAAUUUUAGGUUACUGAUGGGUUGAUAUUAUGUAUAUAUAAUUAACGCUUUUAGUGAUUUAUUGAUAUGUUUCAUAUACAUAAUAUGUACUUAUUACCUCACUUUAUUUUUAUUGUCUAAUUUCAUGUCACAAUAGCCAAAGAGAGAAAAUGUGAGCCAAGAAUGUAUAAAUAGGUUUUAAUUGGAUUGCAGCUGUAAAAGGCUCGGAAUAAAGACACGUGGACUACUAAAAUUGCAGGCCUAGCCGAGUUUAUCAAGACCCAUGAAAGAAAAAUUAAUUAGUUGAUGUAAUUAACAUAAGUUAUCUUUUUUAAGUUGUUUAUUUUGUUUAGGGUAGUUAAGAGAUAACUAUAGCGGUAUUAUACUUAGAGAAGGACUCUAAAAAAGGAAUUUCUACAAGAAGUAGAGCAAUUAAACAAGGAGAGCAUUGUUCUAUUAUUCUUCUCUUUGCAAAUUCCUUAUAGUUCGCCUUCUACAAUAUUUAGUUAGUCUUGAUCAGAUAAGUUUUUCAGGACGUGAGAGUGAGGGUCAAUCUUUUUCAUCCCUUGAAGAAUUUUUGAAUUUUAAGAGAGCUUUAAUUUUUGUUUUAUAUUUCUUAUGUCUUUCUAUUUAAUUACAAUGAUCCUUGGAUUAAAUAUGUCAGGCUAAGUUCUAUAAGUGUUUAUUUUGGCUUUUACUUAUAUAUGAACCUUAUAUAUUAUGAGUUCAAUGAAUGAUUUCUUUACCUUCAUACAUGCAUUAGUUUCAUCUAUUAUUGUUGAUUGAUCAUUAUAUCAAUUUAAUAGUAAUAUGUGUUAUGAAAAUCUUUAGGUUAAAAGUAUUAGAUACAUUAUCUUUACUUUAAUCUAUGUUGGUAUAAGAAACCUAGAUUAUAUUAUUAGCUUGAGUGACUUAGUAAAAAGGCACAUCACUAUCUCUUUCGUUAGAUUUGGACUUAAAAGAGAAAUAAGAGGAUUACUAAGUAUAAGCUAGACUAAACGCUAAUUUAUUAUAUAGUUUACAUUAAAUAUUUCAUUUGCAUUUUUAUUUUGUAGUUUAUUUAAUUUCUUUCAUAAACCUUCAAAAACUAUUCUGAAAACAUUGGCUUAGAGUGUUUAGAUUUACUUUUAGGUAUUUUUGUAUAUAGUUGGUCUUUAUAAUAUAUGCUCUACAGUUUCUUGUGAGAUUGACCUCGUGGUAAACUUGCUCGUACUAUCAUUUAGUUCGUGCACUUGCAAGUACUAAGCUUGAGACAUCAAGUGUUUGGCACCAUUGCCGGAAAAUUGUGUCAAUAUUAUAUUGAUUAAUUAUCGAGUUUUAUUUCUUGUGUUUUUGUGUGUUGCAUGUUUAUGUGUUUUUGUUUUGUCUUAAAAUUUUGCUUUUAAGUUUUUAAAAUUUGAAAUUUUUUCUUUGGUUUGUAUUCCUAGCACAAAAACAAGAUUAGGUGAUUCAUCAACUCAAAAUUCCUACAACUUGAGAUAAACUGUUGAAAAGGCAGAAAGAGACCAAGAAGUUGAGAGUGAAUUUGUACCUCCAAGAGAAAAAUAAUUUGAAGAAACUUUAGAACAAAGAUUCGAAGAAGAGGUUGAAAUAAUGGCUAAUGACCAAAGAGAAGUUGCAACUCAAAGGCAAAUGGCUAUGAAAGAUUAUGCUCGUCCCAUAAUUGGUAACACUAUUUCAUGCAUAGUUCUAGGUGAUGCAUCUAGGAAUUAUAAACUUAAAAACAUUCAUUUUAAUAUGCUUUCUUUAUUCUAUAGUAUGCCAAGUGAAGAUGCAUUAAUAUUUUUUUGGAGAUUUUAUGCUAUAGUUUAUACAUUCCCAUUAUCUCAACUAAAUGAAAACCAACUAAGAAUGAUAUGUUUUUCUUAAAUUAUAAUAUUUAGUUGAAUAUAAUAUAAUAUUAUAAUAUUAUAUUAUAUUAACAUAUUGAAUUAUAUUAAAAUAAAAAUAUUCAAUUAUAUUAUAAUUAUAAAAUAUUCAAUUAUAAAAUUAUUAUUUUCCUAGAAUUAUUUAAUAUUUAAUGUAGAAUUAUUUAAUAUAUGAUAUAAUUCUAAUUUUAAUUAUUUAAUUAUUUAAUAUAUCCUAUUAUCUUCACUAAAUAAAGACCAACUAAGGAUGAGAUGUUUUCCUUAUUCAUUAAAAGAGAAAGUAAAGGUUUAGUUAAUGACCUUGGUGAAUUUAUCUGUACUAUCAUUCAGUUCAUACACUUACGAAUACUAAAUUUGAGAUAUCACUCACUUUAUUUAAAAUAAUAAAUUAUAUACCCAUUACUUGAAUAUAUCAUAUGCGUAUUACUUGAUUAAUAUGAGAUUAUUAUUAUUAUUAUUUAUAUGUACUAAAUUAUUUUUUAUUUUUAAGUAUUAAAUUGUAUAAAAUAUCUAGAUAUUAAGUUGUAGAAAACUCGAGAUGUCAAAUACCAUAUGAGUUGCAUUUAUAAAUUUAAUAUGAUGAUAUAGAUGUUUCAAUAUAAAUAACUAUUAAGUUUGAGUUUUCCUCCCUGUUUGUCAUGAAAAACUGUCCACUUGCAAUGGGAGAAAUAAUAUUAUGUGAUUCUUAAGGAUUUAAGGCUUAGUUAUCAAGAAUCAAGAGGUCAAUCAUUCACCCCAAUUUAAGCGCACGUUGUUAUUUCGAAGAAAGAAAAAUUGUACGAUUUUGUGCAAGAAUUUACAACCAAGUAUUUAAGAUCCAUUGAGAUAAUAGUCUGCCCCACCGAGCAAUAUUGAGAUAACAGUACACACUAAGCUAUAUGCAUAUUCAAUAUUAUCCGGAAGACAAUAUAUUUUAUUUGACACCUUAUAUUUAAGGUGUAAUAUUUUAGAUCACAUAAAUAAAUAUAUGCAUAUUUACCCAGCUAGAGAAGAUUAUAUUUAUAUAUAAAAAACUAAAAAUACUAUUCUUUAUUUCCAAUUUUUAUAGAGAAUAAUUAAAUUAAAAUCAUUUUUAAAUAAAUAACUUUUACAAGAAACACUUUAAAAGAUUAUAAUUAUAUAAACAAUAGAGUAAAGAAAAUAUAAUGUUAAUUAUAUAAAUAAUAGAGUAAAGAAAAUAUAAUGUUAAUUAUAUAAAUAAUAGAGUAAAGAAAAUACAAUGUUAUAAUUUUAUCCACUCUCCCAGUAUGUAAGAUUUUUAACUGAAUCCUCAAUCGAACUAUAAUUUUACACAACCUGCUAACUUUAAACAGUUAUUUAAAUAUUUAACUCUAUAAUUCACGUACAAAUAUAAUUUAAAAAUAAUUUUAGUAUAUUUUGCUAACAAUCCAUAUCUAACCUCUAAUAUCUAUAUAUAAUAUCUCAUUUUUGACAAUCAUUAAUUUUUAUAAUUAACAUAAUAAAUUAUCUUAAUAACUAAUCCACCUUAUCCAGUGAUUACACUUCAAUUCAUUUAAUUAAUAGGAGUCUUAAAAAUAUUAAUAAUAAUAUCACAUUAUCAUAUAUCAUUAAUUAUCAACAAAUAAUUAUAUAUAAUUAAAUACCUCAGUUCCUUACUAUAAGUUUUAUAAUUCAUAUACCACAUUCUAAACUAAUUAUCAUAAUUUAAUAGUAAAAUUCAUAAUGUAGUUAAUAUUCAUUUUCCUUAUGUUCUUCAUCCGCCCAAUUAUAGAUUUUAAUCCAUUUAAUUUAUAAAAAAUGUAAAAAAUAAUUCAAUAUAAGUACUAACUAAUGUAUCUUCAAAAAUGUUACAAUCUUUAAUAAGUAAUUAUCUAUUUAUUCUACUAAAAUUUAUAUUAACUAUGUAAAUAAUUAUCUAUAUUAGCGGACUCGGCAUCGGUCGUUGUAGCCUGAUCGAUUAUUUGAUGAAUCUAGUAGACUUGUAAUGAUACAUAGAUCACGAAUCUAAUGUGAUCUUUCAUUCAAGUUACCGAUCAACUCUGAAAUAGUUAAACAAUUUUGGCUAUCAAUUUUUUAAGGGAAUCAUAUCACUAUAAAAUCAGUGUUGAUAGAAAAUUUAUAAGGAGAAGAAUUUAUUAUUCUCUAAUUACCCAAUGCACGUCAGAAUUAGAAGAAAUUUGUUACAAAUCAAACUAGCUUUGUUUUCUCUCUCUACUGCGUCUCACAUCUCCAGUCAAAGUAAAGGAAUAAAAUCUAAAGCUUAAUAAAGUAUUUCUCUUGGCAUAAUACAACUUUAGUUCCACAGUGCUUUUGAUCCCGGACUAAAUUGGAUCUUUUUCCCUCAACAAAUUGUAAACAAUUCUAUACUUGAGCAAGUCCAUGAAGGAUCUCAUGACAUGAUAUACAUCUAUAUUGUGCCAAAAAAAUUUCAUGACNNNNNNNNNNNNNNNNNNNNNNNNNNNNNNNNNNNNNNNNNNNNNNNNNNNNNNNNNNNNNNNNNNNNNNNNNNNNNNNNNNNNNNNNNNNNNNNNNNNNNNNNNNNNNNNNNNNNNNNNNNNNNNNNNNNNNNNNNNNNNNNNNNNNNNNNNNNNNNNNNNNNNNNNNNNNNNNNNNNNNNNNNNNNNNNNNNNNNNNNNNNNNNNNNNNNNNNNNNNNNNUAGUGGCAUUGAACUCAUUUUGUCAUGGGCUUUCAAGUGAUGACCAUGGCAGCCUUUACUUUGACUGGAGAUGACGAGACACAGUAGAGAAAGAAAAUGAAGCUAGUUUGAACUUUAACUGAUGUCAUCCAAUUCUGAUGUACUUUAGGAAAACAAAGAACAAUAAAAUUCUUCUCCUUAUAAACUUUCUACACAAGUUUUAUAGUGAUUGGACGCCUUAAAAAAUUGAUGGCCAAAACUAUUUGACUAUUUCGGAGUUGAUCGAUAACUUGAAUGAACGAUCACGCAUUUGAUUUGUGAUCUAUGUAUCAUUACAAGUCUAUUAGUAUCAUCAGAUAAUCAAUCGAAUUCCGACCAAUGCCGUGUCUACUAACAUAUGGUAUAUGAAUUAUAAAACUUAUAACAAGGAAUUAAAGUAUUUAAUUAAAUAUAAUUAUUAGUUAAUAAUUGAAUAUAUGAUAAUAUGAUAUUAUUAUUAAUAUUGUUAAAACUCCUAUUAAUUAAAUGAGUUAAAGACUAAUAAGUGGAUAAGGUGGUACACCAAGUAGCAAACUAGGCUCUAAUACUAUCAUGACAAAAGAAAGUGUAGCGGAUAAGGUGGUACACCAAGUAGCAAACUAGGCUCUAAUACUAUCAUGACAAAAGAAAGUGUAGUGGACUGGGCUAUAGACUACCUUGUUGCAUUUCGCACAGGAAAUGACUAGGGUACACCAUGUAGGCAAUUUAUACCCUGCAUCCUGGUCCACCUUGUAUUGUGUACCGGAGGCAGGGAAAUAUGAAAGCGUAUCAUAUUAACUCAAUGAUAGCAUUAAGAAUAACCAAUCUCAUAAUCAAUUCCUUCUAAAUUAGAUUGUGCACCUAAUUUUUACUCAUCACCAACACUUUCUUUUGCAAAUACAUGCUGUAAAAGUGAAUCACUCACAUCAAUAUGACAGAGAGAAUGUACAUCAUUAGAAUAUUUUAUUGCAUCAAAAAUAUUAAAAUUAACAAUCUCUCCAUCAAACUCUAUGGAGAGAGUACCCUCAUCUACGUCAAUCUUUGUCUUAGCUGUUUUCAUGAAUGGUCGUCCUAACAAAGUCGAAGCUGAUUGUGAUGAGAAAUUACUAUCCAUUUCCAAAAUGUAAAAUUCAACAGGAAAUAUGAGCUCAUUAACAUGCACUAAAACAUCUUCAAUAACUCUAGGUGGAUGAAUAUAAGAAUGAUCAGCUAAUUAAAUCACUACAUCAGUCUUUUGCAAGUCAUUUAGUUUCAACUCUUGAUAAACAGAAAAUGAUAUGACACUAAUGGAAGCUCUUAAAUCUAACAUGGCGUGCUCUAUUUUCUUAUUAUCAAUAACACAAGGUAAUGAAAAUAUACGUGGAUCCUUGCAUUAUUUUGGCAUAUUCUUUUACAAGAUAGCCGACACAUUUUUACUUACCACCACUUUCUCCUUUUCCUUCAUCCUCCUUUUGUUUGUGCACAAUUCCUUUAAGAACUUUGUAUAUUUAGGAAUUUUCUAAACAACAUCUAAUAAUGGGACAUUUAUUUUCACCUUCCUAAAUGUAUCCAAGAUCUCCUUUUCUUGCUCAUCUUCUUUUGGCUAAUCUGCUAGGAAAAGGAGGUAAUGGAGUGUGAGAUGAAAGAGAUAGAGGAAGAUCGAAUUUUACCCCAUUUGAUGUUUUAAAGGAAGCUUCUUCUUCCUUUUCCUCACUCAGUUCACUUUCUUUAAGUGGAAUCAACCAUGAAGGAAUCUCCUUUCCGCUUCUUAGUGCAAUUGCACUAACAUUCUCCUUUGGAUUUAUCUCUGGUUGUGAAGGCAGUUUUCAGAAUUUUGAGCCUCCAAUUUACUCAUCGAUAUAGCCAAUUGAGUAAUUUGAUUCUAAAUUCUGAAUGCCUGAGCUUGUUUCUUGUUGAAGUUGAAGAGUACUAUUUGCAAGAGUUUUAAUAAUAUCUUCCAAAGACAUACCUGAAUUUGAAGCUUGAGGUUUCUGGAAAACUUGAGGUGGUAUAAUGAAGUUAUGGGAAGGAUGAUUUUAUUGUCCUCCUUGGUUUCCAUAGCUCAAAUUCGGGUGGUCUUUUCAUCCAGGAUUAUAUUGAUUGGAAUAGGGAUCAUAUUUCCUUUGAGGUUGACUAGUAAACCUGCCUAAAGCAUUAGCCUCUUGCAUGAACUGAGCAAUUCCAUAAACUUUUUCCAUUUGCAAUCGCCCUAUAGAAAUUUGAUGAACCAAAGCAGUUAAAUCAGAAAUUUGAUUUUCAAGAUUUUUUAGUUCUUACCUCAUUAACUCACAUAAUAGUUCUAUCAACUCUUGUACCAAAUUGCUAAUAAUUUUCAGCCAUAUUUGAAAUCAAUUGCUUGGCUUCUUCAGGUGUCUUGUCUACUAAAACUCCAUCACUUGCUGCAUCAAUCAUACUCCUAUCCAUUGGCAACAAUCCUUUAUAGAAGUAAUGAAUUAAGAGUUGAUCGGAAAUGUGGUGAUGGGGGCAACUAGCACACAAUUGCUUGAACCUCUCCCAAUACUCAUACAAUGUCUCUCUAGUGAAAUGUGUUAUGCCAUAAAUUUCUUUUCUGAUGUUGGCAUCUCUUGUUGCAGGGAAAAACUUAUCUAAGAAUAAUCUUUUCAUCUCAUUCCAUGUUGUUAUUCAACCGAAUGGUAGAUAAGAGAGCCAAUCUUUUGCUUUAUCCUUUAAAAAAAGGAAAAAACUCUAAGAUUUAUUUGUUCUUCGAUCACACCAUAUGACUUCAUUCUAGAGCAUACAAUAUGGAAUUCUUUCAAGUGGUUAUGAGGAUCUUCACCUCUACAUCCACGAAAAGAAGGGAGUAAGUGAAUUAAGCCAUAUUUUAGUUUAAAAUCAACUUCAAUCUUAGAAAAUGUAAUGCAUAAAGGUUGUUGAUUGAAAUCCGGCGCGGCUAGCUCUUUGAGAGUUCUAUUUGACAUUUUUUCUGCAACUUCAUAAAAAAUAGAUGUGUCACCAAUAGCCAAAUCUAUCUCCAAUUCCUCUAUGAGAUGACUUUUUCUUUGGCUAAUCUCCUUUCUUAAUCGACGCACUGUCUUCUCAAUUUCAGAGUUAUAUUGCAAAUCAAUGGCCUGAGAAGAACGAGUCAUAAACAAAUAAAUUAAACAAUGAGAAACUAGAAUAGCUUCCGAGCAACAGUGUCAAAUUUUGAACGGGUUGUCGAAGCCCUCCAAAAUAAAUUACUAAUUUUCUUAAACUAACUUGUAGAAAUAGUGAAACUAGGUUGAAUCCUAAGGGAAUAAAUGUGAAUAGCUUCUCAAAGUUAAAUAACAAAAGUAUGGAAUUUUGAAUGAUUGAACUAAAAUUAUAAAUAAACAAGAAAAUAAUAGAAGUUGAAUAUUAAAGUAAAUAAAAAUUAAUCUUACCAAACUUGCAAUUCAAGAGUGCAAUUCCAUCCAAUUAUAAUUCUAAUCACAGGCUUAAAUAUCAAUUUUUCUAUUCAAGUACUUAGUCUACUUACUCAGAAAAGCCGCAACAAGUAUAAAUUCUCCUAAUAUAAUUGACUCAAACCCAACAUCCAAAUCAAAACUUACCAUUAGUUAACUGGGCAUGACAGUGUUCCAUAUCAACUCAAUGAUAGCAUUAAGAAUAAUGAGAAUGACUAAAUCAAUAUUAAUUAAUCGAGAUAGUUGUAAUUGUUUCUUUAUUUCCCUAGAGACUAUCAUUCAAGGUGUGUAAUUCGGAAAAACCGCAAUCACACACAUAUGAGCCAACUCUUUGCUACUUUUGUCAAUCGUUCAUGACAAUUACGAAUCACAAACUCAAGGAUAGCAAUAAAAAAAUCAUUAUCAAAUUGAGUCAUCAGUUCAAUCAAUAUCAAAAAUUCAUAAACAAUAAAAAAAGAAAUAAAGAAUACUUGAAUUAAAGAAGAAAUUCUAUUAAGUACGAAACCUCACAAAAUCACAAUUGGAAUUUAUUCACUCUUGAAUCAGAAAUUAAAAGCUUAGCCACACAUGGUGGAGUAAAAAUUCACAAGAAUGUAGGGAAUAGAGAAAGAAAAUAAAAAAUAUAAAAGCUCAAAGUCGUUCCCUUUUGUAAAACCAGCCUCCUUAUAUUGGAAGUCAAACCUAAACCCUAAUAAAAUAAUCUCUAUCCAAAAAGAAAUAAACUUCUUAUAUAAUUCUUAUCCUAUAAGGAAAGCUAAAAUAAAGGGAACUCUAAAGAAAUAAAGUCCUAAAUAAUAUAUGAGACAAUUAUCUUUAUCCAGGCAAUUCCAAAAUAAAAGAGAUAAUAUAAAAGUGGGCCUACCACGAGUUUAACUAAAUAAUAUAGGAGAAAAUUUUCUUCUUCUUUUUUUUUUUGAAUUUCUUUCCUUCACUACUUUUCUUUUCUUUUCUUUUCUUUUAUUUUUUCUUUUUGGCAUUUUUAUGUUUCUUUUUAUACUAUACAAUACUUUUUCCUCUUGUCUUGACAAGGAUAGAAAAAUAGGAGUAACAAACAAAAGGUCUUGGGCUAAAUAAUAUAUAUUAAAUAUUAGAAAAUAAUAGAAAAUAGGCCCAAAGUGGCUAAGUAAAAGGAAAAUCAAUAAGGUAGGACUUUUAAGAGUCUAAGAAUUGAUUAAUCCUAAUUGCCCUUAUCAUAUUAAAGCAUCAAUCCAAAAUAUGGUCUCAGUAUGCAUUCACAAGCAAGUUCUAGAAUAAACACACUAAGUUCGAUAACACUCAACAAAAAAAAUUAGAACAAAAUAUAAUAAACUGCUCUUAGGCUCAAAAGAUUACUUGAAUAUUUAAAUUUGCAUCAAGUCUUGUGCAUUUUUCAAUCAAUAAACCAAUGAGAUACCAUAAAAUAAUUUUAAAAAAACACUGAUCAUGCUUAUCCCUUUCAUGUAUUAGAACUCAAACCAAAAACGUAUCUCUAACUUACAUGGAAAUCUAGGUUAUAAAAAAAAAAAAACUUAAGGUUGCAAAAGAAGAAUUAGUACAUAUGGAUUAAAGCACACCUAAUUCUAAGCAUAAAAAAAUAUAAUUUUUUUUAAAAAAAGGAAAUCAUGUAAUUAACAAAUUUCUCCCCCACACUUAAACUAUACAUUAUCCUCAAUGCAUCAAAAAGAAAAUGCAUCACAAAAGAAAUAAAAAGAAAUAUGAAACUCUCGUGAUUUGCAAGAAAUAUGUAUUGAGUAGUCUAUGGUGAUGGUGGGUAAGGAGGUAGAACCCCCUAUUGCUUUAUCAUGGCGUCCAAAUUUUUCUCCAUCUUUGAAAUUUUAUGUUCCAUCUUUUCUGAACGAGAUUCAAAAUCUGGUUCAGUUGAAUCGUUUGAGGCAUGAAAAAAUAAAAAAAAAUUAUAAAAAAAGGGUAGUGGGAAAAAAGUAGCAAAUAAUAAUAAAGAAAUAUUUUUAUUAAUGUUUUAUUCUUUUAUCAUAAAUAAAAUAUCGCAAAGAAAAUGAAGUAAAGAAGUCAAAUCUUUAAGGGCUAUUGCUCAACGUGGUCACGGCUUAUCAAAAACGUUCUUCUAGAAAAAAUAAAUUUGGUUGAUGCAUCAAGGAGAGUUGUGAAAGGCGUGGUCACGACUUAUUUAAAUUAAUUUCCUGCCCAAAAAUUAAACUUUUUCAUUAAAAAAAAACUAAAAACUAAAAAUAAAAUAAACUAAGUGAAAGAGAAUAAAAAAUAUAAAUAAAAAUAAAGAAAGCAUUUAGGUUGUCUCCCAAUAGCGCAAUUGUUUAACGUCGUUUUGCUCAAUACGACAAAUCAAUUAAGAAUUUGUGAUUUCCAAUGACCAUAUCAACAAAAAUAGGUUGAAAAAGUAUUAGAUACUCUAAAUGGAAACAUAAAAUAAAAGUAUUGGUACUAAAAAGAAAAUAACUGAAAUAUUGGUAUCAAUUGGAUAUUAAAUCCAAAAAUUUGGUAUCAAUAAAAUAAUUUACCCCAAAAAAAGUUGUAUGUUUUUGUGCAAGAAUUUAAAAUAAAUACUUAAGGGUGGCCUGAUCCAUUGAGAUAACAGCCUGCCCACCGAUUCUAUCUAAAGUAUCUUUCACUUGAUUGAUAACUAUAUAAAAUAAAUUAUUUUAAAAUUGUUAAUAUAAAUAUAUUAAUGAGAUGAAAAAAGAAAUAUAUGAUUGUAAAUUAUGAGAAAAAAAAGUAUUUUACUUUUAAAAUGUUUUAGUUUUUAAUAAUUUAAUAAUCUUUAUUUCAAUAAGCCAUCAUUUUCAUAUUGUUUAUAUUUGAUAAUAUAAGUUUAGAGCUAAUAGUUUAUAAUUUCAUUAUUUGACCAUUAAAUCAUAUUUAGUGAUUUGAUGAAAUUGAAUUAACAGUCAAAUAAUGAGAUUAAAAGUUGUUAAGUUCUAAACUCUCAUUAUCAAAUACGAGCAACAUGAUAAUAAAUGGCUGAUCAGAGGUAAAAUGGUUAAACUCUUAUGAAUUGAAAUUUUUUAAAGUCGAGAUACAUUUUUUCAUCAUUAUUAAUAAUCGCAUAUCUCUUUGUCAAAAAACACAUGGUAAAAAUUGUAAAUGAUGAAAUUAUAUAGUACUUUUUUUGUAUCUAUCUCUUUACUUGACUGAAGUGUGAAGUAUAAUAAUAUGAGAUUUUAUUAGGUAAAUAGCUCUGUUGGUUUUAAAAUUUUGGCCUAUGUUUUCAGUUAGUGCCAAUACUUUAAUUAUUUUCUUUUUAAUAUCAGAACUUUAACUUUCAUUAUAGACAAUGGUGCCCAUUGGAAAUUCGUUUAAUUUUUUAUAAUAUUGAGGGUAGAGAUUCACAUUGGAUUCGUGAUGAUCUACAUAUCAUUACAAGUCUAUUAGUAUCAUCGAAUAAUCAAUCAAACUCUGGCGACCAGCGCCGUGUCUACUAACAUAUGGUAUAUGAAUUAUAAAACUUACAAUAAGGAGUUAAAGUAUUUAAUUAUAUAUUAGUUGAUAAUUAAUUAUAUGAUAAUAUGAUAUUAUUAUUAAUAUUGUUAAAACUCCUAUUAAUUAAAUGAGUUGAAGACAAAACAGUGGAUAAGGUGGUACACCAAGUAGCGAACUCGGCUCUAAGACUAUCAUGAUAGAAGAAAGUGUAGUGGCACCUUGCUGAAUUUGUAUGAUUCUUAAGGAUUUAAGCCAGUUAUCAAGACUCAAGAGGGAGCCAUGAGACAAUUAUCAAGGAAACCCUAGCUUAACCGCUUAACAACCUUCCCUUGUAUUUCGAAUUAUAGUUUGUAUAAGAUAUAUUAUUAGAUAUUCCAACUGUAUAUCUUAUUUUCAAUAGUUGUUAUAUAAUCUACAAAUAUAUCUAGGGUUGUACUCUUUAAAAUAUCAAUAUAUACAAAAUCAUGUUCUUCUCUAAACUUAAUUUGGUAUCAGAGCAAACCAUCAUGAAUCCUAAUGGAAAUCCAUCUUUCUCUUCUUCCUCUUCUACUACUUAACUCAAUUUUUCUCUCAAACUCACUUCUAACAAUUUUCUCUCAUGGAAAACUCAGCUCAUGCCUCUUCUUCACUCUCAAGAUCUCAUCGGCUUCAUAGAUGGUAGUAAUUCAGCUCCAUCUAAAACAAUUCUCAGUAAUGAUACUCCGCCUCAAACCAUUCUAAAUUCAACUUACUCUUUCUGGUUUCGUAGAGACCAAAUGCUUCUAUCCUGGAUCCUCUCUUUUCUUACUGAAGGAAUCUUUCCCUAUAUCAAUGGAGUUUCCUCAUCCUAUUCAGCUUGGAAAACUCUAGAAAAUGCAUUUGGUGCUGUAUCUCAACAUAAACAGCUUCAACUUCAUAUCGAAUUAUAAGAGCUGAAGAAAAAUGAUCUCUCUGUGAAGGAUUAUUUACUAAAAGCUAAAGCAUUGGCCGAUGAAUUAACUACUACUUGUCGUCUAAUUAAUGAAGCCGAGUUUAAUGCGAUUAUUUUCCGCAAUAUUGGUGCUGAAUUUCAAGGAAUUAUCAGCACUCUCAAUAUUAGAUCAAAACCAAUCAAUUUUUGUGGGCUUCAUAUUCAUCUUGUUGCUCAUGAGAUUCUUCUUAAAGCUCAACAAUCAAACUACAUGGCUAAUCUUUUCUACAAGCCCCUGAUUUUGUCUACACCAACUUUUUUUCCACCACAAUCACUGCCUCCUUCACAGAAGAAUUUUCGGCCAUCAUGGAAAUCGAAGUUUCAGAAUCGGGGUGGUGUCUCUUGCCGAAUUUGUGGACUCACCAAUCAUGCUGCUAAUAGCUGCCGUCAUAGGUAUCAUCAGUAUAACAACUACACUCAGUCUCGUCCUCAACGAUCUCAAUUUCAGCCGUAUUCUGCUCCUGCAACACCAUAUCUUCCUCAAGCUCAUAUCGGAUAUCAAUCUCCUUCUCAUCCGUUUAUGGGUCAGUAUGCUGAAAGUAAUGUUCAACCAUGGAUUGCUGAUGGGGGUGCUACAGCUCAUAUACACCAGACAUGAGUGCUCUUACUCUUCCUCAACAAUAUUGUGGCUUGGAUAAGUUGGUCAUUGGUGAUGGUAAUGGCUUACAAAUUCAAAAUUGUGGUAACUCUUAUCUUCAUUCUCAUAAAAAUAAAUUUCUCCUUUCUAAUACUCUUCAUGUGCUCAAGAUUGCAAAAUCAUUAAUUUCUAUUCAUCGUUAUUGUACUGAUAAUAAUUGCUUCUUUGAGUUCUGGCCAUCUUACUUUGCUAUUAAAUGUCAUAAAACAAGACAGGAACUCAUGCGAGGAAUGAAUGAACGUGGCUUGUGUCAGUUUCCGUUAUCAUCCUCACCUUCUCCAUUAGCUUUCUUGGCGAAUUCUUAUGAUGAUUGGCAUGCACGACUUGGAUAUACUUAUCGUAAAACUGUUCUUAGGAUUGUAAAAGACAAUAAUAUUUCUUUUUCUAAUCAUGCACAUGACUCGGUGAACAGGUUGUCGAAGCCCUUCAAAAUAAAUUACUGAUUUUCUAAACUAACUUGUAGAAAUAGUGAAACUAGAUCGAAUUCCAAGGGAACCAAUAUAAAUAGCUUCUCAAAGUUAAAUAAAAAUGGGAGAAUUUUAAAUGUUUUAAUCAAAAUUAUAAGUAAAUAGAAAAUAAUGAAGGUUGAAUAUUAAAGUAAAUAAAAAUCAAUUUUAACAAACUUCCAAUUCAAGAGUGCUAAUUCCAUCCAAUUGUAAUCAUGAUCAAAGGCUAAAAUAUUAAUUUUUCUAUUCAAGUACUUAGUCUACUUAUUCGAAAAAGACACAACAGUGUAAAUUCUCCUAAUAUAAUUGACUUAACCCAGCAUCCAAAUCAAAACUUAACAUUAGUCAACUAGGCACGAUAGUGUUCCAUAUCAACUCAAUGAUAGCAUUAAGAAUAAUGAGAAUAACUAAACUAACAUUAAUUAAUUGAGAUAGCUGCAAUUGAAUUAACCUUGUUCCUUUAUUUCCCUAGAGCCUAUCAUGCAAGCUAUGUAAUUCGAAAAUGCCGCAAUCACACACACAUUAGCUAGCUCCUUGCUACUUGUGUGAAUCGUUCAUGACAAUUACGGAUCACAAAUUCAAAGUUUAGCAAUAGAAGAAUCAAUAUCAAAAUUGAGUCAUCAGUUCAAUCAAUAUCAAAAAUUCAUAAAUAAUGGAAACAAGAAAUUAAAAAUACUCGAAUUAAAGAAGAAUUUUGUUAAACACAAAGCCUCACAAAAUCACAAUUGGAAUUUAUUCACUCUUGAAUCAGAAACUAAAAAUUUAGCCACACAUGGUGGAAUAAAAAUUCACAAGAAAAGAAUAGAAGAAGAUAGAAGAAAAAUAAUAAUAAUCUCAAAGUACUCAGCCUCCCCUACUUGGUAGAACUAUGCUUCUUAUAUAGGAAGUCAAACCUAAACCCUAAUAAGAUAAUCCUUAUAAAAAAGAAAUAAAUUUCAUAUAUGAUCUUAUCCCUAUAAUGAAGGAUAAGAUAAAGGGUAAUCUAAACAAAUUAAAAUUCUAAAUACAUGGGAGUAAGUUCUCUUUAUCCAGCACUUCAAAAAUAAAGGAAAUUAUAUAAAAGUGGGUCCACCACGAAUUUAUCUUGAAAAUUCAAAAUUCUCUUCUACAAAUUCCAGCAGCUCACGGAUUGUAAAGCAUGGUCACGCCUUAUUGAAAAUGAUCUUCUGCCCAAAUUUUUGCUCUUCCUCCAAAAGAUUUGGUUUUUGACAAGUGAUGCCUUAAAAUAUGUCUUUAGGCUGAAUUCUACUCAAUCCUUGAUAUUUUACCACCUAGGUGAGAAUAAACACAAUUUUCACAAUUAAGUACAUUAUUCAAUCAAAAUGUAAGAGAAUUAAAUAUAAUAAGUAUUACUAUUUAUGAUCUACCAAAUUCCUCCACACCUAAUUUAUACUUGUCCUCAAGCAUACCUUAACUCAACAUACCAAUUUUUCUCUCUACUUCCUUUUUAUCUUUUUUUUUUUAAUAGCCACAAAUAUUAAAUAAGUUAAACAUACAUCAAUGAGUUGAAUCAUAAUGAUAAUCAAGAAGGUAGCACUCGUAGGAUAAAUUUUGUAAAAAGAACAAGUAUAUCAUUAAUUCAUUAAAAUCAAAGCAACAAGACUUAACACCCUAACAUGGUUUCACUCAAUACUCUCAAAGUGUUUAGGGUACAUUUACUCUCAGAAUCAAAUCAUAGCAUGUUAUUACCAUAAGCUUGCUAAUGAAUCAAGUCUCCACCACUACACAUGAAUUAGAUGCAAAAAUCAAAGGGACUUCACAAGGGUUGUAAUGGAGCUUAGGAAAGAGUGUGAUAAAAGAAAAAAUUAAAGUGUUUCAUAAUCAAGACAAAAAGGUUAGAUUCCUUUUGCAUGAUAACUUAUGCCACGUAACCACGAAACAUACUACAAAAAUUUUGAAAGUUGAAAUUUAUUUUCCUAUUUUAUAUAAGCACUAAAAACUUGGGAGUAACAUAUAACAAUUUAAUUCAGUAUAUUUUAUGAAUACUUCUCCAAUUCUCCUUUUUUAUGAAAGGAAUAGAUAUCAACCUUCUUUCUCUUUUUUUUUUUUUUGUUGUUUCAUUUGUACCAUGCAACAAUUCCCUUCUUGUCUGGACAAUGGUAGAAAAAUAGGGAUAGCAAACGAAAGGUCUUGGGUUAAACAAUAUGUGUUAAAAAUAAGAAAAAAAAAUAGAAAAUAGGCUCAAAAUGGCUAACUAAAAGGAAAAUCAACAAAGUAGGUCUUUUAAGAGUCUGAGAAUAGGUUAAUCCUAAUUGCUCUUAUCAUAUUAAAGCAUUAAUCCAAAGAUGUGGUCUCAACAUGCAUUCACAAGCAAGUUCUAGAAUAAUCAUACUAAGUUUGAUAACACUCAACAAAAACAAUUAGAGCAAAAUAUAAUGAAUUGUUCUUUAGCUCAAAAGCUCACUUGAAUGCUCAGAUUUGUAUCAAGUCUUGUGUAUUUUUCAAUCAAUAAACUAAUGAGAUACCAUCAAAUAAUUUUAGAGAAACACUAGUCAUGCUUAUCUCGUUUAUGCAUUAAAACUCAAACAAAAAAUGUAUCUCUAACUUACAUGGUAUUCUAGGUUAUCAAAACAAAACUCAAUGUUGUACAAGAAAAAUCAGGACAUAUGAAUUAAAGGAUACCUAAUUCUAAGCAUAAAAAGAAAAGGAAAUCAUGUAAUUAUCAUAUUCCUUAUUCCUCCCCCACACCUAAACUACACAUUGUCCUCAAUGUAUCUAAAAGAAAAUGGCUCUCAAAAUAAAUGAAAAGAAAUAUGAUACUUUCCUAAUUUGUAGCCACUCGGAUUGAGUAGUCUAUGGUGACGGUGGAAAAGGGGUAGAACCCCUCAGUGCUUCAUCAAUGCGUCUAAAAUUUUUCUCCAUCUUUGAAAUUUUUCAUUCCAUCUUUUCUAAACAAACUUCAAAAUCUGGUUCAGUUGAAUCAUCUGGGUCACGAAGAUUGCUCGUUGGGCAAGAGUGUUUCCUAGGUCUUGGAGGGUCGCCUUGGCUGUGCAGAGAAGGCUUUUGGAAAGAAUACACCCUAUUAUUCUCCACAAGCACGUGCAUCUUCAUCAAACAAGCUAUGUCUAAUGGUUCUAUCUCACAGGUAAUAUGCAAGUUAGUACUAUCAAGAGCAAGCAAUCAAAGGCGAACAACCAAAUGAGUAAUUAAAAAGCCUAAACACAAAUUCUUUUUACGAGUCAACACAAAUUUGAAUUGUGAAGCUAACCAAAAACCCAAAUCGAUUGUGUUUUCAUGCAACAUAACCAAAUAAAAUAAAGUAAGCUUUUGUACAUACAUUUGCUGUCUUUUCUACUAGAGAAGCCGAAUGCUAAAAAUCAUUGCAUGUAAACACAUUCAGGUUUAUUAAGAUACACACCUUUAGAGUUGCUAGGAUCAUAAUGCACGGGGUCAGAAGACAUGGUCUUCCAAAGUUUUGCCUGAUAAAAAAUAUUAACAAAAUCUAUAGCAGAACUCUUGUAUUGAGUGGUUAGGGAAAAUUCAAUAUCAACAAAUCCGAGGGCCAUAUUAAAUUCAGUGAUUGAUUGCUUAAAUUCAUCGCCUAGGAGUCGAUAUCGCACAACUCCAGGACUAUCAAAAGUAAGAUUCUCGGGUAUUUCAAACUGAAAAGUUGUGUAGAAUUCUCUAAUCAACUCAACAAUAUGGGAUAUUUAAUAGUUACAAAAGCUUUCCACCACAUACGAGCUAUCAUAGCAUCGAAAUCUUCCUUAAUAUUCAGUUCCUCUAGAGAAUGAGUAUCGACAUACUUAUUCAAAAAAGCCGCAACAAGUGUAAUUCUCGUAAUAUAAUGGAGUCAAGCCCAACAUCCAAAUCAAAACUUACCAUUAGUCAACUGAGCACGAUAGCGUUCCAUAUCAAUGGUAAGUUUUAAUUUGGAUGUUGGGUUUGAGUCCAUUAUAUUAGGAGAAUUACACUUGUUGCAGCUUUUUCAAAUAAGUAGACUAAGUAUUUGAAUAGAAGAAUUGAUAUUUUAGCCUAUGAUCAUUAUCACAAUUGGAUGGAAUUAGCACUCUUGAAUUGGAAAUUUGUUAAGAUUGAUUUUUAUUUACUUUAAUAUUCAACCUUCAUCAUUUUAUGUUUAUUUAUAAUUUUGAUUUAAACAUUCAAAAUCCCUCCAUUUUUAUUUUACCUUGAGAAGCUAUCCACAUUGGUUUCCUUGGGAUUCGACCUCGUUUCACUAUCUCUAAAAGUUAGUUUAGAAAAAUCAGUAAUUUAUUUUGAAGGACUUCAACAAUCCGUUCAAAUUUGGCGCCGUUGCCAGGGAACCUAUUUUAGUUUCUCAUUAUUUAAUUUAUUUGUUUAUGACUCGUUCUUCUCAAGAUAUUGAUUUGCAGUGUAAUCUUGAAAUUGAGAAGACAACGCAUCGAUUAAGAAAGGAGACUAGACAAAGAAAAAGUUGUCUCACAGAGGAGUUGGAAAUAGAUUCGGCUAUUGGUGACACAUCUAUUUUUUAAGAAGUUACAGAAGAUAUGGCGAACAGAACUCUCAAAGAGCUAGCUGUACCUGAUUAAAAUCAACAACCUUUACGCAUUACAUUUUCCAAUAUUACGGUUGAUUUCGAAUUAAAAUCCGGUUUAAUUCACUUACUCCCUUCUUUUCGUAGAUGUGCAGGUAAAGAUCCUCAUAAAUAUUUGAAAGAAUUCCAUAUUGUAUGCUCCGGAAUGAAGUCACAUGGUGUGACCGAAGAGCAAAUAAAUCUUAGAGCUUUUCCCUUUUCUUUGAAGGAUAAAGCAAAAGAUUGACUCUAUUAUAUACCCUUCAGUUCAAUAACAACAUGGAAUAAGAUGAAAAAAUUGUUCUUAGACAAGUUCUUCCCUGCAACAAGAGCUGCCAACAUCAAAAAAAAAAUUUGUGGCAUAACACAGUCACUGGGAAGCAUUGUAUGAGUAUUGGGAAAGGUUCAAGCAACUGUGUGCUAAAUGCCCACAUCAUCAAAUCUCUCUGCAACUCCCAAUCUAAUACUUCUAUGAAGGAUUGUUGCCAAUGGAUAGGAGUAUGAUUGAUGCAGCAAGUGGUGGAGCUUUGGUAGACAAGACACCUGAAGAAGUCAAGCAAUUGAUUUCAAACAUGGCUAAACAUUCUCAGCAAUUUGGUACAAGGGCUGAUGGAGCUACAAGGCGAGUUAAUGAGGUAAGCACUAAAAAUCUUGAAAAUCAAAUUUCUGAUUUAACUGCUUUGGUUCGUCAAAUGGCUGUAGGGCAAUUGCAAAUGGCAAAAGUUUGUGUAAUAUGUUUGAUCCAAGGACAUCUUACCGAUAUGUGCCCAACAUUGCAACAAGACUCGAUAGAAGAGGCUAAUGCUCUAGGCGGAUUUACUGGUCAACUUCAAAGGAAGUAUGACUCUUUUUCUAAUCAUUAUAAUCCUGGAUGGAGAGAUCACCCAAAUUUGAGCUAUGGAAACCAAGGAGGACAAUAAAAGUAUCCUUCCUAGAAUUUCAAUAGACAACCUCAAGCAUCAAAUUCAGGUAUGUCCUUGGAAGAUAUUGUUAAAAAUCUUGCUAACAAUAAUCUUCAAUUUCAACAGGAAACAAGGUCAAGCACACAGAAUUUAGGCAAUCAAAUAACUCAAUUGGCUAUGUCAGUUAGUAAAUUGGAAGCCCAAAAUUCUGGAAAACUACCUUCGCAACCAGAAAUAAAUCCAAAGAAGAACGUUAGUGCAAUUUCUCUAAGAAGUGGAGAGGAGAUUCCUUCAAGCUCGAUUCCACUUAAGGAAAGUGAAUUAAGCAAGAAAAAUGAAGAAGAAGCUUCCCCUAAGGCAUCACGUAGGGUAAAAUUUGAUCCUCCCCUAUCUCUUUCAUCUCACACUGCAUUACCUCCUUUCCCUAGCAGAUUAGCAAAACCAAAAGAAGAUGAGCAAGAAAAGGAGAUCUUGGAUACCUUUAAGAAGGUGGAGAUAAAUAUCUCAUUAUUGGAUGCUAUCAAGCAAAUUCCUAAAUAUGUUAAGUUCUUGAAGGAAUUGUGCACCAACAAAAGAAGAAUGUAGGAAAAGGAGAAAGUAGUGGUAAGUAAGAAUGUGUCGGCAAUCUUGCAAAAGAAUAUGCUAGAAAAAUGCAAGGAUCUAGGUAUGUUUUCAUUACCUUAUGUUAUUGGUAAUACGAAAAUUGAUCGUGCCAUAUUAGAUUUGGGAGCUUCCAUUAAUGUCAAGCCAUUUUCUAUUUAUCAAGAUUUAAAGCUAAAUGACUUGCAAAAAACUGGUGUAGUGAUUCAAUUAGCUGAUCGUUCUUUCAUUCAUCCUCUUGGGGUAGUUGAAGAUGUUUUGGUGCAGGUUAAUGAGCUCAUAUUUCCUGUCGACUUUUACAUUUUAGAAAUGGAUGGCAAUUCCUCAUCAAAAUCAGCCUCGAUUUUAUUAGGACGACCAUUCAUGAAAACUACUAAAACAAAGAUUAAUGUAGAUUAGGGUACUCUCUCCAUAGAAUUUAAUGGAGAGAUUGUAAAAUUUAAUAUUCUCGAUGCAAUUAAAUACCCUAAUGAUGUACAUUCUCUUUGCCAUAUUAAUGUAAUUGAUCCAAUUGUGCAGGAAGUAUUUGCAAAAGAAAGUGUUGAGCAAGAAUUAGAUGAAAAAUCUAAUUUUGAAGGAAAUGAUUAUGAGAUUGAUGUAGAAGAAUUAUUUUCAGCAACAUUAUCUGAACCGACAAAUUUCAAUGCUGAAAUUUCUAAUACUAAUGACAAGAUGUUACCUUCAAUUGUGUAGGCACCAAAACCUGAGCUAAAAGCUUUACCGGAUAGCCUAAAAUAUGUGUAUUUACGUGAUAAGAAAACAUUACAUGUCGUCAUCUCAAAAGGACUAACAAUGAAACAGGAAGGAAGAUUGAUUAAAGCUUUGAAGGAAUACAAGGUUGCAAUUGGUUGGACUUUGGCUGACAUAAAAGGCAUUAGUCCAUCAAUUUGCAUGCACAGGAUUUUGUUAGAGGACGAUGCUAAACCAUCAAGGGAACCACAAAGGAGGUUGAACCCAAUCAUGAAAGAAGUUGUCAUGAAAGAGAUACUCAAGCUGUUUGAUGGAGGUAUAAUCUACCCAAUCUCAUAUACAAAUGGGUAAGUCCAAUUCAUGUUGUCUCCAAGAAAACUGGAAUGACUGUGGUAAGGAAUUUGAACAAUGAACUUGUACCAAUGCGUGUGCAAAAUGGUUAGAGAAUGUGUAUGAAUUUUAGGAAGCUUAAUCAAGUAACUAGAAAAGAUCAUUUUUCCUUACCUUUCAGUGACCAAAUGUUAGAACGAUUAGCAUGCAGAUCUCUCUUCAAGUUCCUAUUGCACAAGAAGAUCAAGAAAAAACAACAUUCACUUGUCCUUUCGGAACCUAUGCUUAUAGGCGAAUGCCUUUUGGCCUCUGUAAUGCCCUAGGUACGUUUCAAAGAUGCAUGAUGAGUAUUUUUUCUGAAUAUAUUAAGAAAUGCAUUGAAGUAUUUAUGGAUGACUUUACUGUGUAUAGGGAUUCAUUUGAUUAAUGCUUAGAUAAUUUAACCAAAGUUUUAAGAAGAUGCACAGAGACAAACUUGGUUUUAAAUUAUGAGAAGUGUCAUUUUAUGGUCACCCAAGGCAUUGUAUUAGGGCAUGUGGUCUCCUCCAAAAGUAGACAUAAAUUUGAACAGGUUGUCGAAGCCUUUCAAAAUAAAUUACUGAUUUUCCUAAAUUAACUUGUAGAGAUAGUGAAACCAGGUCGAAUCCCAAGGGAAAGAAUGUGGAUAGCUUCUCAAGGUAAAAUAAAAAUAGGGGGAUUUUGAAUGUUUGAAUCAAAAUUAUAAAUAAACAAAAAAUGAUGAAGGUUGAAUAUUAAAGUAAAUAAAAAUCAAUCUUAACAAAUUUUCAAUUCAAGAGUGCUAAUUCUAUCCAAUUAUAAUCAUGAUCAUAGGCUAAAAUAUUAACUCUUAUAUUCAAGUACUUAGUCUACUUAUUCAAAAAAGCCGCAACAAGUGUAAUUCUCCUAAUAUAAUGGACUCAAACCCAACAUCCAAAUCAAAACUUACCAUUAGUCAACUGGGCACGAUAGCGUUCCAUGUCAACUUAAUCAUAGCAUUAAGAAUAAUGAGAAUGACUAAAUCGACAUUAAUUAAUUGAGAUAUCUGCAAUUGAAUUAACAUUGUUCCUUUAUUUCCCUAGAGCCUAUCAUACAAGCUAUGUAAUUCGAAUAAGCCGCAAUCACACACACAUGAGUCAGCUCCUUGCUACUUGUGUCAAUCGUUCAUGACAAUUACGGAUCAUAAACUCAAAGUUUAGCAGUAGAAAAAUCAAUAUCAAAAUUGAGUCAUCAGUUCAAUCAAUAUCAGUAAUUCAUAAAUAAUAAAAACAAGAAAUAAAGAAUACUUGAAUUAAAGAAGAAUUCUGUUAAGCACAAAGCCUCACAAAACCACAAUUGGAAUUUAUUCACUCUUGAAUUAGAAACUAAAAACUUAGCCACAUAUGGUGGAGUAAGAAUUCACAAGAAAAGAAUUAUAGGGAAUAGAAGAAGAAGAAGAAUAAGAAUAAAUAAAAGUACCUCCAAUCGUCCUUAUAUAGGAAGUAAAACUCCUAAACCCUAAUAAGAGAAUCCUUAUAAAAAAGAAAUAAGCUUCCUAUAUGAUCUUAUCCGUAUAAGGAAGGAUAAGAUAAAAAGUAAUCUAAACAAAUUAAAAUCCUAAAUACACGGGAGAAAGUUCUCCUUAUCCAAUACUUCCAAAAAUAAAGGAAAUUAAUUAAAGAUAGGUCCACCACAAAUUUAUCUCUGAAAAAUUCGAAACUCUCUUUUGCAAGUUUUAGCAGCUCAUGGGUUGUAAGGCGUGAUCACGCCUUAUUGACAAUGGUCUUCUAUAUAGAUUUCUACGGAGCUUAUGGGUUGUAAGGCGUUGUCAUGCUUUAUUGAAAAUGAUCUUCUGUGCAGAUUUCUGCAUUUCCUCCAAAAGACUUGGUUUUGGACAAGUGAUGACUUAAAAUAUGUCUUUAGGCUGAAUUUCGCUCAAUCUUUGAUAUUUCAUCACCUAAGUCAGAAUAAAUAGAAUUUCCAUAAUUAAGUAUAUUAUUCGAUCAAAUUGUAAGGGAAUUAAACACGAUAAGUAUAACUAUUUAUGACCUAUCAGUUCUCCUUUGGAUUUAUUUCUGGUUGUGAAGGUAGUUUUCCAUAAUUUUGAGCCUCCAAUUUACUAACCGACGUAGCCAAUUGAGUAAUUUGAUUGCCUAAAUUCUGAAUGCUUGACCUUGUUUUCUGUUGAAAUUAAAGAGCAUUGUUAGCAAGAUUUCUAAUAAUAUCUUCCAAGGACAUACCAGAAUUUGAAGCUUAAGGUGGUCUAAUGAAAUUCUGGGAAGGAUACUUUUGUUAUCCUCCUCGGUUUCCAUAGCUCAAAUUUGGGUGAUCUCUCCAUCCAGGAUUAUAAUGAUUGGAAAAAGGGUCAUACUUCCUCUGAGGUUGACCAAUAAAUCCGCCUAGAGCAUUAGCUUCUUGCAUAGAGUCUUAUUGCAAUGUUGGGCACAUAUCAGUGGAUGUCCUUGAACUGAGCAUAUUCCAUAAACUUUUGCCAUUUGCAAUUGCCCUACAGCCAUUUGACGAACCAAAGCAGUUAAAUCAGAAAUUAGAUUUUCAAGAUUUUUAGUGUUUACCUCAUUAACUCGCCUUGUAGCUCCAUCAGCUCUUGUACCAAAUUGCUGAGAAUUUUCAGCCAUGAUUGAAAUCAAUUGCUUGGCUUCUUCAGGUGUCUUAUCUACCAAAGCUUCACUACUGGCUGUAUCAAUCAUACUCCUAUCUAUUGGCAACAAUCCUUCAUAGAAGUAUUGGAUUAAGAGGUGCUAAGAAAUUUGGUGAUGGGGACAGCUAGCACACAAUUGCUUGAACCUUUCCUAAUACUCAUAUAAUGUUUCUCCAGUGAACUGUGUUAUGUCAUAAAUUCCUUUUCUAAUGUUAGCAACUCUUGUUGCAGGGAAAAAUUUAUCUAAGAAUAAUCUUUUCAUCUCAUUACAUGUUAUUAUUGAACCGGAGGGUAGAUAAUAGAGCCAAUAUUUUACUUUAUCCUUCAAAGAAAAGGGGAAAGCUUUAAGAUUUAUUUGCUCUUCGGUCACACCAUGUGGCUUCAUACCGGAGCACACAAUAUGAAAUUCUUUCAAGUUUUUAUGAGGACCUUCACUUGCACAUCCACGAAAAGAAGGGAGUAAGUGAAUUAAGCCAGAUUUUAAUUCAAAAUCAACUGCAAUAUUAGAAAAUAUAAUGUAUAAAGGUUGUUGAUUCAAAUCCGGCGCGGCUAGCUCUUUGAGAGUUUUGUUCACCAUAUUUUCUGCAACUUCUUAAAAAAUAUAUGUGUCACCAAUAGUCAAAUCUAUCUCCAGCUCCUCUAUGAGACAACUUUUUCUUUGCCUAGUCUCCUUUCUUAAUCGACUCGUUGUCUUUUCAAUUUCAGGAUUAUACUGCAAAUCAAUAGCUUCAGAAGAAUGAGUCAUAAAUAAAUAAGUUAAACAAUGAGAAACUAAAAUAGGCUCCCGAGCAAUAGCGCCAAAUUUGAACGGGUUGUCGAAGCCCUUCAAAAUAAAUUAUUAAUUUUCUAAACUAGCUUGUAGAAAUAGUGAAACCAAGUCGAAUCCCAAGGGAACCAAUGUGGAUACUUCUCAAAGUUAAAUAAAAAUGGAGAGAUUCUGAAUAUUUGAACAAAAUUAUAAAUAAACAGAAAAUAAUGAAGGCUGAAUAUUAAAGUAAAUAAAAAUCAAUCUUAACAAACUUCCAAUUCAAGAGUGCUAAUUUCAUCCAAUUGUAAUCAUGAUUAAAGGCUAAAAUAUCAAUUUUUAUAUUCAAGUACGUAGUCUACUUAUUCGGAAAAGUUGUAACAAGUGUAAAUUCUCCUAAUAUAAUUGACUCAAACCCAGUAUCCAAAUUAAAACUUACCAUUAGUGAACUGGCCACGAUGCCGUUCCAUAUCAACUCAAUGAUAGCAUUAAGAAUAAUAAGAAUAACUAAACCAACAUUAAUUAAUUGAAAUAGCUGCAAUUGAAUUAACCUUGUUCCUUUAUUUCCCUAGAGCCUAUCAUGCAAGGUAUGUAAUUUGAAAAGGCCGCAAUCACACACACAUGAGCCAGCUCCUUGCUACUUUUGUCAAUCGUUCAUGACAAUUACGGAUCACAAACUCAAAGUUUAGCAAUAGAAAAAUCAAUAUCAAAAUUGAAUCGUCAGUUCAAUUAAUAUUUAAAAUUCAUAAAUAGUAAUAAUAAGGAACAAAGAAUACUUGAAUCAAAGAAGAAUUCUGUUAAACAUAAAACCUCACAAAAUCACAAUUGGAAUUUAUUCACUCUUGAAUCAGAAACUAUAAACUUAUCCACACCUAGUGGAAUAAAAAUUCAUAAGAAAGGAAUAGAAGAAGAUGGAAGAAAAAUAAUAAUAAUCUCAAAGUACUCAGCCUCCUCUACUUGGUAGAACUAGUCUCCUUAUAUAAGAAGUCAAACCUAAAUCCUAAUAAGAUAAUCCUUAUAAAAAAUAAAUAAACUUCCUAUAUGAUCUUAUCCCUAUAAGGAAGGAUAAGAUAAAGGGUAAUCUAAACAAAUUAAAAUCCUAAAUACAUGGGAGUAAGUUCUCUUUAUCCAAUACUUCAAAAAUAAAAGAAAUUAAAUAAAUGUGGGUCCACCACGAAUUUAUCUUGAAAAUUUAAAAUUCUCUUUUGCAGAUUUCAGCAGCUCACGGAUUGUAAGGCUUGUUCACGCCUUAUUGAAAAUGAUCUUCUGCCUAAAUUGUUGCUCUUCCUCCAAAAGACUUGGUUUCUAACAAGUGAUGCCUUAAAACAUGUCUUUAGGCUGAAUUCUACUUAAUACUUGAUAUUUCACCACCUAGGUAAAAAUAAACAUAAUUUCCACAAUUAAGUAUAUUAUUCAAUCAAAAUGUAAGGGAAUUAAACACUAUAAGUAUAACUAUUUAUGAUCUAUCACUCGGCUCCUUGCAAGUCAUGCUCUUUAGGAAAAUUAUCAAAAAUUCCUUUAGCUUUAGUUACUCAUCAUUCUUCUACUCUUUUUAAAAUUGUAUAUUUUUAUGUUUGGGGUCCAUCUCUGAUACUUUCAAAUGUCAGAUACAAGUAUUUUGUGUGCUUUAUUGAUCACUUCACUAGAUUUACAUGGAUCUUCUUUCUUAAGAAUAAAAGUGAUGUCAAUGACAUAUUUCUUAAUUUUCAAGCUUAUGUUGGCAAUCAAUUUCAUACUAAUAUAAAGGUUGUUAACUCUGAUUGGGGAGGGGAAUACCAAUGUUUAAACAAGUAUUUUAAGAGCCAAGGCAUUGUUCAUCGUAUCACAUGUCCCUAUACACAUGAGCAAAACGGUGUAGCUAAAAAUUAGACAUAUUGUAGAUACAGGUCUUACACUAUUAGCUCAUAGCUCACUUAAUUUUCAUUUUUGGCCAUAUUCUUUUGAUACUGCAGUUUCUCUAAUUAAUGGCACGCCCACUCCUCUUCUUAAUAAUCAAUCAUCAUUCUCUAAGCUAUAUAAUAAACAGCCUAAUUAUCAAAAUCUUAAUAUACUUAUUACUUUGACCUUAAUAUCCUCACAAAUUUCAAUUUUGCACGAAACCAUGUGUCUAUUUAGGUCCUUCAACUUCUCAUUAUAGUCAUCGAUGCCUUGAUCUCGAAAUUUAUCGUAUAUAUAUUGCUCACCAUGUUAAAUUUGAUGAAACCUCUUUUCCAUGCAAAGUUGCUAAAAUUUCGCAAGAACAUGAGUCUAACUUUGCACCAGAUUCCUCUUGGCUCCAACUAACUACAAGUCUGGUUCAGCCCUUCUUAGGUACACAUUCCUUGUCACCUUCCACCUCUAUUUUAAAUAUAAAUUCUAUUUUAUCUCUCUCUCCUACUUCUUGGCUACUAAAUCUUUCAAAUUCUAAAUCUCCUACUCCCACUCCAUCGCCCAACUCUCUCUCACCUAGCACUCAAAAUUUGAAUGUAGAAUCAUCACUGCCCAUAUCUUCUUCCUCUACCAAUCUUAAUUCAAAUUUGGCUUUACCUUUAGUCAUUGAUCUCACAUCAUACCAACCUCAUCUGAAAUCUCCAUCACCACAACAAACUCGUACUCAUUCCAUGCAACUUCGUUCAUCAACUUUUUUAAAACGCACUGCCCUACUCUCUCAAUCCCUCUCCUUUUUAUCACCGCCAGAAUGUGAACCCACCAGUUUUACUCAAGCUAAUAAACAUUCAGUUUGGAAAGUAGCUAUGCAGAAGGAAUACAAAGCACUUGUGGACAACAAUACUUGGAUAUUAGUUCCACGACCUACUCAUUAGCAUGUGGUUGGCAAUAAAUGGGUUUUUCACAUCAAACGGAACCCUGAUCAUUCUGUGGCGCGCUGCAAAGAACGGCUAGUCGCUAAAAGAUACAAUCAUCACAGCAUUGACUAUAGUGAGACAUUUAGUCUGGUUGUGAAAGCUUUAACAAUUCACACCAUUGUUGCUAUUCAUAAGUGGAAGCUUCAUCAACUUGACAUCUUUAAUGAAUUUCUUCAUGGUUUUGUUGAAGAAAAUGUCUUUAUGGAACAGCCUCAAGGCUUCAAAGAUUCUCUUAAUCUUGAUUAUGUAUGUCAUUUACAAAGAUCAUUCUAUGGAUUAAAGCAAGCACCCCAUGCCUGGUUCCAAAGGUUAAGUUCUUUUCUUUACAAUCUUAGCUUCCAUAUCUUUAAGGCCGACUCUUCCUUAUUUAUAUUUUGAUAUGAAGGCCAUACCAUUUUAAUGCUUAUUUAUUUGAUGACAUUAUUGUCAUUGGAUCAUCUCAUGUGUUGAUAAACCACUUUCUUCGACAUCUCAAGUCUGAAUUUUCGGUUAAAGAUAUUGGCCAGCUUAAUUUAUUUCUAGGCAUUGAAGUUACUCAAGCCGAACAUGGUAUUUAUCUUCAUCAACAAAAAUAUAUUCUCGAUUUGCUUAUUAAGACAGGUUUACAAGAUCAAAUGGCUGCCUCACUCCUAUGGCAAGUACUCCCCCUCUCCACAAAGUAGAUAGCCCUCUCUUUGAUUCUCCUAAGUUGUAUCGAUAAACCAUUGAUACCUUACAGUAUGCUACCAUGACCCGACCUGAUAUAGCUUUUACUGUCAACAAGCUUUGGCAAUAUAUGCAUCGUCCUACUGAAAAUCAUUGGUUCACUGUUAAAAGACUCCUUCGGUACUUGAAAUACUCUAUCACUAAUACUCUAUUCUUUGCUCAUGAUUCAUCACUUGAUCUCCAAUGUUUUUAAGAUAGUGAUUGGGGAGGCUGUCCUGAUGAUAGGCGGUCUGCUAGUGGCUAUGCCAUUUAUAUUGGAAAGUCUAUUGUAUCAUGGAGUGCCAAGAAACAACCUACAAUUGCUAGGUCAUCAAUUGAAAGUGAGUACAAGGCUCUUGCCAACACCACUGCUGAACUUUUAUGGAUUUAAUCUCUGUUGCGAGAGAUUGGUAUGCUUUCUUCUUCGCCUGCUAUCUUGUGGUGUGACAAUAUUGGAGCGAUUUACUUAUCCUCUAAUCUAGUUUUUCGUGCUCGUACCAAGCAUAUUGAGCUCGACUACCAUUUUGUAAGGGAACAAAUGGUGUUAGGCAUCAUCCAACUUGGUACACUGGGUGUUCGAUUGUUUCAGCAGCAUUGCUUUCAUCUUCAUCUUCAACCUCACCCACCAUUAGCUUGCCGGCGGGUAUCAAGGAAACCCUAGCUUAACUGCCUAACAACCUUCCCUUGUAUUUCAAAUUAUAGUUUGUAUAAGAUAUAUUAUUAGAUAUUCCAGUUGUAUAUUUUAUUUUCAAUAGUUGUUAUGUAAUCUAUAGAUAUAUCUAGAGCUGUACUCUUUAAAAUAUCAAUAUAUACAAAAUCAUCUUCUUCUCUAAUGAGUCUUGGUAUUAUCCGCUAUUUAUCAAUCAUCCAUCCUCAGAUCACCCUAUAUGCAGAAAUUACAUAAUUAAAUUUAUAAUUUCAACUUUUUUGACAAAUUACAAUUUUUUAGUUAAAUAUCUUAAAUCUAAAUAUUUUUAAAUUUAAAAUAUUUAUUUGAAAGUUCAUUUCAAACAUAAGAAUUAAUUGGAAAAUUACUAAAAAAAUAAAUUCUAUGUAACACUUACAUUAAAAUAUAAAUGGUUUUAAUUAUAAGACAACCCCUAAAUGCCAUUGCAGAAUGUUUUUACACUAUUUUUUAAUUAAAAACAGAAAUUUUAAUAUGCCAAUAAAUAAAAUUAUACUAAUUAUGUAAAAAUAAUUAAGUAUCUGAAUUUAUAUUAAAAUAAUUAAAAUUAUCUGUUAUAGCGCAAAAAUCUAGCGAAACAUAUAUUUUAGCUUUCUUGAUCUUCUAGUUCUCCAACUAUAGAACUUCUAGUCUGUCCAUAGAGAGGAAUAGAGGCAAUAUUAUAGAGAUUUGAUCUUCUUCUUUGUCAAACCCUUUUACCAAAACCAAUUUUUAGAUGCAUUUUUUCUUACAGCCAUCAAGAUCUCAACAAUGUUUUUUUUUAAAGACUAUAUUGUAUUGUCCGCAUAAACGAUAACUAUUCUAUAUAUAUAUAUAUAUAUAUAUGUAUUAAAAUAAUAUUCUAAGUAUUACUUAUUAAAUAAUAUAUUUAUUUUUUAAAUAAUUUAUAUAUAUAUAUAUAUAUAAAUUAAAACUUCUUUUAACUUUUACUUUUUACCUCUUUUGAUAAAUGUAAAUUAUUUUUUUAUUUUAACCAUUUAACUAAAAUAUAUUUAAUUUCUGGAAUAAAUUACUAACACCGUCAAGAGAAGCUGGUAUAGUGCAAGAGAUUACAGAGGUAAGGUAGUAUUCUGCAUGGCCACAAAACUGUCCCUUCCAUAUGGUGCUUAUAUAUGACUAGAACUGGAAAGCUUGCACAACUUUGCAGGAUGCAGUUUUUGGCAAACUCUCAGCCUUUUAUUUAUCUCAUUUGCUAUUUUCUCUUUUUUUUUUUUUUUUUUGUUACACAAUGUAAUAAUUUUCACUAUAACCUCUCCCAUUUACAAGGCGAAGCAUAUGAUUACUCGGUUGGUUAAAUGCUAUUAAUGAAAAUAGUAAUUCAUUAUUCUUAACCAAAUAAGGCCGGGAGACUUCUCGAUUCAUUAUGCUAUUGUUCUAGGAUUACAUACAACCACAAUGAAAUAAAAUAAAUCACUAUUUUACACCAAACAUAAAUAUUGAAUCGCUAUUAUGAAUUGCCAUCAAUUUACGUUGGAUAGUAUUCAAUGCUUGACAUAGAUUUUUUUUUUUUUUUUUUUUUGAGGGUAAAGCAGUGUCAAACCAAAAUACUUAACAAGCAUUAUAUCUCUAUAAAAAGGAGGUGAUCCAACCGCACUUUUCAGUACUACUUUGUUACAACUUCAUUUCAGUCACUAAUCUUGUCUUCGGCAUUCCCCUCCUUGCUGUUAAGGUAACGACUUUGGCAUGGAAUACGAUACGUAUGGCCAGCUCCCAUAGUGGUUACAGGGCUUAAUCUAAAAGUAGUGCCUAGCUAUCUCUCCAUUCAAUAUAGCGACGGAAUACAACACGUAUAAUCAUUGACAAUGCUUGUUGAUCGAAAUCUAUGAUUUCUUCUUUAAAUAUUUACCAGACCCAUUAUAUAGGUCACACUUAUAAAUUUAAUUUAACAAUAAGUAUAUUUAUCUCAAUAUGAAUAAAAUAUAAAGUUUGAAUAUUCCUUCCCCAUUUGUAAUGAGAAACUUCAUCCACUUGUAAUGGGAAAAAUAAAUAUUAUGUGAUUCUUAAAGAUUUAACGCCCAGUUAUCAAAAAUCAAGAAGGAGCCAUGAGACCUAAGGCUUGGUCUUGUUCUUGUCCUCUAUUGAUAAGUCAUUCACCACAAUUUAAGCACUUGGCACGAGCCAUGAGACAUAAGGCUUGGUCUUGGUUUUGUCCUCUAUUUAUCAAUCAUUCACUCCAAUUUAAGUACUUGGCACGAGCCAUGAGACAUAAGGCUUGGUAGUGGUCUUCUCCUCUAUUUAUCAAUCAUUUCCCCCAAUUUUAGCACUUGGCACGUUAUUAUUUGAAAGAAAGAAAAAAAAAAAAUUGUAUGUUUUCGUGUAAGAAGUAACAACCAAGUAUUUAAGGGUGACCUGAUCCAUAAAGAUAACAGUUCUACCCACCGAGUGAUAUGCAAAAAAAUUAUUUUAAAAUUUUUAAUAUAAUAUAUUAAUAAAAUAAAAAGAGAUAUGUAAUUAUAAUUAUGGAAAAAAUAUAUUUCAUUAUUAGAAAAUUUUAAUUUUUAAAAAGUUAAAUAUAUUUAUUUUAAUCAACAUAUUCUAUGUAUUCAAUAAUAUAAAUUUAAAAUUUAAGUUUAUAAUUUCUUUUUUUGACCGUUAGAUCAUAUUCAGUGAUUUGAUAAAAUCAGUUUGAUAGUCAAAUAAUAAAAUUAGAAAUUGUUAAUUUUUAAAUUCUCAUUAUCAAACACGAGCAGCAUAAUAAUGAUGAUUAAUUGGAGGCAAGAUGACUAAAUUCUUAUAAAUUGAAACAUUUUAACAGCGAGAUACCUUUUUUUAUCAUGAUUUACAAUUACAUAUCUCUUUAUCUUAAAAACACAUACUAAUAGUUAUAAAAUAAUGAAAUUAUAUGGUACUUUUUUGUACUUAUCUCUUUAUUUUAUUAAACUGUGAAGUAUAACAAUAUGAAAUUUUAUUGAGUAAAUAGCUCUGUUGGUACUAAAAAAUUUAGCCUAUGUUUUCAGUUGAUACCAAUACUUUAAAUUUUUUCUUUUUCAUACCAAAACUUUAAUCUUCAUUAUAGACAAUAGUGUCUAUUGGAAAUCCAUUUAAUUUCUUAUGACGUAAAGGGCGGAGCUCCACAUCAGCAUUCCAAUCUAACUUUUAAUGGUGCUAUUCUUAAUUAUUAUUUUAUUUUAUUUUUAAAAUUUUUCAAAUUACUUUUAUAAAAAACAAGUAAAUUUAUUGAUAUUUUUUUUAAAAGCAAGUUGAACAAAAUAAUUUAUAAAAGAUUUUAAAAGUUAAUAUUUUAAAUCGAAAAAAAUCUAGAUCUGAUUUUCUAAUACCUAACAGCAAAACUAGACAUACAAUAAAUGUCCUGCAUAAACUUUGAUGGAUAAAGAAAAGAUGAAUAAAAAUCAGAAGAUAAAUAAAUAACAAGGUGGAACAUAUAAGAGUUUAAAUAUAUUAUGUACUAAAGAAUGUAGUCCUUAAUUAUUCAUCCACUUAUCAAAGCUACAUAACAUUUUCAUUAUUCCUAGCCAAAUAAAGUUAUUUUCAAGCAAAAUCUAGAAGCAUAACUAAUAAAUUCAAAAUCAAAAUGAAAUCAAACAUAAUAUAAAUUCAAAUAUAUAAUAAUAGAUUUAUCCUACUAACCUUUAGCAACUCUGGUUGUAAUGGCAUCUUACCUAGUACCCUAAAGUGUAAAUCCUAGUCAAGCAUAUGCAGAUAAUAUGCCUCAAAAGGCAACCACUUAGUAUAUAUUCUAAGCAAUAUACAUAAUCAAUGUUGAUUCUUUUGAUCUCUGAUUUGUCAGAUAUUGCAUCCGGACAGAACCCUACAUUUUUUGUGAUUUCUUCACUUUUCUUCUCUUCUUGUUAAUUCUCUUGUGUAUGAACUUAUUGGUGGGUUGUGAGUUGUUGUGAACUGAAUUGGAUUCAUUUUGCCCUCAAUUUUAUCAUAAUAAGAGAAGAAGUAAGGGCGGACUCCUUAUACGUCUCGUGGUUUUUACUCUUCAUAUUGAAAGGGUUUUCCACGUAAAAAUAUCGUGCGUUGGUUGAUUUAUUUUCUGCAUUAUCAUGUUUAUAUGCCUGCUGUCCACAAUUGGUUUUGCGCGUAGUUAUUUGAUUUGGUGAAUUAAUUAUAUACAAUUGGGUAGUGUUUUUUGGUUGAUUGUCUUAUGUUGAUCUUGUGGGUAUUGUCGAGAUACCCCUUGGGUCUUACAGUUGGUAUCAGAGCUGAGGUUUAAUUUGUCUGUUAUUAUGGAGUUAAGUAGUAGCAGUUCAAUGGUGAAAUUGACAUCAACUAAUUAUUCCAUCUGGAGACCGAUGAUGGAGGACUUGUUGUAUUGUAAAGACUUGUAUGACCCAAUUGAUGUUGCCACUGAUUCUAGUGGUUACAUUAUUAAACCCACAAAACCAGAUAAGAUGGAAGAUAAAGAAUGGGAAAAGUUGAAAAGAAAAACUUUAGGAUGGGUUGAUAUUAGCAUUUUCAACCAUGUGUCUCAAGAGUCCGACCCAUAUGAUUUGUAGAAGAAAUUGGAAGGUCUGUAUGAAAGAAAAACUGCUCAUAACAAAGCUUCAUUGAUAAAGAGACUUGUUAAUUUGAAAUUGAAAGGUGGAAAGUCUGUGUCUGAGCAUCUUAGUGAUUUUUAAGAUAUCAUUAACAAGCUGACUACUAUGAAGAUUGUUCUUGAUGAUGAAUUGCAGGCUUUGUUCUUGUUGAGUUCUUUGCCAGAUAGUUGGAAAAUCUUGGUUGUGACUAUUAGUAACUCUGCUCCGGAUGGUGUGCUAUCUUUGGAUGUCAUCAAAGAAAGCAUGUUUAAUGAAGAGAUCAGAAGAAAGGAGAUGGGAGUUGAUAAUUCACAUGCUCUUGUUAUUGAGAACAGAGGAAGAAGCAAGAGUAAGGGUCCCAAAGGCCGUGGUAAUUCAAAGGGAAGGUCCAAGUCUCGAGAUGGCAACAACGAGACUAGGACAUGUCACUACUGCAACAAACCUGGUCAUGUGAAUAAGUUUUGCUACCGAUGGAAGAAAGAGCAAGGUAAGAAGCAAGAUUCACCAAAGGAAGCAGAUGAUAAAAACACUUUAGCAACGGUGUCAAAAGAUGAGGAUGAGGUUGCCUUUGUUUGUGCAACAAAGGAAUGUCAUCACAUUGAUGGUUCAAAUUCAGAAUGGCUGGUAGAUUCAGGAGCUUCAUACCAUUAUAGUCCUAACAGGGAGUACUUCAUGAACUACAAAGCAGGAGACUUUGGUAGUGUGAAAAUGGGUAACAAGAGUUCAGCAAGCAUUGUUGGACUAGGUGAUAUUUGUGUGAAGAAAAGUGUUGGGUGCAAGCUUACAUUGAAGAAUGUGCGCCAUAUUCCAGAUCUACGCCUCAAUCUGUUGGCUACAAAUGUCUUUGAUAAAGAGGGCUAUCGGUAUAGUUUUGGUGAUGGUAGAUGGAAACUCUCUAAGGGUUCAAUGAUUGUUGCUCGUGGAGAGUUGUGUUGCACUUUGUAUAAGACAUACUUGAGUGUAUGUUCUGGUGAGGCGAAUGCAGUUGAAGACAAGAAUUCACCUAACUUGUGGCAUUGGAGAUUGGGACACAUGAGUGACAGAGCAAUAAAAUUGUUAGCAGGUAAAUCUCUUAUUCCUGUUAAUAAAUCUGUUACACCUGACCCCUGUGAUUAUUGUUUAGCAGGAAAGCAACAAAGAGCUUCCUUUUCUAAGAAGUCUACCAGGAAGCAGGUCAAGUUGGAGUUGGUACACUCUGAUGUUUGUGGUUCUAUUGAAGUGGAAUCUCUUGGUGGCAAUCGUUACUUUGUCACUUUCAUUGAUGAUGCUACUCGGCAAAACUUGGGUGUAUAUGUUAAAGAAUAAGAGCCAAGUGUUCAAGACAUUUUAGAAAUUCCAUGCCAUGGUAGAAAGGGAGACAGACAGAAAGUUGAAGCGUCUUCGAACUGACAAUGGUGGUGAGUAUACGUCUACAGAGUUCAAGAAUUAUUGUUCACUUCAUGGCAUUAGACACGAGAGGACAGAGCCCGGUACACCACAACACAAUGGAGUUGCAGAGAGGAUGAAUAAAACCAUUGUGGAGAAGGCAAGGUGUAUGCUUAAAAUGUCUAAUCUUCCUAAGAUAUUUUGGGGUGAAGUAGUACAUUAUGUAGUGUACUUACUUAACCGAUCUCCUUUGAUUCCUCUUGAUCUUGACAUUCCAUAUAGGUUAUGGAAAGGGUGUGACCCUUCUUAUUUACAUUUGAGAGUCUUUGGAUGUAAGGCAUACAUGCAUGUGCCGAAAGAGCAAAGAUCAAAAUUGGAUUCCAAGACUAAUCCUUGCAUAUUUGUUAGUUAUGGUGAUGAAGAGUAUGGUUUUAGACUAUACGGCCCUGAGAAGAAGAAGAUAGUAAGAAGCAGAGAUGUAGUAUUCUUUGAGCACGAGAUGGGUGCACAUCUUCUGAGUACGAAGUACACUUCUACUUCAGAGCUGUCUUUUGAUACUACUCAUGUUUCUUCUUCUACUUCUUCUGUUGUUCAGCCAACAUAUGACAUUGUUGAGGUGACACCUGAUGGUGAUGUUGGUGAGGUACAACCUGAUGCUAAUGUACCAGAAAAUGAUGAAGCUAGCGAUCUUGAUGAGUCUUCAUCAAAAGAGGACGAAAUGCAUGAAGAUGAACAUCAUGAAGCAGAUAAUCAUGGUGAAGAGGUUCAUGAGCAGGGGGAGCAGCCUACCCAUCAAGUUGAGGAUACACAUGUCUGAAGGUCGACAAGAGAACGCAAACCUUCAACAAAGUAUCCAAGUUCAGAGUCCAUUCUUAUCACUGAUGAAGGAGAGCCAAAGAACUAUCAAGAAGUGUUAUCUCUUGACAAGAAAAAUGUGUGGCUCGAUGCUAUAAAGGACGAGAUGGAUUCCUUACAGAAGAAUGAGACUUAUGAGCUAGUGAAGCCUCCCAAAGGCAAGAAGAUCUUGAAAAAUAUAUGGGUUUUCAAGAACAAGAAAGAUGGUGAGAAGAUUGUAAAGCGGAAAGCUAGGCUUGUGGUAAAAGGGUGCAAUCAGAAAAAAGGCAUUGAUUUUGAUGAGAUCUUCUCUCUUGUUGUCAAAAUGACUUCUAUCAGAGCCAUUUUGGGUUUAGCAGCAAGUCUUGAUUUGGAGUUGGAGCUGCUUGAUGUAAAAACAGCUUUCUUACAUGGUGACUUGCAUGAAGAGAUCUACAUGGAGCAGCCUAAAGGAUUCAAAAAAAAUGGGAAUGAAAAGCUUGUUUGCAAAUUGAAGAAGAGUCUUUAUGGGCUAAAACAGGCAUCAAGGCAAUGGUACCGGAAAUUUGAUUCGUUUAUGACAAGUAAUGAUUAUAAACGGACUUCUGCUGAUCCUUGUGUGUAUUUCAAGAAAUUUUCUGGAGGUAACUUCAUCAUCCUUCUUCUAUAUGUAGAUGAUAUGAUGAUAGUUGGACAAGAUGCAGGGAUGAUUUCCUGUUUGAAGGCAGACUUGUCCAAGUCAUUUGAUAUGAAAGAUUUGGGUCCUGCAAAGCAAAUCUUAGGCAUGGAGAUUGCUCGUGACAGGAAGGUUAAGAAGUUGUGGUUAUCAUAAGAGAAGUAUAUUGAACGGGUGCUUGAAAGGUUUAAUAUGAAGAAUGCAAAAUCGGUUAGUACACCACUUGGUACUCAUUUCAAACUUAGUAAGAAAGCUUGUCCUACAACAGAGAAAGAGAAAGAAUUUAUGUCAUCUAUUCCUUACUCCUCUGUUGUUGGUUCUUUGAUGUAUGCUAUGGUGUGUACUAGACCAGAUAUUACACAUGCUGUUGGAUUAGUGAGUAGAUACUUAUCCAAUCCGGGUAAGGCUCACUGGAAAGCUGUGAAGUGGAUCUUCAGAUACUUGCGAGGCACUUCCAAACUGAGUUUAUGUUAUGGAGGUGACAAGCAUAUUCUUGAAGGCUAUACAGAUGCAGACAUGGCAGGGGAUCUUGAUAAUAGAAAGUCUACCUCAGGUUAUGCGUUUAUAUUUUCAGGGGGAGACAUUUCAUGGCAAUCCAAGCUACAAAAAUAUGUAGCAUUGUCAACUACUGAGGCAGAGUAUAUAGCAGCUGUGGAAGCAAGGAAAGAGAUGUUGUGGCUUAAGAGGUUCCUUCGAGAGUUGGGGUUGAAGCAAGGUGAGUAUGUAGUAUUCUGUGAUAGUCAGAGUGCUAUGGAUUUGAGCAAGAAUGCAAUGUACCAUGCUCGCACUAAGCAUAUUGAUGUUAGAUAUCAUUGGUUGCAAGAUGUGAUUGAGGAGAAGCAUUUGAAGCUGAAGAAAGUCCACACCGACAAGAAUGGUGCGGAUAUGUUGACUAAGGGAGUUCAUGUAAGCAAACUUGCUGUUUGUAGUAAGCUUGCAGGAUUGAAGUUUAAGUGAUCAUGGAGGUGAUCAUCUUCCCCGUGUCGAGCUGGAGGGGGAGAUUGUUAUGGGUCCAGCUCUUUGUUGCAUAAGUUAUUUCAUUUAAUUUAUGCUUGUUAUAUUUUUUUUUGGUUUAGUCCAAAAAUAUUAUGGUGGUAUGUUUAUCCCUUUUAUGGGUUAUGGGCCAGCUUCUUUGAGAAGCUUGAAGAGGUGUGUGCUGUAGCCUAAGAGAGAAAGUAGGGGACAGCAAGGCUAGGGUGAAAAACACACAAAAAUCACAAGAGGGAAGCUAAAGGGUUAGAGGAGGUGCUGCUGUUUUUCGAAUUUUCUGAAACAGCCUUCACUAAAAUGGAUAAUGCCGGAGUUUCAACCGUCGGAUCGUGCUGAAAUUUUGAUCAGCUUGUUGAGGACAUAUAGGGCUUCAAAUUCAAUGGUUGGAUCGUUCGUUUGAUCUCUGGUUUGUCAGAUAUUGCAUCCAGACAGAACCCUACGUUUUUGGUGAUUUCUUCACUUUUCUUCUCUUCUUGUUAAUUCUCUUGUGUAUGAACUUGUUGGUGGGUUGUGAGUUGUUGUGAACUGAAUUGGGUUCAUUUUGCCCUCAAUUUUAUCAUAAUAAAUCACGUUUUUGGUGAUUUAUUUUCUGCAUUAUCAUGUUUAUAUGCCUGCUGUCUACAGUUGGUUUUGCGCGUAGUUAUUUGAUUUGGUGAAUUAAUUAUAUACAAUUGGGUAGUGUUCUUUUGUUGAUUGUCUUGUGUUGAUCUUGUGGAUAUUGUCAGGAUACCCCUUGAGUCUUACAGUCCAAAAGACAGUAUAUUUUGAUAUUUAAAAUGUAAUAUGUUAGAUCACAUAAAUAAUAUAUAUCUAUUUAUCCAGCUAAAAAAAAAAUAUAUUUAUAUAUUAAGAAAAACUAAAAGUACCAUUCUUCAUUUCUAAUUCUAUAAAGAAUAAUUAAAUUAUAGAUCACCUUUAGAUAAAUGAUUUUUAAGAAAAACAUUUCAUGAAAUCAUAAAUAUAUAAAUAAUAGAGUAAAGAAAAUACGAUGUCAUAAAUUUAUCCAUUCCCUAAUAUAUGCAGGACUCUUAAUCGAAUUCUUAAUAGAACUAUAAUUUUACACAAUCUGCUAACUUUAAACGGUUAUUUAAGCAUUCCAAUACGUAUAAAUAUAAUCUAGGAAUGAUUUUAACCUUUUUUUGCUAACAAUGCUUAUCUAACCUCUAGUAUCUAAAAUCUAAUAUCUCAUUCUUGGCAAUCAUUAAUUUUUAUAAUUAACUUAGUCAAUUAUCUUAAUAGCUAAUCCACCUUAUCCACUGUUAGUCUUCAACUCAUUUAAUUAAUAGGAGUAUUAACAAUAAUAAUUAUAAUUAUAACAAUAAUAUCACAUUAUCGUGACAUCAAUUAUCAACCAAUAUUUAUAUAUAAUUAAAUACCUGAGUUCCUAACUAUGAGCUCUAUAUUUAUUUAUUUAAUUACAUAUAAUUAUUGGUUGAUAAUUGAUGAUAUGAUAAAGUGAUAUUAUUAUUAAUAUUGUUAAUAUUCUUAUUAAUUAAAUGGUGAAGAUUAAUCAGUGGAUUAGGUGGUAUACCAAGUAACGGACUGGACUCUAACACUAUCAUGACAGAAGAAAGUGCAGUGGAGUGGGCUAUAGACUACCUUGCUGAAUUGCGGGCUAGGAAUGACAGAGGUACACCAAUUAGCAGGAUCCUGCAGGGGGGGGAGGAGUGGGUGGUGUUUGGCCUUCCCAUCCUCGCCUCCUAGAUUUUCCUUUAAAACGAGAUCGGAUCGGAUGAUAUCUGCUCUAUUUAUGUUAUAUAUUUUAUAUUAAAAUUAUAUUUUUAUUACAGAUAUUUCCCGCUCCAGUAAGAUCAGGUCAUGAGUUUAUCCACGGGUAUGGAGCAAAUUGUCAUAUUUAGGCCCCUCUGGAUGGAUCUUUCAAAAUCAAUACCGAUGCUGCUCUUGCAAAACCAACUCAAGGUCUCUCUGGUCUUGGUCUUAUGGUUCGUGACAGUCCAGGGAAAUUUUUAGCAGCUGGUUCUCAUCAUAUAAGUCAGCUCCUUCCAGUUGAUAUUGUUGAAGCAAUGGCUGUAAAGGAAGGCAUUAUUUUAGCUGCUCAUGUUAAUUGCUUAUCAGCGAUUGUUGCAUCUGACUCGUCUGAGGUCGUUAGGCUGAUACACUCGGAUAUUCCGAUACUGGCUGAAUUGGAUCUAUUAUCGCUGAAGUGAAAGAAUUGCUGGAUGCCCACCCCAAUUCUGUAGCUCACCACCUUGCUAAGCUGGGCCUAUCCUAUUCUUCAAACAGAACCUGUAUUGUUGGCGGUCCUGCUUGCAUUCAAUACGCUGUGCAACGUGAUUUCCAGCUCUCUUUGGAAUGUUUUCCCAUUCAAAAAGAAUUAAUAAAUAAAUUAUUUUUUCAUAUUUAUUUAAUCUCCUUAAUUUUAAUCAUCGAGUUCUUGACGUCGGCUGUCUCUUUAAUUAUCAGCCAUAUAUACCUAGAGGUGGCAAAUGGAUGAUAUGGAUGGGUGUGGGUUGAAUAUGAAGAUGAUGGAUCUUAAAUAAUCCAUUUAAAGUUUAUAUAAGUAUUCAAAUUUAUAUAAUCCAUGUAAAUUUUUAUUCAUUCAUUUAACUAGUUAGUGUUAAUUUAACUAUUUUUAAUAAAAAAUAUUUUAAACAUUUUAUUUUUAUUAUUAUAGACCUUAAUUCUUUUAUUAUUAUUAGUACUCAAAUUUGAUAAAUUAUUUUAGUAUUAUCAGUAUUAUUAUUAUUAUUAUUAUUAUUAUAAAUAAAUUUAACUGACAUAAUUAUUUUUUUAGUUCUCUCAAUUUUAUCUUUACAAUUUUAUUAGCGUCAUUUUCUCUUUGAUGAAGUCUUUUUUAUAGUUUCUUAAUGUAUUAUCAAUUCAAUGCUUUGUUUUAUAUUAUUGCAUUAAAUUUAUUAAAAAAAAGCAUACAUAACCUAGGAAAAUUUUUAAGUAGAAAGUUCUUUUAUCUUUUUUAUUUUUAUAUUUCUUAAUUUUUUUUAUUGUGAUAUAAUUAUGUGUCAAGAUAUACUGGUCUAUUUCUAUGAAUAACAAAAAUGAUAAAUUCCAUUUAAAAAAACUUCAUAUAACAAAUCUCUUUUAUUUUUAUAUUUUCUUUUUAUUUAUUAUUAAACUAAAUUUUAAUAAAUUUAAUUAAACUACUUAGCUAUUCGUCUCCUCUAUAAAUUAUAGUUCAUGAAAUAAGUAUUGUUUAAAAAAAAUUCUUAUUUUAAAUUAAGUGGUAUUUUAAACAAUUAAUGGAGUAUUAAUUACUUAUUUUCUAUUUUAUCUUUAUUCAUUGUGAGAAAAAGUAAUAAUGGAAUAGGAAAAAAAUUCACUAAAGUGAAGAAGAAUCUAUACAAAUUUUAUGUAUUAUAGUAAAUUGAUAUUGUAUUCAUAUAAAAUUAUUUUUUAUUAUUAUUGAGACAAUUUAACACUGUAUAUUUCUUAAUCAUUGUGUGAGCUUAAGGAGAUUUGUUUAGGGACAUAAAUAUUAUUAAACUGAAAUAUUUUAAGUUUUACAUUGAAAUUUAAAUUUUAUAUAUUUUAUUUAUUAAGUAUUUUUAUAAUUUACUUUCUAAUUAUCGAAGUCAUUGAUUGUCACGACCCAACCUGUGGGCCCAUGACCGGCACUAGGGAAUGGGUAGGCGUAAGGCCAUCGAAUCCCGUAGUAAGCCUGACACUCACUAACUUAAAUAAAUUUCAUCUAUUAUUACUGAUGUUACAAUUCCUUAACCAUUAAAUUUUACAUAUUUAAUUCGAUCUGCCAGUAGAAUUAAGCAAGACUCGAAAUUACAUAAAAUUACAACUGAUAAAUCUAUUGUUUCUACUACGGAGCAUCUAAGAUUUUACAAGUCUGACAUACCAAAUCAAUUAUAUCACCCGACGAUGAAGGAGUCGGACUGCUAGAUAAGAUCCAUGGGAGACUAACAAUCACAAAUCUGAAAAACAGUAAAAUUGAGACUGUCAGUCUCGAGAGUGAGUUAAAAUCAUAUAUCCAAAAACAAUUACAAACACUUCAAUAAUAUAUUUUUAUUUAAUUUAAAUAAAUGUUAAGUCAUACAAAAAUAAACGUGUCAUGUCAUACUUAAAUAAAAUAAUUUUCACAUACUACGAUGAGUACCUUAGCAGAACCCUAAUCCCAACAUAAAACAUCUCGACUCUCUCUCAUUCUAACAGAACUAGCGCCCACAGAACGAGGCUUGACCAGGAUCCUUAAAUCCAGUUCAAACACUUAAUUAUCACUAACACUCUUAGCCUUUCGGCUCUCUAACUCCAAUAAGACUAGCGUCCAGAGAGUGAAGCUUGACCAGGGUCCUUAACUCCAGUAUGGUCACUUAGUUUUCUAAAUAAGCCAGCGCCUAGAGAGCAAUGCUCGACCAGAGACCUUUACUCUGACAAACACACUCUACUAAACCUAGAGAGCAAUGCUCGACCAGGGCAAGUCCUAAACCUACCUUUUAAAAUUUACCAUUUUACCCUUUUUUUAUCAUUCUCGGAUUUAUACCAGUACACUUAUCAAAAUAGUAUGUUCUACUACCGUCUCAUCGUCAUCAGACAAUAAUAAAUUCAGUGAUAAAAAAUAUAAUAUUUAUGAAUAGUAGUCAAAGAGCAUGAUAUAUAUGAAUAGUAAUUAAAUGAAUAGUUUAAACUUGCAAUUAAUUAAUCACAAUAGCUAUUUAAAAUUUGUGCAUGACACGUGCAUAACAGAUAUAUAACUUUAACUCACAGCUUUGACGACUUCCUAGCUUUACUCUGAUGCCUCGGGUGGAGCGAGCUGAAUUGAUAGAUUAUCUAAUCACGGAAAAUAAUUAAUCAAUAACGUUGAAACAUUUGACGAUUAACCCUAGGUCUAGAUUUCUAGGACUGACUGUCUAAAAAUCUCGAAAUAAAAAUCUAACAAACAUGAUAAAUUCCAUUCAAAAAAAACUUGAAAUAAAUCUCUUUUAUUUUUAUAUUUUUUAUUUAUUAUUAUACUAAAUUUUAAUAUAUUUAAUUAAACUACUUAGCCAUUCGUUUAUUCUAUAAAUUAUAUUAUAUUACUUUUUCCAUUAUAAAAUAAUUGUUGUUUACAAAAAUUCUUAUUUUAAACAACUAAUGGAGUAUUAAUUACUUUUAAUUUUAUCUUUAUUUAUUGUGAUAGAAUAAUAGAAUAGGAAAAAGAAAUUCACUGAAAUGAAAAAGAAUUUAUAGAAAUUUUAUGUAUUAUAGUAUAAAAGGGUUAUUCAUAUAAAAUUAUUUUUUAUUAUAAUUGAGACAAUUUAAUACCGUAUAUUUCUUAAUCAUCGUGUGUGAGCUUUAAGGAGAUUUAUUUAGGGACAUAAAUAUUGUCAAACUGAAACAUCUUAAGUUUCAGAUUGAAAUUUAAAAUUUAUAUAUUUUAUUUAUUAAAUAUUUAUAAUUUACUUUCUAUUAAUUGAAAUCACUAAUGUUUGAUUCCUAUCAGUUUAAUUUUUUUUAAUUUUUAUGCUCACCCUUAGUUAUAUGGGAUAGGCUUUUCAAAAGCUACUAUAACUAGAAAUUAAAAAAAAAAACAUUAUAUAACAAGUAAAAUAAUCGUUGAUUAUAAAGAUAAUCAACAGUAGACUGAAAUUUUAGUAAGAACAAAAGUAGAAAAAUAGAGAAAAAAAAAUAGCAAACACCAAUGAAUUUUGUCUUAUUAAUAUUAAAACUAAUUUCAAAACUCUAAGAUUUCAAAUUUAAGUAAUACUUUAUAAAAGUAAAGUGCAUUUAAUUGCUAAUAAUAUAUUUUUUUGGGCAUAAUGUUGUAUAAUAAUUUAUAAAUAAAUAUAGUUUUAAAAGUAAAAAUAAAAAUUAAGCUUUAGAAUUGAAGGAUGAAGAUCACUUCAAUCAAACCUUUCCUAAAUUCAUUAAUCAAUAAAAAGAUGAUUCUAUUGAAAAGGAAAAAUAAAUAAUAAACAUAUAAUUAAUGAAUCUUGAGAGUGACAAAUAGGAGUAAGCAUGAUGGUCCAAACAUUCGUUAAUUCAUUAAUUCUCUUUUUUAUUUUUUGAAAUAUAUGUCACGAUUGCUUCACAAUUUGAUAUUCUGAUUUGAAAAGAUAUUUAUUUACAAUUUUAAUUCAAUAAAUAAAUGAGAUAUAAAAAGCAUCUAAGAUAAAUAGUGAUUAAAGCAUGUCAGUGGCAAUUUUAGAGCUUCAAGAUCUUAAAUGUAUUUUUAAUUAACUAAAGAUAUAGGCUAUAAAAUAUAAUUAUAUUGAUAAUAGAGGUUACAAUUUUUGAAAUUUAAAAAAUGAGUAAAAAAAGAAAGAGCAUAAGAAAAAAUGCAAAAAGAAAUUGUAUUUGUUUUUUACUAUUUUUUCUUUGCAAAUUUAUUGGUGCUUUAAAAAAAAGUAUUCUUACAAAUAAAAAUUAUAUUUUGCAAACUCAUUAAAAUUGUAUAUAAGAAAAUUCAGGACAUAUGAGAGAGUUAGUGCAGAUUUCUACAUCAAAUCACAUUACAUACAACAUAUCAUAAUAAAUGACUACUAAAAAUUGCAACAUUUGAUUUGUUUGGACAAGGUGAACCAAAGCAUAAUUAAGUUUAAUAAAGAAUUGCACAUUUUUUUUAAUUUUUUCAGGGAAGUGAUACAAUGCUAAUGACUUUUCCUUUGUGCAGCACUUGUUAAUCUAAAAUGUUUAAUUUGGAAGCAUUAUUUCCGCAAGCAGGGUACAAGUAUGCAGGCAAGCGUGGCUUUGCCACUGCAACCAACGGUUUAGCAAGUGCCAAACUAUUCUUAGACUCCAUCAAAUCAAUGCUUAUCUCAUUCGGAGGGACGCUCCAUCUAAACCCUUGAAGAAGCCUAGCAAAUAACAUCAGAGUCAUUGACGUACCCAAAAUGAUGCCUGGACAACCUCUUCGUCCUGUACUAAAUGAAAGCAAGUUCAAAUCAGGCUCCGUCAGCAUCACUUGAAACCGAUCCUCCUUGAGAUGGCGCUCUGGUUUGAACACGUGUGGUUCAUGCCAAAUCCUGGGAUUCCUACCAAGGCCGACUCGGCUAAGCAAGACAGUGCUGCCUUUUGGAAUAAAAUAGUUAGCAACAGUUGUAUCUGCUACAGAGACAUGAGGAAUAUUGAAGGGAACAAUAGGGUGGAGGCGAAACGCUUCUUUAGCACAUGCCUAUAUGUAAUUGAGCUGUGGGAAAUCUGAUUCUUGGACUAGUCUCUCCUUUCCAACAACUCUAUCCAGUUCUUCUACCGCUUUCUCAAGCAGCUUUGGUUGGUUUAUCAUUUCUGCAAGUGCCCAUUCUAUAGCCUUUGAUGGAUUAUCUACUACUGCCAGCAUUAUUUCCUGCAAAAAUGGACAAAUAAAUUUGUAUCUUAAUAAACAUAUGCCUUUAAUGUGUGCUACUUAGUUUGUCAUUAGCAUUAGACUUUCCUAUAACUUUAUUUUGAUAGUCAAUUUUCUUUAAACCCUAUAUUUGGAGAGUACAACAUUUGAUUUAUGUGAGAAAGACUGUACUUGUGUGCAUAUAAGAGAGAGUGGGAGAGACAGAGAUUACGGUAAUUUGAGCUUUAGUCUCUUCUGUUGACAGCAAAGAGUUGCCAUUGGCAUCUUCUAAAUUUAUGAGAACGUCAAGCAAGUCAUCCACUUCCUUCUGGGUGCCAUCCCUCCACUGUUAGACCCUCGCUUCAAUUAUGGCAUGUAAUCAGACAUACAAAACGCAUAGGUAUAAGCAAGGGCUGUGAAAAUCGCAUCAACAUGCUCUUUCUCCUCGACACCAGGUCUUCCCUCCUUCAUUCCCUCCCCAAAGAACCUCUUGUUAAACACCAUCUUCCUUAUUACAUUUCGACAAUAGUGUCGUCCUGUGAUUCUCACAUCAACUAAUCCACCUUCCUCGGCAGUCUUGCAUUGGUUAUACACAUAAGGAACAAGGUGAUCAGCUUCUUCAAGUCUUUUCCCGUAAAACCACUAAUAUUUUUCAGGAGAAAGGAAUUGUGUUACCAGGACUCUCUUCAUUUUCUUCCAUUGUUCUCCCAAGGGCACAAGAGCUGUUGUCAAGUAACCUCUUGUAGAGAGAUGGGUGGACAUGGUCAACGGUCUGCUUGCGAAAGCAGCAUCUUGUGCUUUCAAGAUUUCGCGGCUAAGCUCAGGAGAAGUGACAGGAAUCACAUGAACGUUUCCGAGACGGAUACAAGCAAUUUCAGUUUUCAUUUCUUUCAUGAGAUUGUCUAUCCAUCGCACGGUUGGCUUAUUUGUUAGCAUUGCUGGCAGGCAUCCAACCAGAGGCCAAGGUUUUGGCCUAGGAGGUAGUGGGAGUUGCUUGGCGUUUUGGCUUUCUAGCUUUUGGAAUUUCGUCAAGUAAAUUAAGGCCAACGCCAAGAGAAGAACUAGGGAACAGGAGCUCAACAAUGUUCUGAGAAAGCCAAUGCCAAUUCCUGC